GAUCAACUAUAGCUCUGGAGUUUUUGUAGAUUUUCAAAAUAAAACUCAGAGAUUCCUUGUAUGACUCUCUCAAUUCUCUUUUUUGUGGUAUUUCUGGAUCCUCACCAAGGCAGUGAUGAUAUAUGCCUUCUCUCAAAGUAUGUGGUAUUUUUGGUAUAAGGCAUAGUGAUAUUGCCUUCUCUCUCAUCCUACUCUAAUGAGGCUUUGAUAUCUGGAGCUCAUAGGUGGGAGACAGCUAAUACAUACUUACAAUACAUUUAUUGCAUAGUCAAACCAUGGAUCCAGAGAAACAAGUCAAUAAGUCAAAUCAAGAUGUGCAUGUGUGGUGAAUGAAUGGUGUAUGGUGAUGAUGGUGAUAAUGGUGAAAACAAUGGUGAAAGUCUAAUUCUACGCUUGCUCUUUUGAGGGGAUACAUACCUUUCUUGCACUUUGAAGCAUUUUGAGGGGAAUGAGAUGCUCUAUAUUUUCUUUUUCUUUUCUCUCAGGUGGGUAUCUUGUACCCCUAAUUCUACUGUCGGACACUUGUCCAUUUUUACCUCUCGUCUCACUUUUUCUUUUUCUCUCGAGGUUCCGGGCACUUGCCCCUUUUUAUUUCCUCGUAUUUUUCCUUCUUCUUUUUUUUCAGAGCACUCACUCUCCUAGAAUAAUGUAGCAAGUGGUAGUAACCAAAAUAUCUCGAGCAUUUAUUUCACAGGGAAUAACAGGGAUAGGAUAAUGUUUUUGGCUAUUCUCUCCUAGAUAGGAGUAGAAUAAUUUUGGGUGAAUCUGGAGAUGGAAAGGAGUGGAUGUAUGUGGAUGCGUACUUCGAGAGUAGAAGCAGCAUGUAUGAGUGAACGUGCAAGUGAAUCUUGAUUUUAACCGCAUGACAAGUUCCUAAGGGUCUACACAGCUUGACCACACUCAAUGCUCAUAAGCAGUAAAAAGUAAAUAUAUGGUUCACAGUCUAAUACGCAUGUAUAUAUGGCUGUGGUAGGAUUUUAAACUCUCAUCAUACAGAAACUCAUCAUGCAACAUUUUAAAGAUUUUCAAAGAUAAAAUUCUCCAGAAUUCUAGUAUCUCUAAGAAUAGAUAAACAACAGCUCAACCUUCUCAUAUCAUAUCCGUUAACGACUUAGACUUUUGAUCAGGUACUCUUCUGACAAGUUUAGGUUUAGAGCAAAUCUUAAUUCAUAACAGUCAUGCCUAAACUUGAGAGAGAGCUCAAAUUUGAAAACUAGGUACUUGGCAGAGCGACUAUUCAUCAUAUCCAUGUAAGAGUUUAUCAUUGGAGUUCACUUUGGCAUAGACACUUUAUUUAUUUAUUUAAUAAACUAAGCAAAGAUAUAUAUAUAUAUAUAUAUAUAAGCACAAAAUCUUUAUUUGGGUUUUUAUGAUUAUGCAUCUUUUUAUUAUUUGAGUAUAAACGCGAGUAGAAACACUUAGCUAGAUAAAUGGGGGUGCUCUCCCCCAAGCUGGAUUUUGAUGUAAUUUCUUCUGAUGUAGCUAGCAGGUGGCGGAGGUGUAUUUGAAUGUCGGCAGCACCCUGACAGCAAUUAGGAUGUCCUCCGUCUGCUAGUCUUCUUUGAUCCUUGAAUUAUGUGGAGCUCAAAUAGACAACAAAGCUUUGUGGAACUGGUUAAGUGUUAGCAUAAAAUCUCUUUGCCUUUAUCAUGUUGAGCUUCCUCUAAUAAAUAUCACUCUCUUUGGUAGGAUCAUAAAUUUAUUUUUAUACUUUCAUUUCUAUUGGACAGGAAUAUAUUUAUUUUAUUUUUACGCCACCACAGUGAAUGUACUUAUGGGUUUUAUGCCACGAGCAUACUCACAUGGGGCUUACUAUUUUUAAUAUUUUUAUUUUCUUUUCAAGAUAGCAUGAUUAACUAACAAGCCAUUUAAGGAAAGUAAAUAAUUUAAGGGAAAAGGGAAUGCAUAAAGGAUAAAUAUGGAUAACUACCGAUUUUACCUUUCGGCAAGGGUUCAAUGUUUUAAGUCAUCUGAAUAAGACUUCUCAUCGUGUUCAUUCUUUAGGUGCAUCAUUUGAUUCAGGUGUGGACCUUGACGUCUGCUCCUCUUGAUACGGUGUCACCCAUGUUCUUCGUUUGCCUAGUAGUUCAAAGUGCGGUAUUGGCAGUAUCUUGCUCUGUGUGUUUGCGCUCGUAGAUCCAAGUCCUUCACUUGGUAGAGUCUGGGAGUUGAAAAACAGCUCCAUGUUUUGCUCAAAGUGUACCUACUCAUAGAGACAAGGCAGAGAUCAAGUGCAUGGGUCCUGUUGGUGGAAAACACCAACAGAACUAAAAUUAUAUUUAUUCUUCUCUAUCCUUAAGCAUGGGGAGCAAGACAAAGUUGAUGGGUUAUAAGAUCAUGAGUGUACCAUUUAAAACAUUUGUCGGAUCAGAUCACUCAACCUAAUGGAAAGAUAAUCUAUCUGUGUAUAUGUCUUAUUCUUUAUAUCUUCCCAAAGAUUGAAUGUGCAACAUUUUAGCUCAUAUGAUUAGGAGUGUGGGAUCAUGGAGGUAGUACUAGGAACAAAGAUUACAGGAUUAAACAUGCUGAAUCAAUUGGGUUGGUUAAUUUGGAGUUAUAAAUCAUACAUGUUUGUCUCUUUAUUUAUGUGAACCUCGAAACCAAGGAGAAGCUUAUAAAAGUGAUAGUCACAUAUCUUAAGAUGUUACCUUAAUUGAAGAGUGAUGGUACCAUCUCACCUUGUGGAAGCUUUCCAUUCCUAAUGGUUGUGUAUUUUGUUUAUGUACUUUGUCUCCAUGGAUCAUCUCUUAUGAGCUAUGUCUUCCUUAUUAAACUUUAUGUGUCUCUCUCAUUGUCUCCAAUGUGGAUUUAUCUCAGGACUUCCCAUGUCAAUAUUGAAAGUUUUCCUGCAGGGGUUAGUCCAACAAAAUAUCCAAUAUCUACUAUAGCAUACUCUAUCGGCUCAAAAAUCAACCUAGACACCAUGUCUAAUUUGAUUUAGGAGGGCAUUUUAACCUAAGCACCAUGCUUAAUUUAAAAUCCCUUGGAAGUAAGAUCAUCAUUCCUAAAAUAAGCACCAUGCUUAAUUAAGAGAUAAAUGAAACUACUCCAAACCUAGACAUAUACUAAAGCAAAUAAGAGUAGCAUGAGAGCAUUUAUAGAGAUCUACUCAAGUGGAGAUGAAGUAGUGUGAUUAGUAUUUAACAAAUUGAGCAUGUCUCAAAGGUAGGGACAACCAACAUAGCAACAUGGCAAAGGAUGUUUUUAUGUAAGGUACUCCCCCAAGCUUGAAUUUUGUAAAAUUCAAGUUUGGAUGAAUUUAAUUUAGUGUUGCAUGAUGAUUGGAUGGAUAUACCUUGUGCUUGCUUGUCGUUCAUCCGAUCUUCUUGUUCUAAUCCUGGAAAGGUUAGUGACAAGAAUACUCGAAGGAAUAUUUUUACAAUUAUCCUUAUAUGCUCAAUGUACAAGGCAAUGUUGCAAAUAAUUAAAAGCUCAUGUUACGAUCUGAUCAGUGCUUACUUUAGGACACUAAGCUUGUCCUUGGGAAACCAUCAGUUUAUGUUGGCGAAGUGGUUUCCCCUCCGACGCCAACCUUUGUAUAUCAAGAUUAGCUCAACGAGAUCUGCAAUAUUUAUUAUAGACAUAUGCAUCGACAACCGCCCUUUUAAAGUUUUUAUAAAUAGAAAGGAAGAGGGGGUUAGAGAUCUCAAAUGUGGUGAUGUUGGAGAGACCAAUAGAUUGGGAAGAUGUUGCAUAUGAGCAUGGAGUAAACGAAGUGGCUAUGAAAUAAAUUCCAUGCUCAUUAAUGUUAUCUUCGUUUCUAAUCUGAAUGUUCGGUGUUUCUCCUGGAUUGGUCUCACCUAUGUCCUCUUCUGUAGUUGGAUGAAUCUCGUAUUCAAAGGGAGUUAAAGACUCAACAUCUGAAAUUGAGCCAAAGUUAGAAUCCAUUAAGGCUUCUUCCUUGUCCAUCCAUUCUACACAUUGUAGCCAUUUAGAACUUGUGAUCAAGAAAGGGGAGGUGUUAGAAUUUUCUAUAUGGCUUAGCUCUCCUUCUAUGACAUUACUUGACAUGUCAUCCUCAUGGUCUUUAUGACUCCUAUGGUUUGAUCGUCUUGAUGGAUUGCUAGGAUCAUCAUGAGACUGAAAAGGAGAGGGAUAAGAGGGGUCUCUAAGGUCAAGGAUGGAUUUAGAAUUUGUGAACAUUGAAGGGGAGCAGAUGGAAUAUUCUAUAUGGUUUAGCUCUCCUUCACUUGAUAUGUCAUCCUCGACUUCUUCAUAACAGGAACCAAGACAUUCUCUAAGAGAACCAUUAUUACAAGGAUUUGAAUUAUCUAUGCUUGAAAGUCUCUUAUGGAACCAGAAGUCUAAACCAUCAGCAUGUGAAAGAUUUAAGGUCAGAAUUCCUUCCUCCCUUGGAGAAUUUUGGGGUAUUGAUGGUUUAGGAUCGAUAGCUAAAGUUUGGGAUUGAAGUGGUUGUGAUAUGGCUAUCGAAACUUCUUCUUCUUGUCUAGGAACUGGUUCUUUCUCUUUCUCAGGGAUAUAAAUGCUAGGAAACUUUCCACUCAAUGAAUCAAUUAAAUCCCUAGCUUCACUAGCAGGUAGGUGAUAGAAGGAUCCUCUAGAGGCUGUAUUCAAGGUUGGCUUAUUUUCCCUACUAAGGCCCUCAAAAAAGUGAAUUAGAAGAACUUCUUCUGGAAUAGAAAGCUUUGGGCCAGUGAGAGUAAGGUUAAUAAAGUGGUCCCAUGAUUUGCCAAGAGAUUCUUCUUCCAGUUGUCUAAAAGAAAUAAUCUCACGCUGAAGUUCCACCACUUUGGAGAUUGGAAAAUAUUUUAAAAGAAAACUAUUAUAUAACUCCUUCCAAUCUCCAUGAACACUCCCUACUUUGAGUUUGUACCAAUGUCUAGCUUUUCCUGUUAAAGAGAACGGAAAGAGCUUCCAUUUAAGGGUCUCAUCGGACAUGCCUUCUAUGCGAAGGAGGUCACAGACUCGAUAAAACUCUCUUAGGUGUGUGUAUAGGUUUUCCUCACCUUCUCCUGAGAAAGGUUGUUUUUGAACAAAUUCUAUGUAUUCGGGGUCUAUCUCAAAACUAGAUGCUAUGAUAGGCUUUGAAGAUUUUGGUGGUUCGAGAUGGGUGCCCGUAGGUCUAUAAAAUUCAUAGAUAGACAUGUUUGAAUUCAUGAUAGACCAGAGAUCAAGGAUUAGAUAAGAAGAAAGAAUAGCAGAGAUAAGGCAAAAAAGGAAAAGUGUAUUAUUUUUUUAUUAUUUAUUUUAGAAAAUGAUUAAGCUAGUUCGUAAUCAACUCAGCAACCGUUUCCCCGGCAACGGCGCCAAAAAUGCUUGUUGACACUUGCUAACACCACUUGAAUACUAGGUUGUCAUCCCCAGUAUGGCACUAGAGUGUACUAUGGUAUUUAUACGCACACAAAUAAAUCCGCAAGCGCACGGAUACCGUUGUAGCUUUUACCCGGUUAAAGGUUUUAUCGUAUCCACAGGGAAACGGGAGAACUGAUCUACGCUCUAACUUAACCUAGAUAGAUAGGUAGGUGUAAAUAGCAAAGAUGGUAGAAUUGAAUAAGAACAAUAUUAAAGAUAAGAUAACAAUGGGUGAUAAUAUGGGAAUAGAGAGUAGAGCAAUCUAGUAUAUGGGCGAUGGUAGGAGAAUAGAGAGGAUAACUAUGGUUUCUCUACUUCAAAGGGGUAUGUCUAUGUCUGGGAUGAACCACGUGAUAAGAAUACACCACAAAGGAUGCUUAUCCAAAGGCUGAUAAACCCUACCAGUCCUGCUAACAGGAGGUGGACUACAGGGGACCAACGUGGGUGUCCUGUAAAGAAGAACAAGACAUACGGCCACUGUGGGUACCAGACCUGCGUCCCAAAUGGGGCAUCUGCAUCCCACUAAAACUUCCUUCAUAGUCACUAUCAUCAUCAUCACCUGCAGCUUGUGCUCUUGCACGUGUGGUUGGUCCUGCAUGCCUCAUAUGUCUUUUGCACAUAGGGAGUAAUGGGUUGCCACUAUAUAUUUUUAGUUCUUCAUAGGGCAACAAAAUUGUUUCAUGGGUAUUAUAAACUUUUAAAAACACUGAGUUAUUUGCUCCUCCCUUAAGAUAUUGACCCUGAGUAUAAAACCUUUUGUGCAAGACAACUCUAGGAGUAGUUAUGUAUCUAUCAAAGUUAUUGAGAAGAUCAAGGCGUGCACAAAAUUUUGUAACCACAGAAGUAAAUUCAAUGGCCCACCUCCUUGGUUGGGAUGAUGCCCAUAUCCAAUGUUUAGCCAUUUCUACCAGUGGUGAAAUUGGAAUUUUAUGAACCAUGGCAAAAAGGAUCCUAGUGUCAAUUUCCCUGACAAUUCUUAUGUCAUCUCGAGGGAACAAAGUGAGUCCUAUCCACUGGUGCAAGAAAAGCAAGGUAGGAUUGCAUAUGUGACUAGUACGUGGUUGCCAUCCCUCAUAAUUUUCCCCAGUGAUUUCAUACCAAAAAUCUUUCUUGUUCAUGUGCUUAGUGGCAUGCUCAAUUUUAAUGUUGGGACUAUCAAAACCAAGACAUGUAGAGAAAACAUCCCAUGGAAGGUUAAACUCAUUAUUAAGCACUCUAAAAUAAAUUUUCUCUGUGGUUAUUCUUAGGGUGCUUAGAAAUUCUAGGGUGAGAAUUUUACUUCCUUUUACAUUAGACAAAUCCCAAAAUUCAUCCCGCCCCAUUUUCUCGAAUACUUCUGUGAACUCAUUAUCUAAGCCUAUGCUUUGGAGAAAGUCAAUAGAUAUUACCUUGGUGUGAAUAAAUUCACGGUCGCGGAGUUCCUCAAGCUUCUCCAUCUCAACGGGAGUGAGCCAUAUGCCGGUUUCCUCAUCGUGAAUUUUCUCAGGGACGGCUUCUUCAUUUACUUGAGGUGGUGGAGAUGAUACAUGCUCCCUUGAUGCUUGACUCUGGGCAUCUUGGAUGGAGGAGUCACUAGAGCUAAAGGAAAUUCGAUGGAGAACCGACUUCCCCCAACCCCUGACUUUCUUCAUGACGAUGAACUCUUGGAUGGUAAGGAUAAAAAGAAAAUAUUUUUGGAUUUUUGUUUUGGAGAAAAGGAUGGUUAAGAAAUGGAGAGGAGAAUGGGUUUCUUGCUGGCUGGUUGAGUGCACAAGAGUGUGAGUGUGUUUGAAUGAAGUAGGGAGUAAGGAGAAGUGCUGGUGUGGAUUUAUGGAGGUCGGUCGACCUGCCCUUCUAUGGCAUUUUGCUGUGUGACCAUGGCACCUAUCUUCUGGAAUCCAAUGCAAGCAAGUGGUUGUGCUGGGUGCACCAGAGCAUGGUCGGCCAACCGGCCUCUCUUCUCAAUUUCAAAGAAUGCGCACACCAGGAGCAAUGCAUGAGAGGUGGAUCACAAUGCAUGUGAUGGUGUCCUGUUUAUGGGUCGACCGACCCACCUUUCUUCCCCCUUUUGCUUUGUGCCAAAGAUGAGAGUGAGUGGAGGUCAUUCCAUGUUGGGUGCAUGCAAAGCAUGCUUUGGAUGGUGGUGCAUGGCAUCUCCCUUUCUUGGAUGAAGUGAUGAAAGGAAAGAAAGCAAAAGAGACGGGGCAAGACAAGACUAGGAUUGGUGGCAUUUUGUGUCAUGAGUUGUCAUGGGAGAAUCCUCCUCAUCCUUUUGUGAUUAGCUUAGUGCUAAAUGAGCUUGCUUAGCCAAAAUGAAUGGUGGAUUGGGGCAUAAGUGAGGUUAGGGAGAAAGAUUGUCAUGAACAUUUUCCUCUAGUCCCUUGGAUUUCUUAUGGCCAAUUUGUUAAUUCUAUUUUCCUAACCAAGAAGGUGAGGGAGAGCCACUGAUUCCUAGGAAUUCAAGUCGACAGCCACCUGUCUAACAUUCUUGCAACACUCACCCUAGAGCCAUAAGAUCACAAAUACCAGGAGUUGGAGGGAGGUGGGCCUAAUAUCAUGGUCGGCCGACCAUGAUUUGGCCUCCCCCAGGCUCUGGUGGCACUCAAUCAGAGCAAAAAUGCAUUGUGCAGUAAAACUUCUUUACUUAGAGUCACAAAAGUUACCAAGCUUGCUUCAUCUAGAUUCUCAAGUAGGCAUGUGAAGCAAUUCAUGUCAUGAAAUUUAGUUUUCACUUUGGCACAGACAUGAGCAUGGGUCUCUAUGAUGAUGGAGCAAAAUUGAGCAGGUGGACCGACCAAGGGCAGGUUGGUCGACCUCACCUUGGGCCCCACCUGGUGUCCAUUUGCUCAGCAUGUUAAGCUGGGGUUGAUUUUUGGUUUUAUUAUGCACAACUAUGGUCGACAGAAAAAUGUUUUGAAUUAAGAAAAACUAAGAAUUAACUGCUGAAAAUAAAUGCUGAAUUUUAAAAGUUUGAAAACUCACCUUGGUUUGACUUACCUGGAUGGAAGAGCAGUUGCCUUAGGUCCUUUCAUCAGGACCUCCCUGAGGUGUUGUAGAGGCCUUCUUGGGUGGAGGCACUAUUUUUCUCUUCCAUAUUUGCUUGGCUUUUGCCCGUGGUUUUGAUUUAGCCUUCUCUUUGUGUGCGCCAGUGCAAUAAUUGUAGCCAGCUCUGUAGCCAAGAUCAUUGAGCACUGCUCAACUUUUGGCUUGAAGUUGAAUUUCUCCCGGGCCCCAUUGACGGUGAAUUGAAUUUCUCUAGCUCCAACAUCAAUAUGUGCCUUGGCAGUGCUGAGGAAUGGUCUCCCAAGGAUGAGGGGUACCUUCUUGUCAACUUCCAUGUCAAGAACUAUGAAAUCCACAGGAACGAGGAAAUCGCGUAUCUUGACAGGGAUGUUCUUGGCUACUCCCGCUGGAUGGCGAAUCGACUGAUCCGCUGGCUGCAGAUAUAUUGAUGUAGGGGACAAGGUAGUAUGGUUUAACUUGUCAAAAAAUACCUUUGGCAUGACCCUGACGCUUGCUCCCUAGUCGCACAGUGCAUGCUCAAAGUGUUGUGUCCCGAUGGAGCAAUCAAUGGUGGGGCACACGGGGUCCUUCUUCUUCUCUAGGAAUUUAUUCAAGAUGACUUCGCUGCAUUCUUCAGUUAGUUUAAUUACCUCAAUUUGAGGCGGCGGCUUCUUGUUGUUGAGAAUGUCUCUCAGGUACUUGGCGUAGGAUGGAACCUGCAUUGCAUCAGGUAACAGGAUAUUGACAUAUAAUUGUCAAACUACCUCAACAAAUUUGCCGAAUUGUUAAUCAGUCUUUUGAGUCCUCGUGUGGUGCCACUUUCCCAUUGAACUUGGUACUUUCUUCUAUUGAUGGAAGCUCCACUUCUUCUACCUUGUCUUCUUCAUACUGUUUGUCCUUCCUUGCCGGUUUCCUUGUCAUGUUAGGAUAUGGUGGAUCACGAGUGGUCUUACCCCCUGUCGUGGUCACCGCAUUUGAGGAAUAGCAAGAAUUAACAGAAGCAGCAAUUUGAGUCAUCCGGGACUCUAAGACCUUGUUAAAGUUCUGUUGAUCCUUAACAGUAGAAGCUAGAGAGUCCAUUUUAGAAGUUAAUAAUCCAAGAGUCUUGUCAUUAGCUAACACCCUUUUAUUUAUGCCUUCAUUAUUUUUAGCUUGAUUAACAACAAGAUCUCUAAGCGUAGGCCAGCUAGAUUUUUGAAAAUUACCUUCUCCUUGGAAGCUUGGAGUCGGUCCGCUUUGUAGUGGUUGCCCAUUGUCGAAUGCGGAGACGACCUCUAGAGUUUCUUCCUGCACACCUUGCACCUUUGGAUUGCUUCAACGACACGUGCUGAGGUGUAUUGUUGGAUGGCCUCUCGAUCUUUCUUGAAGUUGGAUGUUUCUUCUAUUUUCUUCAUCAAGAGCUCCAUCUUUUGAGAGAUGGCUUUCACCUCCUCAAUGGUGUGGGUGCGUCUUUUCUUGGGUUUAGGACAUUCAUCAUUCCACUCUUAAUUUUUCACAAUAUUCUCAAUGAGCUUCUAUGCUUGUGCGACAUUGAGGGAUGUGAAUGAUCCUCUUGCAGCAGCAUCAAGGUGACUACAGGCGUCUAGCGUCACUACAAGAAUGCUGUUAAUCCGUGAUGAAAAAUUUCUGUCACGGAUCACCAAAAAACCGUCACCAAGUAGCAUCUGUGAUGGUUUUAGAUAUCAUCAUGGAUUAAACGUCAUGAACUAACAUGCGUGACGGUUUGUCCAAAACCGUCAUGGACAAACCGUCAUGGAUUAACAGAAUAUGUGACGAUCUUAAACCGUCACGGUAGAGCCCGAGGCCUAGUUAGCCCAGCCCAAAUCCAUUUUCUAUGACGGAAACUAACCGUCAUGGAUGAAUUGCCACAUCAUCAUUGAUGUUUUACCUAGAUGCUUACGUGGCUGAUGACAUCACUAGCCCAUUCAUUACUGGGCCAAUACAAUAAGUGGGCCAUCAAGUGCAACCACGGGCGCUCUUGUUAUUUCAGCCCAACCAACAUAGGCGCCAACCAUAAAAUUCUGGAUUUUGUAUAAAGCAAAUAAAAAUACCAAAUUUCAUUCCCAUUUUAACAAUUACUAUUCUAGUUCACGAGAAGCCUUAUAGCCUGUAUAGACAACAUUAUAAUUUUGUGAACACAUCAAAUUAUACAAGCUUAUUCCAGCAUACUGAUACAAAUAAUAAGUCAUGUUUUCAUCCAAAAUCAGAUCUGAUACAAAGUCACAAGUUUCAUACAUUCAUAUCACAUUAGCUAUUCUAGGUCCCAACAAAUGCAUUUGCCGAGAUGCUCUGCUCCUCCCCACCUGCCGUUGCUCCUCUCAAGCUCUGAAAACAAAUAUAAAUGCAAGACAAUAAUAAGUCACUAAAACCAUAGAAGUAGAGAGCUGAAAACUCUCUAAAUGGAGCACUUUCAAGUGUCUGCAACCUACGGAUAGAACUAGCCAGAAUAAACAGGUUAUUGCAAUUUUACUCCAAGCUAAUCACCUGAGGGAGAACUGAACUAACUCCACAAAUUUAGAAACUGAAACUCUGAAUAUUGAAUACUAUAAAACUGAAACAAACAGCACAACACAAAUUCACUUACCGGAGACAAACUAUAGCUGCUACGGAGAACUGAAAAUUGUACUGAACAGUUCCUGUCAACAUAUAAACAACAAGAAAGCUAUCGGGUAGCUAAUUAGAGCUCACGCAUUGCCGGCCAGCUAAUCUGAACUACCGGUCAGCUAAUCUGAAGAUAAAAUGCAAUUGCUUCCUGUAGCGUGAAAAUGGCACUUCAAAACUGAAAAAGCAAGCCACAUACUUUACUGCUUUAUUUGUACUGUACUUGCAGCUAGACAGUUGCCUGCUACUAUAGCUGGACUUUAUUUUUUUCACUUCUAUCAAUACAUCAGGUUGUCAUGGGUAACAAACAAAACAACAUAAUAAAACCUACAUCCAUGCUAGAGAACAUGUAUUUAUCUACCAGGGCAAACAAAACUCACCUAGUGCAAUGCAAAGUGCAAUAACUCAGAUGGUAAUUUGCCAGAUGACUCGUAACCUUUGCGUAAGCUGAAAAAGGUCACAUCAUGGUUGUAGAAAUAUGGGAUCAAUUUUUGUACAGAUUUUCCCAAAUAUUACAUAAAUUGGAUAGGUAACGAAGCAACGCUUAAGAGAAGGAUUGGUAUGGUGGUACCUGCUCCUGUUAGGUGGAUGACAAGCUCAAACUGCUUAGGAUUUUGUGGGUCAGAUUUGAGAUGGAGAGCAAGAUAUAGAUCGAUCUGGGAGAAGACAUAGAGGUAAGACCAAUGAAAAUGAAAACAGGAUCCUGCUCGGAUGUACCCUUAAAUGGCAAGAACCUCCAUCAAUUUGACGUUCGCCUGUUGUCGUCGCUUGCACACACGCGGAUCUGCCAACGAACUCGCUUCUCAACCAGGUUCCCAGGUCGAUGGUGAGGGAGGCUAGAGGGCCGCUACCAACCAGCGCGCUGCCAGUCCACCUUAGAGGAAGAGAACGAAGGGUGGAGGCAUGGAGUAGAGAGGUUGCUGUAGUUGGAGAGAGGCACCAAGAGAGGUGUGAGCGCUAGCCCUGCUCGACAUCAUGGCCGCCAUGGUCAGAGGGAGGCACACUCAGUUGUGGCUGCGAUGUUUGCCUCGUGCGGCUGUGGCCAGGUGAGGUAAAUGGCUAAGAUUAGGGUUAAUGGGAGGCAGGGAGGCUUAUAUUGCUCACAGGAUGAAUCUCAACCAUCCGCUUCUAUAUCAAACGGUCAGAAGACUGUGGGCCCAGUAAAAAUGGGCCAAACUCAGGAGAUUGGCUGCCCAUUAGAAAAAAACUAGUAGAAAGCGCGCGCCCUUGCACACGUAGGAAGUGCGUCGUUGUUAAGCUCGCAAUGGUUUAAUUUAAGAGAGAGUGUACACAUAAAGUACAAUAAAAUUCCUAGAGAAGCAAAAAUUAACACUUAUAAUGUGAUACAUAUUCACAAGCAUAGGAUGACUAGAUUCUUUUCAAAAAAACUAAGAAUAGUAGACUACAUGUCUUAUAUAGAUGUGGCAGCAAACGCAAUAUACAUUAUAGGUGAAGACACUAUAAGCCUGGAAUCUAUAAUGUGUAAAUCUUGCUCUUGGAUGGUUGUCACUUGUAUCUCGCUGCGCAGCCUCUGUUUGAAAGGAAAAUAACCUGGUUCUUUGUAAUAGAAAAAAAAAGCAUGAGACAUCCUCCCAACAGAUGAGCCAGUAGUGUACUAAUCUAUCAGUUCAUAGUAGAUGCACUUCAGUUGUAGGAGGGGAGGGGUAUCUGCAUUGGUUUUUCUUUUCUUUGAUGGAUCUGCGUCAAAUAAUGUAGUACUGAUUUUCAUUGAUAAUAUUUUUGCUUGGAGUUUCCUCAAAAAAAUAUUUGUGCUCGGACCUGGGCUUGGUGAUGUAGGAAUAGGCAGACCUAUGACAACGGUCAUGCUAAGCUUUUCAUGAAUCAACAUUUUAGUAAGAAUACGAAGUAUUAACAUAAUAGACUGGCAUAAUACCUGCUCAAGAAUGAAUGCAACUUUCUCUCUUUUUGACGCAGCCAAAUGUCUGUGGCUGAUAAAUCGGUUGUUAGUCCAUUGUGUUCUGAACCAUAGACGGAAUGACCAGUAAUAAACAGAAUCGACAGUAAUAUAAGUGCAUAGUGAACAAAACAGUGAUAUAGUCCGUGUUCCUGUCUAUGAUAUUACCUAUUUAUAAGGAGAUAAAUAGACAAAGAUUACCUGUGUUUAUGCAAAGAGAUUAUUAGUGCUUUGGUAAGCGGGUGUGACGGAAACAUAUCACAAAAACCUGCAGCCAGAUUCCUAGAGGCAAAGUAUUCCUUAGAGAAGAACUAAACCCAUCAUGGAUAUAAGCAAUGGUAACCUGAUUUGAAGGCACAUGUACACCAAAUGAGUAAAACAAGCAAAAAUAGACCAAGCACUCAUCAUAAGAUAUGGCAAUGGCUGAUUUCAAAUGAGGUUAAAGAAAUAUGGUUAACAUAAAAUGCAAUAUGUAAUACUGAUCCAAUAUUCCAGAUAGGCUGUUACGGAAGACAACAUGAGGGCGAAUAGCAAGAAUAUAGUGAAUGAUAGAACUGCAGUGGCGAGAGUACCUACAGUUUUAGACCAGACAAGGUCACCUGGGUUGAGAUCCUGAUAAUCAUAGAAGCUAACAACACCUUAAUGGUUGGUACCUGCAAAAUCAAAAGCACUAUGCGGUAGGCAUAUACCCAUAACGGAAAUGCAAUAACAGCCUCGGCAUGAUACUCUACACUGCAAUUUGUCGCUAGUUUAAGAACAAAAUCCGAGAACUUAUCUCACAACUUUGUUCCGGCAUGGCACACUGAAUUAGAAAAAUAUCAGAACCUGCCACACCACGUCUAAGCAUUAGGGUCACAAUUGAAUCAAGUGCCAGAGUUUCGUAUGGUCUCACCAUUUAUCCUCUUGGGUGAAGCUGGUUGUCAUCCGUCAACAAUUUCUUCAUGGCCACAAUAAAUCUAUGUGCCUAUAAAGCAAAAGGAAAAACAUAUUUAAAUAUGAGGAAUGUUCAUGAUUAUAAAACUUUUGUGCUAGAAGAUAUCAUUUGAUGGUCUAUAAGACCAUGUUGCAGAAUUUAGUAUUACAAAAACUAACAAAGUAGCAGCACAUGUCUUAACACACCUAGCACACUGUCAAAGGUAAUGAAUUGCUACUAAUGUGGUAGAUUAGAUUUGUAGCUAGAUUAUUAAAAAGGAAGCAUAACCUAUGUCUGGGUUGUUGGUCCCUGGUUGCCUGUAUCCCCUGCGUGCAUGUGUGUCUGUCUCUAUUGUUUCACGGAGGGGGAGGGGAUGGCUGCUAGCGGUAGCAGCGACAACCGCUGGGGCCUGCCCAGGCAUCCACGCUGGGGUGCAUCCGUGCAGUUGUGACCACAUUAGGCUACCACGGCCAGGGGUGCCUAUGUUGGGCCUGUUGGAAAUCAAGUCAUAGACCAAGCCUGGAUGCCCUUGGGGAACUGAAACACGAAAGUUGUCAUCAUUGUGCUUUUAGUACAAAGUAGCCAUAGAUUCGAAGCAUUAUACUAUGCAACAACUGUGCUAAAGCAACUUGGUUGUGGAAUUAAUUUCAUAUGUCAAGAAACAAAGGAUUAUAGCCUAUGUAAAUUUGUGAUCUUUUUUUGACCAUUAGGUCUUACUACUUAUAUCAAAGUGCAACAUAUUCAUAGUAAUGAUGAGGACUGUCAAACAGAUUAUAUGUCAAGAAACAAAGGAUUAUAGCCUAUGUAAAUUUCUGAUCUUUUUUUGACCAUUAGGUCUUACUACUUAUAUCAAAGUGCAACAUAUUCUUAGUAAUGAAGAGGACCGUCAAACAGAUUAUAUGAGAAACUAUGAAACAAGAAAUCUUGUAGAAAAAAGAGGAACUAUCAAAAUAAUCAGAACACAUGUUUCUAAGUCCAUGAUGAUUAGACUAAUCAGGAAGCAAAUAAAUAACAUGGCCACCUUGUCUGCAAAUACGUAUAGUGGCAUAGGUAUUCAAAAUUUCUGUUAAGACCAAAUCUGGUCAGUUGGAAAUAGAAGGAACAACAUGGCAGAAAUAGAACGAGAGCUGGGUUCAUUUAAAAAGCAUAGUAUUCAUACGUAGAAACAUCAUUGAGUCAAAGUGACUGGACGAAACAUUGGUGAACACCUAUCAUAAAUUAGGAGGCUCGAUUCACUGAAAUUUCAGAUAGUCAUGCCCCAGAAACAAAAUAGAGCCACAAUGAUUGGAUGAAAUGUUGGUGAACAUUGAUCCUAAACUUAGAACAUAUAGUGUAAGUAUUUUUUGGGUGGACCUUUUGCCAAACCCUAAGGCUGGACGAAAAACUUGAAGCUCGUUAACUCGCUCAGAUCGUGACUGGCUCGGCUCAGUUCGGCUCGGCUCAUUAUCCUAAUGAGCCAAGCCGAGCCAAGAUUUUAGCUCUGUAGCUAUAUGUGCUACUUAAUGUGAUAUAUGACAUUUCUUAGCAAAAACAAAGAGGAAGCCAAAUAGCCGAUGUAAAAAACUAUUUCGGGUUUGGAUAGUACAUGAGCAAUGCUGUAUUUUUUUCUUCAUAUCAAUCAGACCAUCAACCCUGAGCAUUAGUGUUUACCUUAUUUGCGUAUUUGUGUCAUCGUAGCCUACACCCAUGCGAAAGGACUAUAUUUUUUAAAUCAGACCAUCAACCCUGAGCAUUAAUGUUUACCUUAUUUGUGUAUUCGUGUCAUAUUCCUAUCAUCCUAGCCUGGACCCAUGCGAAAGGACUAUAUUUUUUACUGUCAAUGGAAGAGUUGUCAAGGCAGUAGGUCACCAUGGCAGGGUACUCCUAAUUUUCUUCAGAAGUAGUGCGGUAUUGAUAUAUAUUUCAAAAUUAAGCAAAGAAAAAGCAACAAGAGAUGCAAAAAAAAAGAAAUUAUGCCAAUACCUUCAGUUUAAUAGUAAUUUGUAAAUUUAUCGUUAUAGCAUGUAGAUAUACCUUCAAUAGAGGAAGAAAAUGCAUCUAGUUACUUGUUAUAAACAGAAGUAAGGAUUUGGGAAUUCGACCUGCUGAAGUCUAUAUACAUUGCUACAGCUGAUUGGUUCACGUACUUUCAACGCUGAAUUCAGUGAAGAAACUCAAAAAUUAGGAAGCUGACCAUCACGCGGUGGCUGCUAUGCAAAGCAGACAAGGUGUUGUUGGUCAAGUGAACUAAAUCAUAUACAUCCUCAUGAUACAUCUAUAACAAUGCAGUAAACCAUAUUCCUUCUAAAACACAGAAUCAGCACAUGAAAGGAGGAAUAAAUACAUCAUCGACAAUGGGGUGUGCUCAGCAAUAAAGCAACAAACAAAUUAUGUGAAGUACAAACAUCAUUGACAAUGGACCCAUGCUAAGUAACAAAUGCACAAAAAUAUAUCAACAAAUGAAAACAGAACGACACAUGGAGAGGACAAUUGCCAAGGUAAUCAUAUUACCCUCAUAAAACCAAUGCAAAAUAGAAAGAUUGAUGGAAUAAUAGCAAGAACGAUCAUCACUGCACGAUUCCAUUGUCUCACUCUAACAAAGUUCAUCAUUGCACUGCCUCCAUUGUCUCAGUAAAGAUAACAUAAACGAAGGUGAAAUAAUCAGUCAUGAGGAUAUUAGUUGGACACAUGCUCUGCAAAGUAAAGUGGACACAGUAGAGAAUUCAUUCACAUAGUAGUAGAAUUAUAAUAGUGCACCACUACAAGGAUUGGUGCUUUACAUGACGAUGGAUUUGGUCACAGAUUGCCAAAAAUACGUCACAGUCAACUAUCCAUGACAAACGAGAAAUCCGUCAUGUAUCUCACGUCAUACAUUUGUUGCACAGAAUUGAGCCGUCACGGAUUCGUCUUUAUUUCUGUCAUGGAUUGCAUGGUCUGAAAGCAUAGCAAAAGGGUACUGUGAUGAUCUAAAACGUCAUGGAUUUAGUCCACGUGGAUUGUCGCCAAGUCAGUUUGUGCCAUGUCAGCUAUUGCCACAUCAGCUGAUUCCACGUCAGCUAUAGGCCCAAAUUUUUUGUUCAAAUACGACUUAAAUUCAAAUUUGAAUUGACAUCACAUGAAGAUCAUCACAGAUCACAACCAAAUAUCAUCACAGAUCACAACCUAUUUUCAUCACAGAAAAGGUUUAGAAAACAAAAGAUCAGGUACAAAUGAUCAAUGCCAUCUCCAUUACAUGUUAAUCCCAUCUCCAAAAUAUAGGGUAUCGGUUACAGAGAAAAUGGCAUGACUUACACAUGUCAAUGCCAUCACCAUUACAAGUCUCAACACAUUUCAAACAAAUAUCAACACAUUUCUUCGGCACUUGAUGCAGUGGAAGAGGAUCAAAAUACAUCUUCUUUAAGUUAUAGCGCCGUUUGCGAACAACAUUCUUCAGCAUAGCCACACAUGCUUUUUUUCACAUGGAUUGAGGUUUUAUCCACUUCAAACUUGGACUGCAUUUAACAAGAUUACAAGUACAUGAAAUUGAGUAGACACUAUAAUGGUUGAAAAGAAACAGUGAACCAAGUUAAGCAAUGCAUAUGCCCAUAUUGUUGAGGUACUAUGAGCAAGCUAUUUAGAGCAGUCCAAAAAUAAAGAUUUAAUUGUUAUCAAACUCUCCUGUGUCAAUUAUCAGCAAGUUUGAAGUACCACAUGUAGUAGAAGAAAAUUAAACAUAUUUUCACAGACCUCACCAUUUAAUUUGAUUGUUGCAUCAUUGUUAACAGCACAAAAAGAAAGCAAACACUUGGUCUGUGUAUGGCUUAUCAAACUGAAACUUUAAAUGAGAAAUCAUGUAUGGCUUAUAAUUAAAUUAAAACAAUAGCAAGCAGCAAAGUUGUAAAUGCCCAGAACAAUCAAACAGCAAUACCAUUUGUUCUAUGUACUUGUACAGGCAAGCAAAUAGCAAAGCUAAAAUUAAACUGAUAGCGAAGCUGAUUGUUGAGAUGAUCUAUAGGUGGACUGACAUGGUGCAGACAUGGAGCAACUAAACAUAUUUUCACAGAACUGCAUAAGUUUGGGAUCUACUAUCUUUUUUCCUAGAUAAAAGUUGAAAACACAAGAGAUCAAUGUUCCAUAGAAGGUCUGCUACCCUUACAAACAAAAUACUGAAAUAGCACAUUUUUAGUAAUGACUUCUACUGCUACUAGUACUACAACAAGGAACUUAACGACAACAAGGAAUGGGAAACAAUAUGCAACACAGACAUAGCAUGUAGUACAGAAAUUGCAAACUAAUAUAAGGAUUUGUCCUUUGCAUGCCUGCACUAAAAUAAUUAAAAUCACCAGCACUAGUCACGAAAAGAGACUACUAUCACAUAGACUAUGCACAUAGUUACAAUACUUGUCCGAAUCAUCCUAAUUUUUAAUACAAAGCAGAACUGCACCUGGCAAAAAAAUCAAUCAGGCAGGACCAAGCUAGGGUGCCUUGCUUGUCUUGCUUCUGCAAAGCUGCAACCUGCAAAUGAACAAAACACAAAAGAAAAUAAGUAACUGGAGAAAAUUAAAGGGGGAAACCAUCUCAGAUUAUAGAUCGGAACAGAGUACAAGAAAGGGAAUAUGCUACCAGCCUAGCCUGCAGGUGGGACUCGCGACCUCCAUGCGGAACUCCUUCUAUUCCUGUUGUGCGCGUCAUGCGGAACUCCAUGCGGAACUCACCUAGCUUGCAGAUCGGACCAGAUCCACGCAUGUUGGAGGUGGGGCGUCACCCUUCAGCCUUCUCCGUGGAUCACGCUUUGUCUUGAACCUCCUCCGCGAGCUGCAUGCCAACCUCUGUGCCGAGGCUAGAUCCACCGAGGGCAGGGUGAGGGCGGAGGCUGGGGAUUGGUACAUCGCUCACCGGAUCCUGCGUUGUAACUUAGGCUUUGUUUAGUUCCCAAAAAUUUUUGCAAAAUUUUUCAGAUUCCCCGUCAUAUCAAAUCUUUAGACGCAUGUAUGAAGUAUUAAAUAUAGACAAAAAUAAAAACUAAUUGCACAGUUUGGUCGGAAUUGUCGAGACGAAUCUUUUGAGUCUAGUUAGUACAUAAUUGGAUAAUAUUUGUCAAAUACAAACGAAAGUAGUACUAGUCCUAUUUUGUAAAAAAAUUUGGAACUAAACAAGGCCUAAUUGAGAAUAGAAAAAAAAUACCACAAUAUGACAGAAAGAAGAUGUGCAGUCAGGUUUACUAUAAAGUAAUAUUGAUAUACAUACUGAGUUUUUAAAAAAACAUAUGUAUUUAACCUAUAUAGGUAAAUCGCCAUCUAUGCCCAAACAAGCCUUCAGAGAUAUAUACUAAUUUCCUGCUCAGAUAUUUUCUAUAGUUUAAAUUAUUUUCUGCAUGAUAGUACAAAGUAAAUAGAUUUUAAACUAAGGCUACACCAGAAAAGAUCUAAAAUGGGACCACAAGAAAAGUGCCACAACACUCUGUGACGAUUAGCCUGUCACAGUUAUAUCACCCUAAGAAUGACUACUGUAAUUCUGUGAUGAUUUUUAAGAAGGUCAUAAGAAAACGUCAUGUAAAGCACCAUUUCUUGUAGUGCACCAAGAUUAAAUUUUAAAACCUAGCCAUACAAAAUAAAAAAAAUUGGCUGUUGGUAAGGUGACAACUUACAGGUAAAUAGUCUACUCUGAUUACCACCUAUUCCUUUAUUUGAUAAAUAGUGUGCUGCUAACCAAAUUAGAAACGCAGUUUAAGAGCAAUACAAAGUAUCCAGUUCUAAUUAUAUACAAACAAAUCUCUUCAAUUUGUUUACACAAGGCCAGGAAGAAUACAAAUAUGCUAGUAGGGACAAUAUCAAAAGAAUUGGAGUAAGAAAGUUUAAAUUACCCAAAGAUCUUUCAUUCUAAAGAAAAAAAUCAUUCAUGAGCAAAGUAUAGACAAAUAAAUGAGACCAUGGGGCAAAUAAUUAGAGAGAAGCACAGACACACCUUGCAUUUCAGGUCUUCACUUUGCUGCUAUAAAAUUGUGCACCAGUGCAGGAAAUUGUUUCCUAUUUUUAGAAGGUAAAACCUGCAUGUAGAAAUCUUACCUCUCAGUUGACCAAAACAUCAAGCAGAUAUAAAGCAUUAGACAUGGAAGGGAGUCGUGCACAGCAUGCACGGUUGGCAAUACACCAAUUUGAAGGGAGUAGCACCCAAAAAAAUGACAGCUAGGGUUUCGUGAUGCAACAGAGUAGGAAGAAGCGGCCUCGCGCCGCGCACAGCGCCGUGCUGUGGGAGGUCACCCCGUGUGGCCACAGCACCACGGCAGGGGUUGCCCUCAUGCUACCACGCCUGCGGCACAACACGGAGGCCUUGGGGACGGCCACCGCCGUGGCCCAGGGGGCGACCACCCGCGGUGAAGGCACAACCACGCGAUAGGGAGGGAGGUGGAGAGAGGGAGAGGAGGAGGAGGGGACAGCCGCCACGGCGACCAACGGCCGCGGCCGCGCAGAGCACUGCCGCCGUUGUGGUCGCGCAACCCGCAGCGAGAACGAGAGAGGGAGCGAAACCAGAGAUUAGAGAGGGAGAGGAAGAGAGGAGCCCACAUGGGGGAUGGGGGAGAGGAGGAGGAGGAGGAGGAGGUUCGCCGCCACGCCGAGAUGCGGCAUCAGCAGGGGCUGCCCGCGCCAUUGCCAUGUUCGCUUCUGAGACGUCGGACUUCUGGAGAGGUCGGGAGGAAGAGACACGGGGGGAUUUUAGUUUUUUUGUUUGAGGACUGCCCGAACUGUGCCAAGACGAAGGACGAUGAGGUGGGCCUGCGGCUGACGUGGAGGGCCUGUCGUCGCGGGGAGCAACUUAGGAUUGUUAGGGUAAAUAAGCAUUUUGUUUCCAUAUAUGUUUAAGUGGAACAUUAAACUUAGUGACUCUAAUAAAGAAUAAUAUCAUUAAGUUGUCAAAAAUAAUAAAAAUUAGCAUGAGGUAAUCGUACAGAUCUAUAAGUUCUAGUAAAAAAUUAAACAUUUUUAAUAAAAAUGUGAAGAUACAUCUUUUAUAAAUACAAACAUCCCUCACUUAGUCAUAUAACUAUUGUGUGAGUUGUAUCCUUUUGUGAACAAUGUAUAAUAUUACUUUGUUAAAAUCUUUUGAAAUUUUCAUCCAAUGAUUGUAUACUAAAAUCAUAUCGUCAUGUAAGUUUGUAGAUUUUUCUAAUUAAGUUUACAUAUUAUUAUAUUUAUUCAAUGGUAAUUCAACAAAUAAUUACAAUAAUUACUAAAUUUGGUAAAAAAAUUCUUCCAAUUGACACAACAACAUAUUUUGGAUCUAUAAAUAUUACGUAAAAUUUUCACAUAAUUUUAAUAAAUUGAUACUAUACAUCCUUCACAAAUAUUAACAUCUCUCACUUAGCCAUGUUGAGAGAUCUAGCUACUUUAAGAUAGUAAACAAUUUUGGGAUAGUACACAAUUUCAAAAGAAGUCAACAAAAAACCUGUUGAACCCAUCGAGAUUUACAACAUUUGUUUAAGCCAUUUCUCGAUCAAACUUUAUUUAAACAAUUUGAAAUUUGAAUUUCAAAUUUUGAGAUCUUGAAAUAGCAUUUUGUGCUACUAAAUGGUUUCAAAUGAAAAAGUCAUCAACAACAAAGUUGAAUAACUAUCGAUAUACAACUUUUAUUUUUGGUCAUCUCUUCAUACGAGUUCAUUUGAGUAAUUCAAAAUUUUAAUUUUAAAACUUGAUAUGGUUAUUUUCAUGUGUACAAGUAUAAGUAACCGUUAACACUAUAAACCAUAUAUGAACACCAAAUGAAGGAAAUGGACAUGGUCACUUAGUUAUGAUUUUCUUGGUAAGAAUUUUUUAAUGGUGUGGUUUGGUGUUGUGUAUAUAUGAAACUGUUUAUUUGCAAUGCAACGCAAAAGUCUGCGUACUGCAUUGGUUGGCUAUCUUGGCUUUGAACUUACAUGUUGCUGGUUCGAAACGUAAAGGUGCCAUUUUGUUUUUCUCCUUUUUUUAGGCCAUCUGCUGCAACAGUGUUGAGGUAGCCCGUUGCAAGCAGCAUUAGCAAAAAUAAAAUUGAUGGGCUGCGCACAGUGAAAAAAAAGGGAUGCGCCGUCAAUGAACUGUUGUCAUUAUUGAUUAUUCCGCACCAUAUAAAGAAAUGUAAAAAUUCAGUUUUUUUUGCCAUCCGCACCAUAUAAAAUCCAAAAUAUUUUAAGAUAUUACCAUAUGUACCCAAAGCAUAUAUACCAUAAGCCAAAAUAUUUUAAAAUUUACCAUACAUGCAAAAUAUUUUUAGUUUUACUGUAUGCACCCAAAAGCCUAUAUACAUGCAAAAAUGUAAUAAAAUUUUUUGGUUCCUGAUAAUUAAAAAAACAAGAGGUACCUAUUUGGUUCAUGAUUAUUUUUCGUUGCACUAAAUAUAUGAUAGCGGGCCUAUUGUUUUGGUAUAACAUGAGUAUGACGAAUUUAAAAUCUUACACUGUGACGAUACAAUAAAACCGUCACGAGUUAGCGGGCCGGUAAUAUUCACUUGUGCACAUCCAUGACAGAAAAAAUUAUCGUCACAGAUUGUGUCUGCCAGUGAUGGUUUGUAAAUCUGUCACGGAGAAUCCGUCAUGGAUUAACAAGUUUCUUUUAGUGCUUUAGCCCAUGGUAGAAACCUUGGAUCAGGAGCCAUUCCUUGAUUCCAUGAUGAGGACAUUCCCGAAUGUACUCCUGGAGAUGUUCCUAUGCUUCAGGAAUGGUUUCUUCUGCCUUUUGACAGAAGCUGGAAAUUCUUUCCCGUAGAGCUGAUGUUUUGCUCAUUGGAAAGAACUUGUUGAGGAAUGUUGUAGCACACUUGCUCCAUGUGUCAACAUCAUCAGGGAGAGCAUAGAACCAUUGCUUUGCUUUCCCAAGCACAGAGAAUAGGAAUAAACGAUGGCGGAUGGCUCCUGCUAUGACUCCUUUGAUAGCGAUGGUGCUUGUUGAUGGUCCUUAAGUACCAAAUAUAAUCAUCAAAUUAAUAAAGAAAAGGAUCCAAAUGCAACCAACACCCAGACUUAUGGUUUUAUCUGACAGAAUUCCACGAGUUUUGGUGUUUGUCUAUUUCUGCAGGAAAUAUGGAGGAAAGGCCCACACGUCGGGUUUACAUAGAGAUAUUAACGUGCCGCACAAUUUUCUAUCAUCUAGAAGACUCCAGAAGCUACGAGAACGAACGGGAAGGCGAUCGGGCCCGAGGGCAGGGCGCCCGCCCUCCCCCUAGGGCGCCCGCCCUGGUGCAGAGUCCAAUCAGGACCCGUCUCGCGGAUUACGCUCCACCAACCUAAAGGAUCAAGGAUAACCGUUCAAUCAAGGUCGGUUUGAUCCGACGGCCCAGAUUCACUUGAGGGGACUAUAUAAGCAGACCCCCUGGCCCCUGGAGGAGAACAAGUUCAUCAUAGAGUUGAGAGGUGCCCUCGAAGGAUAACCUUUCCUCUAAAUAGACUUAGGGCUUAGCAUCCAAUGUGAGAGUAGACUAGAUCUACUAGAUUGAGAGAGAUAGAGUGGAGGUGUAGAUUGGAGGAAGCCCGCCCUGUCGGUGUCUACUCCGAGGUUGUACCUGCAGGAUCAAGUUCUCCUAACCCGAGCCUUGCUCUUAGGAUUCUUCCGUAAUUCGACUUCUAGUAAGUUCUUGUUUUAUUGUUCUUUGGUUUAUGAGUUUACUUUAAUCUCUUCCGAUUGAGUUUAGAGUAAUCAUUGCUAGCGUAAACGUGGUGUUUGGGCUAGGGUACUCAUAGAUAUCCCAUGACUAGCUGGACCGUGGUAGUAGCGAGGAACGUGACAUUUCUGAGUUCCCUUUGCAGCCCACGUCUCGUUAGCUGGACGGGUAGGGUUUAUAGGUGUGGGUCGAACAUCCUCUGUGGUGUCUAGAUUCCGUGAGCCUCCCCAAUAGAACAGUAGAUCAUCCUUACCAAGGUUAGAACGAGACUACGGUUGCAGUCUUCUCUAUACAUCGCUCACAUCGAAUCACAUUCUUUGUAGCCUAAAGGGUAGUAGCAAUAGAUUUGGUUAGUCAGAUGCACGCUUUCUCCCAGUGGUAAAAAUAUAAAUACGAUACUCUGGAUAACCUCUCGUGUAAAGUGCUCACCGAUAUCCGUGCGCUUGCGGAUCAUUUCCUGAUGGCAUUACCAAAUAUCAACAAGCAUUUUUGGUGCCAUUGCCGGGGAGAAAGACGGUUUGCUGAGAUAGCUUUUUGUCUUGCUAUUAUCUUGUAUUAUACUUUUAUUCUUUUAUCUCUUUAUUUUUUCCAUCUUUAUGGAUAACUCAAAUUCCACACCUAUUAUUGAAUUUUUUGCACCUUCGAAGACCAGCCAUAGACCAUGGGAGUCAACGAGUCCUUUCUUUGCCCCUAAUUAUGAUAUGUGUUCGGAGUUGAUUGCAAUAGGUCAAAACCAACCCUUUUCUAUAGCCGAGGUCCUAUCUUUUAAUCAAGAAGAUAAUGAACUUUUAGCUACACCUAGGGAAUCUUUCAAUCUUUCUAUAAAUUCUGGUUUAAACCUAGCCCUACAAGACUAUGUUUUUUCUUGAUAUUUUCACAUUGGUCUUAAUCAUAUAACCUUUGGUAGAGUUUUUCUUUCUUUAUCUGUUAGUAAAGCAAGGUAUGUCUUCAUUCGUGGAGAUAGAGAAGGAAUCAUCUCCCAGACGAGGAAAGGAAGUUUCAAUAGCCGAUUUCCAAUCAUUUCAGUCCCAUGAUUCGGCUAUCCAACCCAAACUUGUAGUGCUCCAAAAUAAUCUAAGGGAAGAAGAAAUUCUACCUUUGGAUAUUCAUUUUGGGAUGAGCUUAAACUUCCUGCUUCAUAAGAGACCUUUGAGUGCAUAUAGUCUAAACCUUCCUAAGAAGGGAUCUCUUAGAAAGCACCUCAAAUCCAAUCCCUUUGAUGGACAUCUAGAAAGACUCAAGGAUGGCAUCUCAAGUGAUGCAAUAGAAGGAGAGCGAAGCCAGUUAGAAGACAAUCUCAUCUUCUCCCCUUCUACGCCCACUUUUGAUGACUCAUUCGAACCUAUCUUUAAACCCAUCCUUGAGCCUAAUAAUUUCUACUAUGCUCUUUCUCUUGAACCGCCCGAUAAUCCUAAGAAUCUUUCUAGACAUCCCAUGCAUAAGAGUGACCAAGACCACAAGGAGGAUCGAGAAGAGCAACAUCAAUGGCUAGAGGGCAUUAAAAAUCUAUGUGCUAUCACCAUUGAAUGGAUGGAUAAAACAAACUUGAGAGACAAUCCUAGAGGAAUUUUAAGCAUUCAUGAAGAAUCAUCCUUGGAGUUUGAGAAUGAGAGAAACAACAGUGAGCAUGGAAGUUAUUUCAUAAAUACCUCACCAAGUCCUUGCUCAUAUAAAACAUCUCCUCAAUCAAUUGGUCUCUCCAACCUUACCACAUUUGAGAUCUCCAACCCCCUCUUCCUUUCUAUUUAUGAAAACUUUGAAGGGGUGGUUAUCGAUGCAUAUGCCUAUAAUAAAUAUUGUAGAUAUCGUUGAGUCGAUCUUGAUAUAGGCACGUUUAGGUUGGUGUUGGAGGGGAAACCACUUCACCAACAUAAUUUGAUGGUUUCCCAAGGACAAGCUUAGUGUCCUAAAACAAGCACUUAUCAGAUCGUAACAUGAACUUUUAAUUAUUUGCAACAUUACCUUGUGUAUUAAGCAUAUAAGGAUAAUUGUAAAAAUAUUCCUUCGGGUAUUCAUGUCACUAACCUUUCUAGGAUUGGAGCAAGAAGAUCUGAGGAAUGACAAGCACUAGGUAUGCCCAACCAAUCAUCAUGCAUCAUUGAAUUAAAUUCAUCAAAUCUUAAAUUUUGCAAAAUUCAAGCUUGGGGAGUACUUUACAUAAAAACAUCAUUUGCCAUGUUGCUAUGUUGGUUAUCCUUACCUUUGAGACAUGCUUGAUUUGUUAAAUACUAGUCACACUACUUCAUCUCCACUUGAGUAGAUCUCUAUAAAAGCCAUCAUGCUACCUAUGUUUAUCCUAGUAAGUGUUGGUUUGGAAGUACUGGACAUACUUCCAUUGGCAUUUAAAUUAAGCGUGGUGCUUAGGUUAAAUAGCCUUCCUUAAUCUGAUUAGACAUGGAGUCUAGUUUGGUUACUGAACUAAAAACUGCUUGAGUAGGCAUUGGAUAUUUUGUUGGACUAACCCCUGCAGGAAAACUUUCAAUAUCAACAUGGGAAGUCCUAAGAUACAAACUCACAUUGGACACAAAGGAGACACAUGAAGUUUAACAAUUUGCACAAGGAAGACAUAGCUCAUUCAUCAUAGAGAGAUGAUCCAUGGAACGAGACAAAGAGUGCCACAAACACGACGCACAACCGCUAAGAAAGGAAAGCAUCCACAAGGUGAUACUGUACCAUCACUCUUCAAAGUAAGGUAACAUCUUAAGGUACUUGACUAUCACUUUUAUAAGCUCUCCUUGGUUCUGGCAUUCACAUGAAUAAAGAGACAAACAUAAACCAACCCAAUUGAUUCAACAUGUUAGGCCUUUAAUCUUUGUUCCUAGUAAGCUAAAAUGUUGCACAUUCAAUCUGUGGAAGAUAUAAGCAAAACAUAAAUAUAGAUAGAUUAUCUUUCCAUUAGGUCGAGCAAUAUGAUCUGACAAAUGUUUUAAAUGCUACACUCAUGAUCUUAUUAUCCAUCAACUUUGUCUUGCUCACCAUGCUUAAGGUUAGAGAACAACAAAUACACUUUUGGUUCUGUUGGUGUUUUUCACCAACAGAGCCCAUGCACUUGAUCUCUGCCUUGUCUCUAUGAGCAGGUACACUUCAAGAAAAACAUGGAGGAGUUUUACAACUCCCAGAUUCCACCAAGUGAAAGACCUGGAUCUACGAGCACAAACACACUAAGCAGGAUAUUGCCAACGCCGCACUUCGAACUGCUGGGCAAACGAAGAACAUGGGUGAUACCGUAUCAAGAGGUGCAGACGUCAAGGUCCACACCUAAUCAAAUGAUGCACCUAAAGGAUAAACACAGUGAGAAGUCUUGUCCAGAAGACUUAAAACAUUGGAUCCUUGCUCGAAGAGGUCAAGAUCGUCGACUCAAGUCGCCUUUCCUGAUCAAGAAGGAUGACCCUGGUGUUCCAAGCAUCGAGUGCACAAUCAACGGAUACUCUUUGCAGAAGACACUCUAUGACACCGGAUCUGACGUCAACAUAAUGGCCGCAGUCACUUAUCAGCUCCUGCAUGGAACCAUGCCCCUACAACCAACAUACAUCCAGCUCCAGAUGAUUUUCAGGUCAUUGACAUGGGAGAAGACGAGUACGAUCCACCCAUCAUCUUUGGAAGACCGUUCCUCAACACUAUCAAAGCUAUCAUUCAUAUUGGAACCGGAGAAGUCCACAUGCACUUCCCCUCUGAGAAGGUACGCUGCUACUUUAAUGAUUCUAACUAUAUAGUUGAAGAUUCUAAGCAGAUCAGGAUGAGAAGAAGGCGACGCAACCGAAACCAGAGGAGGCAAAUCAUCAAGGACGGAUGGGCAGACUACAAAGGAAAUGUAAUAAGGUCCAAAGAUAUACAGCUUGAACAGAACUAUCCUGAGGAGACCGUAGCACCGAGUGAGGUGUGGAGAGAGGAGAUAGUUAUACACGAAGAGGAGGCGCCGCCGGAACCACCGACUACGCCAUCCAGCGAAUCCCAGGAUGACUGAGAAAACAGAGAGUCCCGUUCGGAGGACUUAAAAAUACCGAACGCCUUGCCAAGAGGUAAACUUGGUAGUUAUCCUUUUCCCUUCAAUUAUUUAAAAUAAUUUGCUUAGUUAAUUAGGUUCAUAUCAUCUCAAAAAGAAAAUAAAAAUGUUAAAAAAUAGUAAGCCUAUGUGAGUAUGCUCAUGGCAUAAAACCCAUAAGUACAUUCACUGUGGUGGCAUAAAAAUAAAAUAAAUAUAUUCCUGUCCUAUAAAAAUAAAAAUAUAAAAAUAAAUUUAUGAUCCUAUUAAAGAGAGUAACCUUUAUUGAGGAAGCUCAACAUGAUAAAGGCAAGAUAUUUAUGCUAACACUUAACUAGUUCCACAAAGCUUUGUUAUAUAUUUGAGUUCAAUUCAAGGAUCAAAGAAGACUAGCAGACAGAGGACAUCCUAAUCCCUAUCAGGGUGCUGCCGACAUUCAAAUACACCUCCACCACCUGCUAGCUAUAUCAGAAGAAAUUACGUCAAAAUCCAGCUUGAGGGAGAGCACCUCUAUUUAUCCAGCUAAGUGUUUCUACUCGCGUUUAUACUUUACUCAAAUAAUAAAAAGAUUCAUAAUCAUGAAAACCCAAAUAAUUUUUUUUGCUUAUAUAUAUAUAUAUCUUUACUUAGUUUGCUAAAUAAAUAAAUAAAUAAAGUUUGCUAUGAACCCUAAUGAUAAACUCUUACAAGGAUAUGAUAAAUAGUUGCUCUGCCAUGUACCUAGUUUUCAAGUUUGAGCUUUCUCUCAAGUUUAGGCAUAACUGUUAUAUAUAAACCUGCUCUAAACAUCAACUUGUUGGAAGAGUACUUGAUCUAAAGUCUAAGUUGUUAACGGAUAUGAUAUGGAGAGGUUGAGCUGCUGUUUAUCUGUUCCUAGAGAUGCUAGAAUUCUGGAGAAUUUUAUCUUUAAAAAUCUUUAAAAUUUUGCAUGAUGAGUUCCUAUAGGAUGAGAGUUUAAAAUCCUACCACAGCCAUAUAUACAUGCUUGCUAGACUAUGAACCAUACAUUUAUUUUUUACUGCUUAUGAGCAUUGAGUGUGGUCCAGCUGUGUAGACCCUUAGCUUGUCAUAUGGUUAAAAUCAAGAUUCACUUGCACGUUCACUCACAUAUGCUGCUUCUACUCCGGAAGUACGCAUCCACAUAUAUCCACUUAUUUCCAUCUCCAGAUUCACCCAAAAUUAUUCUACGCCUAAUCCGGUAGAGAAUAGCCAAAAACAUUUCUCUAUUUCUGUUUUUCCCUGUGAAAUAAAUGCUCGAGUUAUCUUGGUUACUACCACUUGCUAUAUUAUUUCAGGAGAUGAGUGCUCUAAAAAAAGGAGGAUACGAGGAAAUAAAAAGGGGCAAGUGUCCGGAACCUCGAAGAAAAGAAAAAGUGAGACGAGAGGUAAAAAUGGACAAGUGUCUGACAGUAGAAUUAGGGGUACAAGAUACCCACCUGAGAGAAAAGAAAAAGAAAAUAUAAAGCAUCUCAUUCUCCUCAAAAAGCUUCAAAGUGCAAGAAAGGUAUGUAUCCCCUUAAAAGAGCAAAAGUAGAAUUAGACUUUCACCAUUGUUAUCACCAUCAUAAAAAUACACCAUUCACUCGCCACACAUGCACAUCAAGAUUUGAGAGAGUCAUAUAAGGAAUCUCUGAGUUUUAUUUGAAAAUCUGCAAAAACUCCAGAGCUAUAGUUAAUCAAAGAACAAGAGACAUGGCGCUUGACUUGACCGUUCUAUCUUUUAACUACUCAAGACACAAGUAACGGUUGCAAGCCCCAUGGUGAAAGGUAGAAUGAGUAAGUUUUAAGUCUUAAUAGUUUACUCUAAAUCAGAGAUGAGAUAUUGCUUGAACGCAUGUGUACUUUUAAGGCAUGAAACCACUACAGAAACUUUUGAGUCUAUCCUUGCUCAGGGACGAGCAAGAGGUAAGCUUGGGGGAGUUGUUAACGGUCCUUAAGUACCAAAUAUAAUCAUCAAAUAAAUAAAGAAAAGGAUCCAAAUGCAACCAACACCCAGACUUAGGGUUUUAUCUGACAGAAUUCCACGAGUUUUGGUGUUUGUCUAUUUCUGCAGGGGGUUAUCAGGAAAUAUGGAGGAAAGGCCCACACGUCGGGUUUACAUAUAGAUAUUAACGUGCCGUGCAAUUUUCUAUCAUCUAGAAGACUCCAGAAGCCACCGGAACGAACUGGAAGGCGAUCGGGUCCGGGGGCAGGGCGCCCGCCCUCCCCCCUAGGGCACCCGCCCUGGUGCAGAGUCCAAUCAGGACCCAUCUCACGGAUUACACUCCACCGACCUAAAGGAUCAAGGAUAACCGUUCAAUCAAUGUCGGUUUGAUUCGACAGCCCAGAUUCACUUGAGGGGACUAUAUAAGCGGACCCCCUGGCCCCUGGAGGAGAACAAGUUCAUCAUAGAGUUGAGAGGUGCCCUCGAAGGAUAACCUUUCCUCUAAUUAGACUUAGGGCUUAGCAUCCAAUCUGAGAGUAGACUAGAUCUACUAGAUUGAGAGAGAUAAAGUGGAGGUGUAGAUCGGAGGAAGCCCGGCCUGUCGGUGUCUACUCCGAGGUUGUCCCUGUAGGAUCAAGUUCUCCUAACCCGAGGCUUGCUCCUAGGAUUCUUCAGUAAUUCGACUUCUAAAUUCUAGUAAGUUCUUGUUUCAUUGUUCUUUGGUUUAUGAGUUUACUUUAAUCUCUUCCUGUUGAGUUUAGAGUAAUCAUUGCUAGCGUAAACGUGGUGUUUGGGCUAGGGUACUCAUAGAUAUCCCCUGACUAGCUAGACCGUGGUAGUAGCGAGGAACGUGACAUUUCUGAUGUACCUUUGCAGCCCACAUCUUGUUAGCAGGAUGGGUAGGGUUUAUCGGUGUGGGUCGAACAUCCUCUGUGGUGUCUAGAUUUCGUGAGCCUCCCCAAUAGAACAGUAGAUCAUCCUUACCAAGGUUAGAACGAGACUACGGUUGCAGUCUUCUCUAUACAUCGCUCACAUCGAAUCACAUUCUUUGUAACCUAAAGGGUAGUAGCAAUAGAUUUGGUUAGUCAGAUGCACGCUUUCUCCCAGUGGUAAAAAUAUAAAUACAAUACUCUGGAUAACCUCCCGGGUGAAGUGCUCACCGAUAUCCGUGCGCUUGUGGAUCAUUUCCUGAUGGCGUUACCAAAUAUCAACAGUGCUACACACUUCGAAAGUUCUGAAGGUGUGUGUUUGCAUCCUCGUGUGGUUUCCCACUGAAUCUACUAGCUUGCAACAUACGGAUUAGUGAUGGCUGGAUCUCAAAGUUGAUAUCUCCAAUCUCCGCUUGCAGUCCCAAUGAGAUAUUGGUUGCAGAGGGAGAUGAGAAGUCGGCAAUGGGUUGGUUGACCAUCGACAUCCUGAUUUUUGGUGCUGAGCUUCCUUCCUUGAGUGAGUUCAAGUGUGAGCUGGGUCUCUGAUGGUGGACUAGACGAAGUCUAGAAUUUCUUCGAGAUCUCUCUGAAUCAGCUAAUGUGGUUGCCUUGAACUGGAAAUCACUCAUACACUACCUGGUUUCACAAUGAAGAGAAACACAGGCAGGGGUAGACUGCCUACAACUAGUUGAUUCCAAGUUGAUGAUAUUUUACCAGAUUUGUUCCUGCUACAAAUUUCUAGGCUAUGCUGUCCCUGGCAACGACGCCAGAAAUGCUUGUUGGCAAAUCUUAACGCACACCGGCUAGAGUAAGAUGUGACAAGUAUCUAGAAAUGGUGGCGCCUAACCAGCACUGCUUAAAUGCAAGCCUAAGCUGUUACGAGGAUAGGUUGUCAGGCUACCCUGAGCAACGGCUCUAGGAAUACUGAGCAACACUAAGCUCUAGCGAUGACGCAAGAUAUACUAGGGGUAACUCUACAAGCGCACAGAUACCAAUGUAGCACUUCGACCGUGGUGAGUAUCCGCGGUGUCGUAAUUUAUAGUUCGUCCAAGGGAAAGUGUGCUAGAGGAGAUAGCAAGGAAGGGGAAUCCUAUCUAAACUAGAACCAACUAAGGUAGUGAGGUAAUGAAAACAUAGCGGAAGGUCAGUGUAGUGUAGCUAGGUGGGAGGACAACGAGUGAGAAAAUACUCCUAUGACUCUAACUUUUCUCCUGUGGACCAAUCUAGUCUAGUAGCGGACACACACUAACAUCGCUAACUUAACUCCUUGUUUGCUGGAAGUCGACUGCAAUAGGAGGACGAAACUCCUAUCCAAGCGAACUCGUUUCUUAUGGGCGCCUAUAGACUGUACCCGAUGUGAAUAGAACCUACUGGGAAGCAGUGGCCUGUCACACUUCGCCGCCGCCCGUUAUCAUGUUUGAUACGGUGGUAUUCAAGGGCGGGCUUAGCCUAAGAACCAUGCUUAUGCUAACUCCUACUACUCAGACUAAGUAUACGACCUAGUCCAAGCACCGUGUUACCGGUAGAGAAAACAACCCAAGCACUUAAGACUAACUUAGCUAGUGUAUAACUACUACAAGACAGACUAGGACACUACAAUAGAAUAUUGCACUAAGUAAAUACUGAAGAGAAAAGGUAAAGAGGAAUACUAGACUCUCUAGAAAAUGAGUCCGGAGACUCCAAGCUUCGCUCAACUCAACUCUAACUCCCACACUAGACUAACACUAACACUUACAACUGGAAAGCUAGAGCUAACUUGAAACACACACACACAUACACACUAGAGAGGGUGGAUGCAGCCUCUAUUUAUAGGGAGAGUAGAGGGGGUGCCAUGUCAGUGAUCCAUGUGCUUCCCACUUUUCCACCCUUGGAUAAACCGUCAUUGGAACCGCCUUAGAUGGACAUCCAAGAUCAUAUGCACAUGUUGCCAAAGUCGGUGGAGUGUAACCGACCUUAGGUGGGCCCAUAUCAUAGGUCAGUCGACCUGACAUUUUGUGAGGUGGGGCCACCCUGAGCCUUCUAGAAAGUCCUAGAGGUCGGUGGAGUGGAGCUGACAGGUGGGUCCCACCAAAGGCCGGUCGGUCGACCGAGGUUUGGUGUGGUGGGCCCACCAGCCUUGCUCCAAUGUUGUCCCCAUCUGUCAUGGAGUGCAACAUGUGUUCAUCUUUGGUCUGGUUCUUCUGGUGGGUCCAUGGAUCCUUGUACCUCCAUCUUUCACCCUUGAACAGAAACACAAGUGUGAUCUGAGGAUCGAGAUGGACAUGAAUGUGUUGCCUUAGGCUCCUAGAAUUGAGCCAACACCUGGGCCACCCCAAGUGUAGGUCGGCCAACCUGCCCUUGGUGGGUCCAGGAGCUCAUUUUCCCCCAAAUGUGAGUGUACCUGCAUCGAAAUACUUAGAGCACAAGUGGAACCUCUUAGUGAUAAAAGAUGCCUAUGCUAUGUCAUUCUUCCACUAUUGCCGGCCUGUUGAUGGUGUUUUCAUGUGUGGAUUUUAUAGCUUAUCCACCGUCAACAUAGAGUCAAAUAAAAAUUAGAGAAUAUUAAAGUUUUGUCUUGGAGAUGAUGAAUAGUUGCUCUACAGUAAUUCCUUUCAAGUGCAUAGUUUUCAACCAUUAAUUCUCUCGAGUUUUAGACAUGACCACUUUAAGAAUUUACUCUGAACCUAGAAUUUGUGGAGGCGUAUGUUUAAGCUAAGUCUAAGUAAUUGAUUUUAUACAUGAAGGAUCAAGCUGCUACUUAUCUUACUCCGAGCAUUACUAAGUUCUGGAGAUUUAUUUUCAAAAACCCAAAAUUCUACAUGAUGAGCUCUUGUAUGAUAAAGUUUAAAUUCCUACCAAAGCCAUAUAUGAUACAUUUAGAGUUAGGAAAACCUUUGCACAUUCAUGCUGCUUGCUUUGCAUUUAGUUUAGUCAACCUUUGUUGUAUACCUUAUGAGAGUCUUGUCAUGCUUUUAACAUCAAGAUCACUUACGCAUUCCACCUACAUAUGCAUUACUCCUACUCUAGGAUGUAAGCACAGUCAUUUCCAUUUUCAUCCAGAUCCACCUUAAAAAAUGUUUUCUCCUACAUUAGGAGUAAACACCCAAAAAUAUACCCUAUAGGAUAGCCCCCAUUUAGUUGCUCUAAGUUCUUAUCAUUAUCUCUCCAAUUAUUUAUAUUCAAAGGAUGCAUGUGGCUAUGCAAGAGUAUUUAAAAAGAAAAAAAAGGCAGUAAAAGACGGACAAGUGUCCCAGGAAUUAAACAAUGGGUACAUCGAUGCCCGCCUCCCACAGUAAUGAAAAAAGAAUAAAGAUAGCCCAUGUUUUCUUACGAAAAGUUCUAAGGAGGGAGUAAUUUUCAGAGAGCAAAAGUAGAAUUAGAAUUAGCCACUAAAUACUAUAUAUACACCUAUCCACCAUAUUCCAUACGCACGCACAUCUUGAUUCGAUUGUAUGCCUUGAUUCUCUGUGGAUCCAUUGUUUGACUUUACAAUAUAUGAAAUGCAAGUAUGCUCAUCCUUGUUAUUGCCACUCCUAUAAGCUCUAUAUAUAUAUAUCCUUAGUUGUAGGAAGGCGUAACCUCAUUAAUGCCUCAACAAGAUCCAUAAAAACUACAUAAUAAGAGACUUGAGGGGGUCAUACAAUCAUGCUCUGAGCUUUAUUUCAAAAACUUGCAAAACUCUGGAAUAUUGGUACUAUGAAGAAUUUGAGACAUAGUGCUUGACUUGAUUGUUCUAUCUUAUGAUUACUCAAGACUUAUGCAAGAGUUGUAAAGCUCCAUGGUUAAAGGUAAAAUGGACAAGUUUGAAAGUUAGACCGGAGGAAAAUUUAUUUUAAAAAGCAAGUGUACUUAAAAGAAAUGAAGUAUUGUAGCAACUCUUGAUCCAAGUUUAUUAAUUGGGCUUGAGUUGUUUGCCAAGGGACUGGCAAAAGGUAAGCUUGGGGGAAUUGUUGACGACCGAUAACGUCAAUAUUUAUUAGAACUUUAGACACAAGGGAACACAUGAAAACACAUUAGUCUAGGAUUUAAUCUGACAAUUUCCAUGAGUUUUGCAUAUUCUGUAUUUCCUAGGGUUUAUUUCACAGAUAGCUGAAAAGAGGGAUUCUAGUGCAUAUUUACCACGAAACCCAUCAGCGACAAAAAACAUCACGAGAUGACUCAGGAAGAGUUUAGAGGACACCCAAAGGAAUGAGAGCCGCGGGGGAGAAAAGGUGGGGGCAGUGUUGACGGUCCUUAAUGCUCAUAUUAAACCAUCAACUAAUCAUGGAAAAGGAUCCAAAUGCAACCAACACCCAGACUUAGGGUUUUAUCUCACAGAAUUCCACGAGUUUUGGUGUUUGUCUAUUUCUGCAGGGGGUUAUCAGGAAAUACGGAGGAAAGGCCCACACGUCGGGUUUACAUAGAGAUAUUAACGUGCCGUGCAAUUUUCUAUCAUCUAGAAGACUCCAGAAGCCACGGGAACGAAGCGGAGGCCGAGAGGGCUCAGGCACAGGGCGCCCGCCCUAGUCCUGAGGGCGCCCGCCCUGCUACAGUGCUUAAUCAGAGUCCAAUUCGGGGACAACGCUCCACCGACCUAAAGGAUCAAGGAAAACCAUGCGAUUAAUGUUGGUUUGAUCCAACGGCCCAGAUUCAUCUGAAAAGACUAUAUAAGAAAGGCCCCCUGGCCCCUGGAGAUCAUACCUCUUCUGUAGAAUCAAAGUUAGGGUUUCAAUUCUUCAUCCAAGUAGAGAGGAUCCCUCUAGUUCUUCUAGUUCUACCUCUAGUUCAUCUAGAUCUAGUUCUAGUUCAUCUAGUUCUGUUCUAGUUCCUCUAGUUCUAGUUCUAGUUAGUUCUAGUUGUAAUCUAGAAAAUAGGGAGAGAGAAGAGGAGAGCGGAGGAGGAGGAGCCGGAUCUGUCAGAUCUUCCUCAACAUUGUACUUUUGCAGCAACUGUUUCGUUCUUCAUCGUUCUCCAGGUUCUUCAAUUCAUAAUUCCUGAGUUCUCUAAUUACUUUUAUUUACAUUCAAGUUAUUUAUUGGAUUCCCGCUUGCAUCAAGUGCUCUAAUCUUUGAAACAUUAGAGUAGUAAUUAAUAGAUUAGACGUGGUGUUUAGUCUUGCAAUUACGUGGAAUUGCACCCAAUCCUGCGGAUUGUUGUGGUAGCCUUAGGGUAGUGACAGCCCUAACGGUCGACGUAUUCCACCUCGUUCGGAUCGGUGUUUGUAGGACCGUAGUCGGAGCUUCCUAGCCCCCUUCUCAUCUCUUUCUGUGGUUAGUGUUCUGAUGUCCCGAAAUAGAUAAUCUUGAAGUAAUUCUUGAUUCUUACAUCAACUAGAGAACUCUCAGGAAACUUCCUCUCUUCCCACCAAAAAUAAUUAUGUAGUUAUCCUUGGGCGAUCUUGGAUCUUAAUUAGUACACUCAUGUUCUCUGUGGGAAAUCGAUACUCUGGAAUACUCCCGAGUGAAGCUACAUCGGUAUCCGUGCGCUUGCGGAUUUUUCUGUUUGCGUUUAAAAUACCCAACAAGCUUUCUGGCGCCGUUGCCGGGGCAUGGUAGCUGUGCUAGUUUCGAACCAAGUCGUCCGUGUAUCCUUUUUCUUUUCCUUUUUUACCACACUCACCUUAUCAUUUUCACCAUACCACAUGGAUUUCACUAUAAGCAUUAAUGAGCAUGGAAUUUAUUUCAUAGCCACUUCAUUUACUCCAUGCUCAUAUGCAACAUCUUCACAAUCCAUUGGUCUCUCCAACAUCACCACAUUCGAGAUCUCCAACCCCCUCUUCCUUUCUAUUCAUAAAAACUUUAAAAGGGCGGUUGUCGAUGCAUAUGUCUAUAUUAAAUAUUGCAGAUCUCGUUGAGUUGAUCUUGAUAUAGGUCAGCGUUGGAGGGGAAACCACUUCGCCGACAUAAAUUGAUGGUUUCCCAAGGACAAGCUUAGUGUCCUAAAACAAGCACUGAUCAGAUCGUAACAUGAGCUUUUAAUUAUUUGCAACACUACCUUGUGUAUUGAGCAUAUAACGAUAAUUGUAAAAAAAAUUCCUUCAGGUAUUCUUGUCACUAACCUUUCUAGGAUUUGAGCAAGAAGAUCGGAUGAAUGACAAGCACAAGGUAUGUACAACCAAUCAUCAUACAACAUUGAAUUAAAUUCAUCCAAACUUGAAUUUUGCAAAAUUCAAGCUUGGGGGAGUACUUUAUAUAAAAACAUCAUUUGCCAUGUUGCUAUGUUGGUUGUCCCUACCUUUGAGACAUGCUCAAUUUGUUAAAUAGAAAUCACACUACUUCGUCUCCACUUGAGUAGAUCUCUAUAAAAGCCAUCACACUACCUUUGUUUAUCCUAGUAAGUGUUAGUUUGGAAGUACUGUACAUACUUCUAUUGGUUUUUAAAUUAAGCAUGGUGCUUAGGUUAAACAGCCUUCCUUAAUCUAAUUAGACAUGGAGUCUAGUUUGGUUAUUGAACUAAAAACUGCUUGUGUAGACAUUGGUAUAUUUUGUUGGACUAACCCCUGUAGGAAAGCUUUCAAUAUCGACCUGGGAAGUCCUGAGAUAAACUCACAUUGGAGACAAAGAGAGACACACAUGAAGUUUAACAAUUUACACAAGGAAGGCAUAGCUCACAAGAGAUGAUCCAUGGAGGGUGCCACAAACACAAUGCACAACCGCUAAGAGAGGAAAGCUUCCACAAGGUGAUACUGUACCAUCACUCUUCAAGUAAGGUAACAUCUUGAAGUACUUGACUAUCACUUCUAUAAGCUUCUCCUUGGUUCUGGCGUUCACAUGAAUAAAAGAGACAAACAUGUAUGAUCUACAACUCUAGAUUAACCAACCCAAUCGAUUCAACAUGUUUAGUCCUUCCACCUUUGUGAUUCCACACUCCUAAUCAUAUUAGCUAAAAUGUUGCACACUCAAUCUUUGGAAGAUAUAAACAAAACAUAUAUAUAGAUAGAUUAUCUUUCCAUAAGGUUGAGCAAUCUAAUCUGACAAAUGUUAAAUACUACACUCAUGAUUUUAUUAUCCAUCAACUUUGUCUUGCUCACUACGCUUGAGGUUAGAGAAGAACAAAUACACUUUUGGUUCUGUUGGUGUUUUCCACCAACAGAGCCCAUGCACUUGAUCUCUACAAUGUCUCUAUGAGCAGGUACACUUUGAGCAAAAUAUGGAAGAGUUUUACAACUCCCAGACUCCACCAAGUGAAGAACCUAGAUCUACGAGCACAAACACACUAGAGAUACUGGACACUCAGGCAAUCACUGCCCUGAGAUGCUUGAGGACGUAACUACUGCAGUAACCUCGUUGUGGAAGUAAUUACUGACCUUCUACCGAUCAAGAGAGACAACCCAGGACGCCCCGUCAUCCCGAUCUCCAUUGGCAUGGUGGCCUUUCCAGAAGCACUCUGCGACUUUGGCUCCAGCAUCAACAUUAUGACCAGGGUAUUCUAUGAAAAAUUCUUUACACAUCCUUUAUUAGAAACAACCAUGGGUUUGCAGCUUGCAGAUCGGACGCUAAGUUUUCCAAAGGGAAUAUUGAAGAACCUCUGCGUCCGAGUUGGUACCUUGUACGCCCCAGCAGACUUCGUGGUGAUAGAGACUGGUAUUGAUGAGAGGGCACCCAUCAUCCUAGGGAGGCCAUUCCUGAACACCUCGGGAGCUGUCAUCUACGCUAGUGCUGCCAAGAUCAGUUUCUACAUCAAGGGGAGGAAGGAGACGUUUACCUUCAAGAAUAAGACUCCACAAAUCUCAGAGCAAUCCCGACAUGAAACAAGGAAGAGGACCAACAGGAGGAACAGGAACAAGCAAAUGUGGACCAAGUCAGCAAAGAUGGUCACUGCAGUUCAAGGAGGUCAAGAUCGUUGACUUAAGUCACCGUUCCUAACCAAAAAGGACGACCUAAGUAUGCCAAGCAUCCAGUGCUCCAUUGAUGGAUACAACUUCCAGAAGAUGCUUUGCGACACCGGGUCAGGCGUCAACAUAAUGGCCGCCAGUCACCUAUCAGCUCCUAUUCGGAACCAUGCCCCUAAAACCGACAUACAUUCAGCUUCAGAUGGCAGAUCCGACAUUCCAAAAGGUUGAAGGUUAUUGACAUGGGAGAAGACGAGCACGAUCCAGCCAUCAUCCUUGGAAGACCGUUCCUAAGCACUGUUAAAGCAAUCAUCUAGAUUGGAACCAGAGAAGUCCACAUGCACUUCCCCUCUAACAAGGUACGCCGCUAUUUUACUGACCUUAAUUAUAUAGUUGAAGACUCUAACCAGGUCAGGACAAGAAGAAGACGACGCAACCGUAACCAGAGAAGGCAAAAUCAUCAAGGACGGAUGGGUAGACUAUGAAGGAGAAGUUGUAAGGUCUGAAGACAUACAACUUGAACAGAACUAUCCUGAGGAGACCGUAGCACCGAGUUAGGUGUGUAGAGAGAAGAUAGUUAUACAUGAAGAGCAGGCGCCGCCGGAACCACCGACUACGCCAUCCAACGAAUCCCAGGACGACUGAGAAAACAGAGGGUCCCGUUCGGAGGACUUAAAAACACCGAACGCCUUGCCAAGAGGUAAACUUGGUAGUUAUCCUUUCCCUUUCAAUUAUUUUAAAAUGGUUUGCUUAGUUAAUCAGGUUCAUAUCAUCUUGAAAAGAAAAUAAAAAUAGUAAGCCCCAUGUGAUUAUGCUCAUGGCAUAAAACCCAUAAGUACAUUCACUGUGGUGGCAUAAAAAUGAAAUAAAUAUAUUCCUGUCCUAUAAAAAUAAAAUUGUAAAAAUAAGAUUGUGAUCCUACUAAAGAGUGUAACCUAUAUUGAGGAGGCUCAACAUGAUAAAGGCUAAAUAUUUAUGCUAACACUUAACUAGUUCCACAAAGCUUUGUUGUCUAUUUGAGCUCCAUAGAAUUCAAGGAUCAAAGAAGACUAGCAGACGGAGGACAUCCUAACCGCUGUCAGGAUGCUGCCGACAUUCAAAUACACCUCCGUCACCUGCUAGCUACAUCAGAAGAAAUUACGUCAAAAUCCAGCUUGGGGGAGAGCACUCCCAUUUAUCCAGCUAAGUGUUCUACUCAUGUUUAUACUUUACUCUAAUAAUAAAAAGAUGCAUAAUCAUAAAAACCCAAAUAAAGAUUUUUUGCUUAUAUCUUUGCUUAGUUUGCUAAAUAAAUAAAUAAAGUUUGCUAUGAACCCUCAUGAUAAGCUCUCACAUGGAAAUGAUGAAUAGUUGCUCUGCCAUGACUAAUUCUCAAAAUUGAAAUCUCUCUCAAGUUUAUGCAUGACUGGUAUUAAUUAAGAUUUUCUCUCAAACUGAACUUGUGGGGAGAGUACUUGAUCUAAAAGUCUAAGUCGUUAACGGAUAUGAUAUGGGAAGGUUGAGCUGCUGUUUAUCUGUUCCUAGAGAUGCUAGAAUUCUGGAGAAUUUUAUCUUUGAAAACCUUUAAAAUGUUGCAUGAUGAGUUCCUGUAUGAUGAGAGUUUAAAUUCCUACCACAGCCAUAUAUACAUGCUUGCUAGACUUUGAGCCACACAAUUAUCUUUUUACUGCUUAUGAGCAUUGAGUGUGGUCAAGCUGUAGACCCUUACGAGCUUGUCAUGUGGUUAAAUCAAGAUUCACUUGCACGUUCACUCAGACAUGCUGCUUCUACUCUGGAAGUACGCAUCCACAUAUAUCCACUCAUUUCCGUCUCCAGAACCACCCAAAAAUAUUCUACUCCUAAUCCGAGAGAGAAUAGCCAAAAAUAUUUCUGUUUUUCCCCUAUGAAAUAAAUGCUCAAGUUAUCUUGGUUACUACCACUUGCUAUAUUAUUUCAGGAAAUGAGUGCUCUGAAAAAAAAGUGAAUACGAGGAAAUAAAAAGGGGCAAAUGCCCGGAACCUCGAAAGAAAAGAAAAAGUGACACGAGAGGUAAAAAUAGACAAGUGUCCGAUAGUAGAAUUAGGGGUACAAGAUACCCACCUGAGAGGAAAGAAAAAAAUACAGAGCAUCUCAUUCUCCCCAAAAGUUUCAAAAGAGCAAGAAAGGUAUGUAUCCUCUCAAAAGAGCAAAAGUAGAAUUAGACUUUCACCAUUGUUAUCACCAUCAUCACCAUACACCAUUCAUUCGCCACACAUGCACAUCUUGAUUUGACUUAUUGACUUGUUCUUCUGGAUCCAUGGUUUGACUAUGGAAUAAAUGUCUUGUAAGUAUGUAUUAGCUGUCUCCCACCUAUGAGCUCCAGAUAUCAAAAGCCUUAUUAGAGUAGGGUGAGAGAGAAGGCAAUGCCACUAUGCCUUAUACCACAAAUACCACAUACUUUGAGAGAAGGCAUAUACCAUCACUGCCUUGGUAAGGAUCCAGAAAUACCACAAAAGAGAGACUAGAGAGAGUCAUACAAGGAAUCUCUGAGUUUUAUUUGAAAAUCUGCAAAAACUCCAGAGCUAUAGUUAAUCGAAGAACAAGAGACAUGGUGCUUGACUAGACUGUUCUAUCUUUUAACUGCUCAAGACACAAGUGACGGUUACAAGCCCCAUGGUGGAAGGUAAAACGAGUAAGUUUAAAUCUUAACAGUUUACCCUAACCCAGAUAUGAGAUCUUGUUUGAACGCAUGUGUAUCUUUAAGGUAUGAAACCACUGAAGAAACUCUUGAGUUCAUCUUUGCUCAGGGACGAGCAAUGGUUAAGCUUGGGGGAGCUUGUUGACGGUCCUUAAUGCUCAUAUUUAACCAUCAACUAAUCAUGGAAAAGGAUCCAAAUGCAACCAACACCCAGACUUAGGGUUUUAUCUCAUAGAAUUCCAAGAGUUUUGGUGUUUGUCUAUUUCUGCAGCGGGUUAUCUGGAAAUACGGAGGAAAGGCCCACACGUCGGGUUUACAUAGAGAUAUUAACGUGCCGCGCAAUUUUCUAUCAUCUAGAAGACUCCAGAAGCCACGAGAACGAAGCGGAGGCCGAGAGGGCUCAGGCACAGGGCGCCCGCCCUAGUCCUGAGGGCGCCCGCCCUGCUACAAUGCUCAAUCAGAGUCCAAUUCGGGGACAACGCUCCACCGACCUAAAGGAUCAAGGAAAACCAUGUGAUUAAUGUCGGUUUGAUCCAACGGCCCAAAUUCAUCUGAAAAGACUAUAUAAGAAAGGCCCCCUGGCCCCUGGACAUCAUACCUCUUCUACAGAAUCAAAGUUAGGGUUUCAAUUCUUCAUCCAAGUAGAGAGGAUCCCUCUAGUUCUUCUAGUUCUACCUCUAGUUCAUCUAGAUCUAGUUCUAGUUCAUCUAGUUCUAGUUCUAGUUCCUCUAGUUCUAGUUCUAGUUAGUUCUAGUUGUAAUCUAUAAAAUAGGGAGAGAGAAGAGGAGAGCGGAGGAGGAGGAGCCGGAUCUGUCGGAUCUUCCUCAACAUUGUACUUUUGCAGCAACUGGUUCAUUCUUCAUCGUUCUCCAGGUUCUUCAAUUCAUAAUUCCUGAGUUCUCUAAUUACUUUUAUUUACAUUCAAGUUAUUUAUUGGAUUCCUGCUUGCAUCAAGUGCUCUAAUCUUUGAAACAUUAGAGUAGUAAUUAAUAGAUUAGACGUGGUGUUUAGUCUUGCAAUUACCUAGAAUUGCACCCAAUCCUGCGGAUUGUUGUGGUAGCCUUAGGGUAGUGACAGCCCUAACGGUCGAUGUAUUCCACCUCGUUUAGAUCGGUGUUUGUAGGACCGUAGUCGGAGCUUCCUAGCCCCCUUCUCAUCUCUUUCUGUGGUUAGUGUUCUGAUGUCCCGAAAUAGAUAAUCUUGAAGUAAUUCUUGAUUCUUAGAUCAACUAGAGAACUCUUAGGAAACUUCCUCUCUUCCCACCAAAAAUAAUUAUAUAGUUAUCCUUGGGUGAUCUUGGAUCUUAAUUAGUACACUCACAUUCUCUGUGGAAAAUCGAUACUCUGGAAUACUCCCAGGUGAAAGCUACAUCGGUAUCCGUGCGCUUGCGGAUUUUUCUGUUUGCGUUUAAAAUAUCCAACAGGCAGCCGGCCCCACCCUGGGGCCGGUCGGUGCCCUGUUUCGUCCGAUGCCCGUCGCCUUCUGGAGUCUUCCUCCCUCGCAUCCUUGGAAGCCAAGCAAAGUAUCCCUCCAUCGAUUUUAAGUCAGUUUGCUCCGACGGUGCACACAAGAUGAAGACGUGGGUCGCUGACGUGGCGGUUCCUUGCCCCCCUACUCCACCUCGGCCUAUAUAAGGACGCCCAAUGCUCCCCCAAGAGGCAUUCUACACCCCGGCGCUUCAUAUUCUCCACAUAAUUAGGGUUAGGGUCCCUAUAGUUGAUCUAGUUCUAGUUGAUCUAGAUCUAGUUCAUCUAGAUGUAGCAAUUAGGAGAGACUAGUUCUUCUAGAUCUAGUCUUGUUUAGAGAUUAGAGUGAUUAAGUAGAGGAGUAGAGAUUCUAGAGGAGUUCUGUCAUGUUGGUGCUUCUUCAUGGGUGUAUUCUUCUGGAUUCAGUUCCCUCGGCCGGAGCUGCGUUCUCAAGUACUUUUGUACUUACCCUUCUGAUUUAAGUAUGUAACUUGUUCUUAUUCGUUCUUUGGUUCACAACUCAUAUUGAGUGCUUUGAUCUUGGUCGUAACUUGGUCGAAGUAGUAUUUUGUAGUGCAGGCGUGGUGCCUAGGCUAGGUUUACUUGUGAAUGUCCCCUGAUCAGCCGAUCAGUGGUAGUUCACGUAGGUGACUUUAUAGCUGCGUUGAUUCCUCUGUAGUCCACUUCCCAUUGAUAGGACUGAUAGGCUUAUAGGUGCUUGGUAGGACAUUACUCUGAUUCUUCUCCUAUUCGGGGUUAGACGAUAUUAUACAAAGUUUACUGAGUCAAAACCAGAGUGUAUUAGCUAUUUCCUUUUUCUUGAUAUGAUCUAGCCUAAGUCUAUAUACUAUGUCAUCAUCACAACUAUUCCCUGUGUAUACGAUAUUUAAAACCUCCGGGUAAAAUGUGACACUGAUAUGAUAUCUAUGCGCUUGCGGAUAAUCUUACUUAAAUCUAUUUAAAUGGAGUGCAGUUAAUUUAUACCAACACCGAGCCAAUAGGGCCAUCCCCGCCCAAGAAUGCCUCAUCGACAACCGAGACCCUCAGGAUGCAUGCCACGACACCAACAAAAACCGAUGGCACAAGUGCGGGAGCCAAGAAUUGAGGCUACAACGUGCAUCAAGGGGGACGCUGUGACAGCGACAAGGACUGUAGGGCUCUCGAGCUACCAGGGCAAUCCGUAGCACGCAGUUGCCUAAUCCCUUUUGACUGCCUACAAGCAUCAUUAAAUACAAUGGUGAAACCAAGCCCAAGCUCUAGCUCACCGAUUUCCAUCUCACCUGCCAGUUGGGCGGAGCUCGAGGCGAUGACUGCACCAUCAUUGAUCAGUUUCCCCUAUUCCUCUCCAACAUGGCUCGCAGGUGGCUUGAGGAACUCCAUCCCAACCAGAUCUACAGUUGGGCCAACCUAGUUCGGGUCUUUGAGGGGAACUUCAAGGGAACCUAUGUCGGUCCCCAGCAAAUCAUGGGACCUCAGCAAGUGCAAGCAGUGUCCUAGGGAGUCCCUCCAUGACUACACGCAAUGCUUCUCCAAGUAGCACACCAAGCUCCUACACAUCCCUAACCAUGAUGUCAUCCUACUAUUUGUUUCUGGCACCACCUGUAGGGAGUUAGUUUGGGAACUAGGGCACAACCACCCAAAGACCAACGAUGAGGUGAUGGACGUGGUUGCCAACUAUGUAGCGGGUGAAGAAGUAGUUGGAGCAUUCUUCAAUGAUGGGAAGGACAAGGCAUAGGAACAAGCGGAUGGCAGCGAGGGCCUAAGUAAGGGCUCCAAGAAGAAUAGCAAGAAGAAGAAGAAGGUCCAGCAAGGCAAGUAGGAGGCUGCGGAUGAUGAUCUCAUCACUGCGGUUGAGCGCAAGAAACCUCGAGGUCCCCCUGAGGGGGCUAUCUUCAACAAGAUGUUGAAGGAGCCCUGCUCUUAUCACAAGGGAGGGGCCAACCACAAGCUUGAGGAUUGCCGCAUGCGCAAAAACUACUUCAACAGCUUGGCCUUCAAGAAGGAUUACCAGAAAAAGGACAAGGGUGGCGACAGAGGUGACGAUAAAGAUGACAACAAGUUCCUCGAGGUCCUCGACUGCUACAUGAUCUAUGGCGGCCCCUCGACAUAGCUCAUGUCCUUAUAGCGCAAGAGGGAGCAUCGAGAGGACUUCUCGAUUCGGGUGGCUACACCCUAGUACCUCGACUAGUCUAAUGCGGCCAUCACAUUCGACCAUGAUGACCAUCCAGAUCACGUCAUCAAUCGUGGUGUCUACCCGCUCGUCGUUGACCCAAUCAACGUCAACAUUCGCCUCUUGAAGUUGCUCAUGGACGGUGGCAGCUGUCGACACUAGCUAACACCACUUGAAUACUAGGUUGUCAUCCUUAGCAUGGUGCCAGAGUGUACAAAGGUAUUUAUGAAUGUAAAGGCUCUCUAGAAAAUAAUCUAUUCUACCGCAAGCGCACGGAUAAAACACCUCAUUGUAGCAUUUCACCAGGAAAGUAUUCCAGGUAUCGUUAUUUAUAAUUUUGCUUAAGAGGACAGUGGAAAUGAAGAUAAGGAUAAAAUCUAUCAAGGCAUAGACUAGAGAUAAACUUGCAAGAACAUGAUUACUAAUGAGGAACUCGUCACACAGUCACUUACUUUGGCAGGGGGUAAGCCAUAAUAAUAAUGAUAAUGAAAUAUAAGCUCAUGGGUAAAUAACACAGCGAUUAGAAAAUAGACUACUCCUUAUAUAUGUAAGGUGACGUUGGAUUAGCUACAGAAUGGAUUCUAAGUUAUCUACUAUCUACUAAGUCACAAUCUACUCUAGUUAUCUACAAGAUCAUAUAUAGCAUAAAAGACUCUUCAUUCAUGCAUAAGGAACAUUGCUAAAGUAAAUCAGAGCAUCGCAAGACUUACUCCGCAAAACAAAUUCUGCGUGUCCUAUCAAUGGAGGGUGGACUAUAUAAGAAUCAACGAAGCUGUCACUAUCGCGAACUACCACACAACCCAGCCAAUAGGAUACAUUUGCAGGUAAAUAACAUCUAAGCACCACGCCCACAUGUGAUCUACCACUUAACUCCCGCGCGUCAAGAGCUAAGCGCUUUGCAAACUUUUACAUAAACUCAUUAUCAAUCAUAACUAUAUCAAAUAUAGAACUAGAGCAAACUAAGAUCAUAAUAAAUAGAGACAUAAUGCAAUUAGAAUAAAGUAGUAGAGAAAGAUAUGAAAUAAUACCAAUCUUUAUUAACGAAGAUCCGAAUCCAGAGCGCUAGGAUCUACUUCUCUAAUUCUAUCUAAUCACCUUUAUUCCGGAGUUUUGCAUAAGUUUUCAAAAAUAAAGCUCAGAGUUCCUAGCUAUGAUUCUCUCAAGUCUCUCUAUAUGUGGUAUUUAUGGAUCCUUACAAAGAUGUCACCUACCUAUAGCUAAUGGAAUAUUUAAGUGGAGCUCAUAGGAGUGAAAAACAGCUUAUACAUAUGUUGUCUAAUCGAGCCAUGGAUCCAAAGAAACUCAGCAUAUAAUUAAAUCAAGAUGUGCAUGUGUGGUGGAGUAAAUGAUAGUAAUGGUGGAAAUAUAAGUAAUGAUAAAACUUACUUCUCAUUGCUCCUCAUAUUGCUAUCUUUCCUCUUCUUUGAUCUUUACUUUGGGAGAACAUGGGCUAUCUUUUCUUCUUUUCUUUUUUUUCAGGUGGGUAGUAGAUACCCCUAAUUCUACUAUCGGACAAUUGUCCAUUUUUUCCACUCAAGUGGGCAUAUUUGUACGCCUAAUUCGACUCCGGACACUUGUCUAUUUUUACCUAUCGUCUCACUCUUUUUCUUUCUUUUUCGAGGUUCCGGGCACUUGUCCCUUUUUAUUUCCUCGCAUAUUUUUGCAUAACCCAUGCCUCUUCCGCAUUGAAUCUUUUUGGAGAGAGAGAAUAACAACACUUGGGACAGUGAGUGAUAAUAUUUUUAGCAAUUUUUAAUGAAUGGUGGUGAAUGGUGUAGUGGAUGUGUGCAAGUGAAUAUCUUAAUUUAACCACAUGAAAAGCUCCUAAGGGUCUACACAGCUCGAUCAAACUCAAUGCAAAUAUAAGUAGCAAAAGAUGUUAUAGCAAGUAUGGCUGUGAUAGGAAUUUUGUCAUGCUAGGAACUCAUCAUGUGAUUUGCAAGUUUUCAAAAUAAAUCUCCAGAACUUAGUGUAGUAGGAACAAGAUAAAUAGUAGCUCAAACUUUAUAUCAUGCCUUUCUCUUACCUAGACUUUAGUUUUAGGUUCAUGCUUCCCAUAAAUAUUAAAUUUUAGUUUUUAGUAAUUCCUGGAAGAACUCUAAUAUAAAAGCUAGGUACUCAAAAGUAAGCAAACAGAGCAACUCUUCAUCAUUUCCAUCAUGCAUCUUUUUGGUCUUUCAUUUUUCUAGAGAUUAACUUAGCAGGAAAAAUAAAGCACACUUAUCUACACACUCUUUUUAUGUGGUUUGUAUUUUUAUAGAAUGCAGUAAAUUAAGCAAGAAAAAUAUUUAUUGGUUUUUCUAAGUUUUUCUCCUUAUGAUAAAUAAAACACUAAAUUAGAAAAGAAUAAAUAAGAAGGGCAAAUAAAAAUUACUUGAUAAAAUGGGGAGAAACUCCCCCAAGCUGGAUGUUGUUGUCGGUCUUACACAAAGUUCUAGAAUCGCAUCAUGGUGGUGAUGUUGUCGUUCAUUGUCGUGGUGUCUUGCCUUAGUUCUUGCACUGCAGUGGCGUGGUCCUAGUUCCACUUUUGUUGCUGUUCCAGAAGUCGUCCAUGUUCCGCUUGCGUAUUCUGGAUGUCGAGGAGGGUGUUGUUGGUACGGGUGAAGAAAGCGCCGGCCUCUUGGUAGUAGUCGUUUGUGAAAGCAUAAGAGGCGUCGGAGUACCGUCCUGCAUCGAAUUGGGGCGGGGGUCUAGACCUUGAAGCUCCAUAUGGAUCAGUGGAGUACUUGCCCGUAUGGAAAGGCGGGUUUGUCCACUGGUGAUCUUGGCACUCCGACCAUGUCUCCUGUGUUGGCUCUUGUGGUUGAGCAUGUCGAACCCAUGGGUCCCGAAGGACUCGGAGGUUGUAUUCUCAAUAAUGCAGGUGCGCUGCUCCUUCUGGCCCGGGAUCAGCUCCAUACCAGGUGCGUUCUUGAUGGGUGGUCAUCCUUUUAGAUGCCACUCGUUGUGGAGCUCUCUGGUUUACCGGUGUCACUGCAAUCUCAGUCAAAUAAUUUUGAACGACAUAGAGGCCAAGGUUCGGGUUAGGUAACCGAAUCUUGCCUUUAUUAUUGUAUAACAUAUACAUUAUGUUCCCCUCUUUUUUGAACAUCCGAGCUUGCCUAAAUGUGUCAUAACCAUGAUAAAUUCGUAACUCGUCUAUGAAUUCCAAUGAUGAGUUUUCUAGCAAAUUAAGAUUAGAGGCUAGACGAGUGACGAGUGAAGUACAACCGACAGGUCCCUGAAGACUUGGUAUACUAAGCCAAUGAGAAACCAAAAGAGUAACAGGUGAAGUAGGUGUUUUAUUUAUAGCAGCAUAUAGAAGUUGUAAAUCUCCUACUCUUACUUUUCUAAUAUCAUCACGAUGGAAAAGAUUGUACCCGAGCCACUGUUGACGGUCCUUAAAGCUCACAUUUAACCGUCAACUAAUCACAGAAAAGGAUCCAAAUGCAACCAACACCUAGACUUAGGGUUUUAUCUGACAGAAUUCCACGAGUUUUGGUGUUUGUCUAUUUCUGCAGGGGGUUAUCAGGAAAUACGAAAGAAAGGCCCACACAUCGGGUUUACAUAGAGAUAUUAACGUGCCGCGCAAUUUUCUAUCAUCUAGAAGACUCUAGAAGCCACGGGAACGAACGAGAGGCCGAUCGGGCCCGGGGGCAGGGCGCUCGCCCAAGUCCCUUGGGUGCCCGCCCAGCUACAGUAACCAAUCAGCUUCAAGUUCGCGGAUCGUGCUCCACCGACCUAAGGGACCAAGGAAAACCGUGCGAUUAAUGUCGGUUUGAUCCGACGGCCCAGAUUCAUCUGAAAAGACUAUAUAAGCAAAGCCCCCUGGCCCCUGGAGAGCAUACCUCUUCUACAGAAUCAAAGUUAGGGUUUCAAUUCUUCAUCCAAGUAGAGAGGAUCCCUCUAGUUCUUCUAGUUCUACCUCUAGUUCAUCUAGAUCUAGUUCUAGUUCAUCUAGUUCUAGUUCUAGUUCUUCUAGUUAUAGUUCUAGUUCAUUCUAGUUGUAAUCUAGAAAAUAGGGAGAGAGAAGAGGAGAGCGGAGGAGGAACCGGAUCUGUCGGAUCUUCCUCAACAUUGUACUUUUGCAGCAACUGGUUCGUCCUUCAUCGUUCUCCAGGUUCUUCAAUUCACAAUUCCUGAGUUCUUUAAUUACUUUUAUUUACAUUCAAGUUAUUUAUUGGAUUCCUGCUUGCAUCAAGUGCUCUAGUCUUUAUAACGCUAGAGUAGUAAUUAAUAGAUUAGACGUAGUGUUUAGUCUUGCAAUUACCUGGAAUUGCACCCAAUCCUACGAAUUGUUGUGGUGGCCUUAGGGUAGUGACAGCUCUAACGGUCGACGUAUUCCACCACGUUCGGAUCGGUGUUUGUAGGACCGUAGUCAGACCUUCCUAGCCCCCUUCUCAUCUCUUUCUGUGGUUAGUGCUCUAAUGUCCCGAUAUAGAUAAUCUUGAAGUAAUUAUUGAUUCUUUGAUCAAUUAGAGAACUCUCAGGAAACUUCCUCUCUUCCCACCAAAAAUAUUCAUAUAGUUAUCCUUGGGCGAUCUUGGAUCUUAAUUAGUACACUCACGUUCUCUGUGGAAAAUCGAUACUCUGGAAUACUCCCGGGUGAAAGCUACAUCGGUAUCCGUGCGCUUGCGGAUUUUUCUGUUUGCGUUUAAAAUACCCAACAAGCUUUCUGGCGCCGUUGCCGGGGAACGGUAGCUGUGCUAGUUUCGAACCAAGUCGCCCGUGUAUCCUUUUUCUUUUCGUUUUUUUUACCACACUCACCGUACCAUUUUCACCGUACCACAUGGAUUUCACUCUAAGCAUUAAUGAGCAUGGAAUUUAUUUCAUAGCCACUUCAUUUACUACAUGCUCAUAUGCAACAUCUUCACAAUCCAUUGGUCUCUCCAACAUCACCACAUUCGAGAUCUCCAACCCCCUCUUCCUUUCUAUUCAUAAAAACUUUAAAAGGGCGGUUGUCGAUGCAUAUGUCUAUAUUAAAUAUUACAGAUCUCGUUGAGUUGAUCUUGAUAUAGGUCAGCGUUGGAGGGGUAACCACUUCGCCGACAUAAAUUGAUGGUUUCCCAAGGACAACCUUAGUGUCCUCAAACAAGCACUGAUCAGAUUGUAACAUGAGCUUAUAAUUAUUUGCAACAUUACCUUGUGAGUUGAGCAUAUAAGGAUAAUUGUAAAAAUAUUCCUUCGGGUAUUCUUGUCGCUAACCUUUCCAGGAUUGGAGCAAGAAGAUCGGAUGAAUGACAAGUACAAGGUAUGUCCAACCAAUCAUCAUACAACAUUGAAUUAAAUUCAUCCAAACUUGAAUUUUGCAAAAUUCAAGCUUGGGGGAGUACUUUACAUAAAUACAUCCUUUGCCAUGUUGCUAUGUUGGUUGUCCCUACCUUUGAGACAUGCUCAAUUUGUUAAAUACUAAUCACACUACUUCAUCUCCACUUGAGUAGAUCUCUAUAAAUGCUCUCAUGCUACCUUUAUUUGCUUUAGUAUAUGUCUAGGCUUGGAGUAGUUUCUUUUAUCUCUUAAUUAAGCAUGGUGCUUAGUUUAGGGCUGAUGAUCUUACUUCCAAAGGAUUUGAAAUUAAGCAUGGUUCUUAGGUUAAAAUUCCCUCCUAAAUCAAAUUAGACAUGGUGUCUAGGUUGAUCUUUGAGCCGAUAGAAUGCUAUAGUAGAUAUUGGAUAUUUUGUUGGACUAACCCCUGCAGGAAAACUUUCAAUAUCGACCUGGGAAGUCCUGAGACAAACUCACAUUGGAGACAAAGAGAGAGACACAUGAAGUUUAACAAUUUACACAAGGAAGACAUAGCUCACAAGAGAUGAUCCAUAGAGGGUGCCACAAACACGAUGCACAACCGCUAAGAAAGGAAAGCUUCCACAAGGUGAUACUGUACCAUCACUCUUCAAGUAAGGUAAUAUCUUAAGGUACUUGACUAUCACUUUUAUAAGUUUCUCCUUGGUUCUAGCGUUCACAUGAAUAAAGAGACAAACAUGUAUGAUUUACAAGUCUUGAUUAACCAACCCAAUAGAUUCAACAUGUUUAGUCCUUCCACCUUUGUGAUCCCACACUCCUAAUCUUAUGAACUAAAAUGUUGCACACUCAAUCUUUGGAAGAUAUAUUUUAUAAAAAAACAACAUAAAUAUAGAUAUAUUAUCUUUCCAUUAGGUUGAGCGAAUUGAUCUGACAAAUGUUUUAAAUGUUAUACUCAUGAUCUUAUUAUCCAUCAACUCUGUCUUGCUCACUAUGCUUAAGGUUAGAGAAGAACAAAUACACUUUUGGUUCUGUUGGUGUUUUCCACCAACAAGGCCCAUGCACUUGAUCUCUGCCUUGUCUCUAUGAGCAGGUACACUUCGAGCAAAAAUAUGAAGGACUUUUACAACUCCCAGACUCCACUAAGUAAAGAACCUAGAUCUACGAGCACAAACACACUGGAGAUACUGGACACUCAGGCAAUCACUGCCCAGUGAUGCUUGAGGACGUAACUACUGGAGUAACCCCAUUGUGGAAGUAAUUACUGACCUUCUGCCGGUCAAGAGAGACAAUCGAGGACGCCCCGUCAUCCCGAUCUCCAUCGGCAUGGUGGACUUCCCAGAAGCACUCUGCGACUUUUGCUCCAGUGUCAACAUUAUGCCUAGGGGAAUAUUGAAGAACCUCUGCGUCCGAGUUGGUACCUUGUACGCCCCAGCAGACUUCAUGCUGAUAGAGACUGGUACUGAUGAGAGGGCACCGAUCAUCCUAGGGAGGCCAUUCCUGAACACCUCAGGAGCUAUCAUCUACGCUAGUGCUGCCAAGAUCAGUUUCUACAUCAAGGGUAAAAAGGAGACAUUUUCAUUCAAGAACAAGACUACACAAAUCUCAGAGCAAUCCCGACAUGAACCAAGGACGAGGACCAACAGGAGGAACAGGAACAAACAAAUGUGGACUGAGUCAGCUAAGAUGGUCACUGCAGUUCAAGGAGGUCAAGAUCGUCGACUUAAGUCACCGUUCCUGACCAAAAAGGACGACCCAGAUGGCAGGUUAGACAUUCCGAAAGGUUGAAGGUUAUUGACAUGGGAGAAGACAAGUACAAUCCACCCAUCAUGCUUGGAAGACCGUUCCUCAGCACCGUUAAAGCAAUCAUCUACAUUAGAACCAGAGAAGUCCACAUGCAUUAGCCCUCUGAGAAGGUACGCCACUAUUUUACUGACCCUAACUAUAUAGUUGAAGACUCUAAGCAGGUCAGGACAAAAAGAAGACGACGCAACCGCAACCAGAAGAGGCAAAUCAUCAAGGACGGAUGGGCAGACUACGAACGAGAAGUGGUAUGGUCUGAAGACAUACAGCUUGAAUAGAACUGUCCUGAGGAGACCGUAGCUCCGAGUCAGGUGUGUAGAGAGAAGAUAGUUAUACACGAAGAGGAGGCGCCGCCGGAACCACCGACUACGCCAUCCAGCGAAUCCCAGGACGACUGAGAAAACGGAGAGUCCCGUUCGGAGGACUUAAAAAAACCGAACGCCUUGCCAAGAGGUAAACUUGGUUGUUAUCUUUUUCCUUUCAAUUAUUUAAAAUAGUUUGCUUAGUUAAUCAGGUUCAUAUCAUCUUGAAAAGAAAAUAAAAAUGUUAAGUAAGCCCCAUGUGAGUAUGCUCAUGGCAUAAAACCCAUAAGUACAUUCACUGUGGUGGCAUAGAAAUAAAAUAAAUAUAUUCCUGUCCUAUAAAAAUAAAAUAUAAAAAUAAGAUUGUGAUCCUACUAAAAAGAGUGUAACAUUUAUUGAGAAGGCUCAACAUGAUAAAGGCUAGGUAUUUAUGCUAACACUUAACCAGUUCCACAAAGCUUUGUUGUCUAUUUGAGCUCCACAGAAUUCAAGGAUCAAAGAAGACUAGCUUCUGACAUUCAAAUACACCUCCGCCAGGGUGCUUCUGACAUUCAAAUACACCUCCGCCACCUGCUAGCUACAUUAGAAGAAACUACGUCAAAAUCCAGCUUUGGGGAGAGCACCCCCAUUUAUCCAGCUAAGUAUUCUACUCAUGUUUAUACUUUACUCUAAUAAUAAAAAGAUGCAUAAUCAUAAAAACCCAAAUAAAGAUUUUGUGCUUAUUUAUAUCUUUGCUUAGUUUGCUAAAUAAAUAAAUAAAUAAAGUCUGCUAUGAACCCUCAUGAUAAGCUCUCACAUGGAAAUGAUGAAUAGUUGCUCUACCAUGACUAGUUCUCAAAAUUGAAAUCUCUCUUAAGUUUAGGCAUGACUGUUAUUAAUUAAGAUUUGCUCUAAACCUGAACUUGUGGGAAGAGUACUUGAUCUAAAGUCUAAGUUGUUAACGGAUAUGAUAUGGGAAGGUUGAGCUGCUCUUUAUCUGUUCCUAGAGAUGCUAGAAUUCUGGAGAAUUUUAUCUUUGAAAAUCUUUAAAAUGUUGCAUGAUGAGUUCCUGUAUGAUGAGAGUUUAAAUUCCUACCACAGCCAUAUAUACAUGCUUGCUAGACUUUGAGCCACACAUUUACUUUUUACUGCUUAUGAGCAUUGAGUGUGGUCAAGCUGUGUGGACCCUUAGGAGCUUGUCAUGUGGUUAAAUCAAGAUUCACUUGCACGUUCACUCACACAUGCUGCUUCUACUCUGGAAGUACGCAUCCACUUAUAUCCACCCAUUUCCAUCUCCAGAACCACCCAAAAAUAUUCUACUCCUAAUCCGGGAGAGAAUAGCCAAAAACAUUUCUGUUUUCCCCUGUGAAAUAAAUGCUCAAGUUAUCUUGGUUACUACCACUUGCUAUAUUAUUUCAAGAGAUGAGUGCUCCAAAAAAAGAGAAAAAAAAUAAUACGAGGAAAUAAAAAGGGGCAAGUGCCCGGAACCUCGAAAGAAAAGAAAAAGGGAGACGAGAGGUAAAAAUGGACAAGUGUCCGACAGUAGAAUUAGGGGUACAAGAUACCCACCUGAGAGAAAAGAAAAAAAAGAAGAAAAUAUAGAGCAUCUCAUUCUCCUCUUCAAUAGAGCAAGAAAGGUAUGUAUCCCCUCAAAAGAGCAAAAGUAGAAUUAGACUUUCACCAUUGUUAUCACCAUCAUUACCAUACACCAUUCAUUCGCCACAUAUGCACAUCUUGAUUUGACUUAUUGACUUGUUUCUCUGGAUCCAUGGUUUGACUAUGCAAUAAAUGUCUUGUAAGUAUGUAUACUUUAUCUCCCACCUAUGAGCUCCAGAUAUCAAAAGCCUUAUUAGAGUAGGAUGAGAGAGAAGGCAAUGUCACUAUGCCUUAUACCACAAAUACUACAUACUUUGAGAGAAGGCAUAUACUAUCACUGCCUUGGUAAGGAUCAAGAAAUACCACAAAAGAGAGACUAGAGAGAGUCAUACAAGGAAUCUCUGAGUUUUAUUUGAAAAUCUGCAAAAACUCCAGAGCUAUAGUUAAUCGAAGAACAAGAGACAUGGCGCUUGACUAGACCUUUCUAUCUUUUAACCGCUCAAGACACAGGUGACGGUUGCAAGCCCCAUGGUUGAAGGUAAAAUGAGUAAGUUUAAAUCUUAACAGUUUACCCUAACCCAGAGAUGAGAUCUUGUUUGAACGCAUGUAUAUCUUAAGGCAUGAAACCAUUGCAGAAACUCUUGAGUCCAUCUUUGCUCAGGGACGAGCAAAGGUUAAGCUUUGGGGAGCUUGUUGACGGUCCUUAAAGCUCACAUUUAACCGUCAACUAAUCAUAGAAAAGGAUCCAAAUGCAACCAACACCUAGACUUAGGGUUUUAUCUGACAGAAUUCCACGAGUUUUGGUGUUUGUCUAUUUCUGCAGGGGGUUAUCAGGAAAUACGAAAGAAAGGCCCACACGUCGGGUUUACAUAGAGAUAUUAAUGUGCCGCGCAAUUUUCUAUCAUCUAGAAGACUCCAGAAGCCACGGGAACGAACGGGAGGCCGAUCGGGCCCGGGGGCAGGGCGCCCGCCCAAGUCCCUUGGGUGCCCGCCCAGCUAUAGUAACCAAUCAGCUUCAACUUCGCGGAUCGUGCUCCACCGACCUAAGGGACCAAGGAAAACCAUGCGAUUAAUGUCGGUUUGAUCCUACGGCCCUGAUUCAUCUAAAAAGACUAUAUAAGCAAGGCCCCCUGGCCCCUGGAGAGAAAACCUCUUCUACAGAAUCAAAGUUAGGGUUUCAAUUCUUCAUCCAAGUAGAGAGGAUCCCUCUAGUUCUUCUAGUUCUACCUCUAGUUCAUCUAGAUCUAGUUCUAGUUCAUCUAGUUCUAGUUCUAGUUCUUCUAGUUAUAGUUCUAGUUCGUUCUAGUUGUAAUCUAGAAAAUAGGGAGAGAGAAGAGGAGAGCGGAGGAGGAGCCGGAUCUGUCGGAUCUUCCUCAACAUUGUACUUUUGCAGCAACUGGUUCGUCCUUCAUCGUUCUCCAGGUUCUUCAAUUCACAAUUCCUGAGUUCUUUAAUUACUUUUAUUUACAUUCAAGUUAUUUAUUGGAUUCCUGCUUGCAUCAAGUGCUCUAGUCUUUAUAACGCUAGAGUAGUAAUUAAUAGAUUAGACGUGGUGUUUAGUCUUGCAAUUACCUGGAAUUGCACCCAAUCCUGCGGAUUGUUGUGGUAGCCUUAGGGUAGUGACAGCCCUAACGGUCGACGUAUUCCACCACGUUCAGAUCGGUGUUUGUAGGACCGUAGUCAGACCUUCCUAGCCCCCUUCUCAUCUGUUUCUGUGGUUAGUGCUCUGAUGUCCCGAUAUAGAUAAUCUUGAAGUAAUUCUUGAUUCUUAGAUCAAUUAGAGAACUCUCAGGAAACUUCCUCUCUUCCCACCAAAAAUAUUCAUAUAGUUAUCCUUGGGCAAUCUUGGAUCUUAAUUAGUACACUCACGUUCUCUGUGGAAAAUCGAUACUCUAGAAUACUCCCGGGUGAAAGCUACAUCGGUAUCCGUGCGCUUGCGGAUUUUUCUGUUUGCGUUUAAAAUACCCAACAACCACUUGUGGAACAUCCUAAGAGUGGGGUGUUCCAUGUCACUAGUUCGGGCUUGACUAUAAAACUCAUCUCUAUAUAUCUCUCUCCAGAAUCGGUGUCUCUCAAAAUUGGGUAAGUCGGAGUCAAUGUCCAGGAUGCAUCUUGAAGAGAAACCGAGAUGGUCGCUCAGUUCUCUCCAAGACAACAUAAUGUCCUAUUUGAACAUCCGAAAAGCGAUUCCCCGCUCAUAAUAUUGUAAAGUGCAAAGAAAUUCAAGGCUGAGAAGACGAGAACCCAGCUCAGUUAUGUUCCAAAAAUUUGUCCAUCCCACCAUCUGAAAAAUCAAAUCGAAUUCAGUAUCCAUACCUGUUUCUUGUAGCAAGAUGGGAUCAAGAGUGGGGGCGUGAAUGAAAUCCUUAUUCUUUAGCUACUGGUAAACUUCCUUCUCCCUGCGGGUCUUCAGUCCAAGGUCUCCUAUGUUGAGGAGGACCUUGACUCGCAGAUCAGAUGAAGAUGAUGGAGCUUGCGGGGGUGUCGGGUCGAUGCUCAUCUCUGACUGGUGUGAGGAGUGUCGGGAUGAACUCCUCGUACCUAUGUUCUUGAAGGCCUUGCUUACGUUCUUUACCUUUUUGAACAUCCUGCAAACAAAAUUUGACACAAACACAACUAGUGGAAAAUGUGAGAGAAAAUGUUAGUGGUCAGCUGUCCGAAAUGUCAGUAGUCUAGGGGUUAGUCGUUCAAGACAAGUUUUUGUUUUGGCAGCACCUCCCCCUAAACAACUUUUACUUCCGCUCUGGACAGCGGGAUCACUACUUACUAGGUGAACCUUACUCUCUCACUCAAAGACUACCAACCUCUCUUCCACUCUUCUCUUCCUCUCUACUCUUCUUCUCACUUCACUACAAGAACUCCUUCUCUGGAACAUAGCAGUGCACCUAUAGUAUCUCCAUCUAAUCCAUCCAUAUUUUUCGCGCACAAAUAACAGCGAGUACCAGAAAGUUAAAUGCAAGAAAACAUAGCAGUGCACCUAUGUUGGGUAUUUUAAACGCAAACAGAAAAAUCCGCAAGCGCACGGAUACCGAUGUAGCUUUCACCCGGGAGUAUUCCAGAGUAUCGAUUUUCCACAGAGAACGUGAGUGUACUAAUUAAGAUCCAAGAUCGCCCAAGGAUAACUAUAUAAUUAUUUUUGGUGGGAAGAGAGGAAGUUUCCUGAGAGUUCUCUAGUUGAUCUAAGAAUCAAGAACUACUUCAAGAUUAUCUAUAUCGGGACAUCAGAGCACUAACCACAGAAAGAGAUGAGAAGGGGGCUAGGAAGGUCUGACUACGGUCCUACAAACACCGAUCCGAACGAGGUGGAAUACGUCGACCGUUAGGGCUGUCACUACCCUAAGGCUACCACAACAAUUCGUAGGAUUGGGUGCAAUUCCAGGUAAUUGCAAGACUAAACACCACGUCUAAUCUAUUAAUUACUACUCUAGCGUUAUAAAGACUAGAGCACUUGAUGCAAGCGGGAAUCCAAUAAAUAACUUGAAUGUAAAUAAAAGUAAUUAGAGAACUCAGGAAUUAUGAAUUGAAGAACCUGGAGAACGAUGAAGAACGAACCAGAUGCUGCAAAAGUACAAUGUUGAGGAAGAUCCGACAGAUCCGGCUCCUCCUCCGCUCUCCUCUUCUCUCUCCCUAUUUUCUAGAUUACAACUAGAACUAACUAGAACUAGAACUAGAGGAACUAGAACUAGAACUAGAUGAACUAGAACUAGAUCUAGAUGAACUAGAGGUAGAACUAGAAGAACUAGAGGGAUCCUCUCUACUUGGAUGAAGAAUUGAAACCCUAGCGUUGAUUCUGUAGAAGAGGUAUGAUCUCCAGGGGCCAGGGGGUCUAGUUAUAUAGUCCCUUCAAGUGAAUCUGGGCUGUCGGAUCAAACCGACAUUGAUCGUGCGGUUUUCCUUGAUCCUUUAGGUCGGUGGAGCAUAAUCCGCGAAACGUGUCCUGAUUGGGCACUGUAGCUGGGCGGGCGCCCUGCCUCCGAGCCCGAUUUCCUUCCCGUUCGUUCCCGUGGCUUCUGGAGUCUUCUAGAUGGUAGAAAAUUGCGCAGCACGUUAAUAUCUCUAUGUAAACCCGACGUGUGGGCCUUUCUUUUGUAUUUCCUAAUAACCCCCUGUAGAAAUAGACAAACACCAAAACUCGUGGAAUUCUGUCAGAUAAAACCCUAAGUCUAGGUGUUGGUUGCAUUUGGAUCCUUUUCCAUGAUUAGUUGAUGGUUAAAUAUGAGCAUUAAGGACCGUCAACAAGCUCCCCCAAGCUUAACCUUUGCUCGUCCCUAAGCAAAGAUGAACUUAAGAGUUUCUGCAGUGGUUUCAUACCUUAAAGAUACACAUGCGUUCAAACAAGAUAUCAUCUAUGGGUUAGGGUAAACUGUUAAGAUUUAAACUUACUCAUAUUACCUUCCACCAUGGGGCUUGCAACCGUCACUUGUGUCUUGAGCAGUUAAAAGAUAGAACGGUCUAGUCAAGCGCCAUGUCUCUUAUUCUUGAUCAACUAUAGCUCUGGAGUUUUUGUAGAUUUUCAAAUAAAACUCAGAGAUUCCUUGUAUGACUCUCUCUAGUCUCUCUUUUGUGGUAUUUCUGGAUCCUUACCAAGGCAGUAAUGGUAUAUGCCUUCUCUCAAAGUAUGUGGUAUUUGUGGUAUGAGGCAUAGUGGCAUUGCCUUCUCUCUCACCCUGCUCAUAGGUGGGAGACAGCUAAUACAUACUUACAAGACAUUUAUUGCAUAGUCAAACCAUGGAUCCAGAAGAACAAGUCAAUAAGUCAAAUCAAGAUGUGCAUGUGUGGCGAAUGAAUGGUGUAUGGUGAUGAUGGUGAUAACAAUGGUGAAAGUCUAAUUCUACUUUUGCUCUUUUGAGAGGAUACAUACCUUUCUUGCUCUUUUGAAACUUUUUGAAGAGAGUGAGAUGCUCUGUAUUUUCUUUUUCUUUUCUCUCAGGUGGGUAUCUUGUACCCCUAAUUCUACUGUCGGACACUUGUCCAUUUUUACCUCUCGUCUCACUUUUUUUUCUUUUCUUUCGAGGUUCCGGGCACUUGCCCCUUUUUAUUUCCUCGUAUCUUUUUUUUUCUUUUUUUUUCUUUUUUUUUCUCUUUUUUUUAGAGAGCACUCAUCUCAUGAAAUAAUAUAGCAAGUGGUAGUAACAAGAUAACUUGAGCAUUUAUUUCAUAGGGGAAAAACAGAAAUAUUUUUGGCUAUUCUCUCCCGGAUUAGGAGUAGAAUAUUUUUAGGUGAUUCUGGAGAUGGAAAUGGGUGGAUAUAUGUGGAUGCGUACUUCCGGGUAGAAGCAGCAUGUAUGAGUGAUGGGUGGAUAUAUGUGGAUGCGUACUUCCGGGUAGAAGCAGCAUGUAUGAGUGAACGUGCAAGUGAAUCUUGAUUUAACCACAUGACAAGCUCCUAAGGGUCUACACAGCUUGACCACACUCAAUGCUCAUAAGCAGUAAAAUGUAAAUGUGUGGCUCAAAGUCUAGCAAGCAUGUAUAUAUGGCUGUGGUAGGAAUUUAAACUCUCAUCAUACAGGAACUCAUCAUGCAACAUUUUAAAGAUUUUCAAAGAUAAAAUUCUCCAGAAUUCUAGCAUCUCUAGGAACAGAUAAACAACAACUCAACCUUCCCAUAUCAUAUCCGUUAACGACUUAGACUUUAGAUCAAGUACUCUUCCCACAAGUUCAGGUUUAGAGCAAAUCUUAAUUAAUAACAGUCAUGCCUAAACUUGAGAGAGAUUUCAAUUUUGAGAACUAGUCAUGGCAGAGCAACUAUUCAUCAUUUCCAUGUGAGAGCUUAUCAUGAGGGUUCAUAACAAACUUUAUUUAUUCAUUUAUUUCGCAAACUAAGCAAAGAUAUAUAAGCACAAAAUCUUUAUUUGGGUUUUUAUGAUUAUGCAUCUUUUUAUUAUUUGAGUAAAGUAUAAACGUGAGUAGAAUACUUAGCUAGAUAAAUGGGGGUGCUCUCCCCCAAGCUGGUUUUCGACAUAAUUUCUCUUGAUGUAGCUAGCAGGUGGCGGAGGUGUAUUUGAAUGUCGGCAGCACCCUGGUAGCGAUUAGGAUGUCCUCCGUCUGCUAGUCUUCUUUGAUCCUUGAAUUCUGUGGAGCUUAAAUAGAAAACAAAGCUUUGUGGAACUAGUUAAGUGUUAGCAUAAAUAUCUAGCCUUUAUCAUGUUGAGCCUCCUCAAUAAAUGUUACACUCUUUAGUAGGAUCAUAAAUUUAUUUUUAUAAUUUUAUUUUUAUAGGACAGGAAUAUAUUUAUUUUAUUUUUAUGCCACCACAGUGAAUGUACUUAUGGGUUUUAUGCCAUGAGCAUACUCACAUGGGACUUACUAUUUUUAACAUUUUUAUUUUCUUUUCAAGAUGAUAUGAACCUGAUUAACUAAGCAAACUAUUUUAAAAUAAUUGAAAGGAAAAAGAUAACUACCAAGUUUACCUCUUGGCAAGGCGUUCGGUUUUUUUAAGUCCUCCGAACGGGACUCUCCGUUUUCUGAGUCGUCCUGGGAUUCGCUGGAUGGCGUAGUCGGUGGUUCCGACGGUGCCUGCUCUUCAUGUAUAACUAUCUUCUCUCUCCACACCUGACUCGGUGCUACGGUCUCCUCAGGACAAUUCUGAUCAAGCUGUAUGUCUUCAGACCUUACUACUUCUCCUUCGGAGUCUGCUCAUCCGUCCUUGAUGAUUUGCCUCCUCUGGUUGCGGUUGCAUCGUCUUCUUCUUGUCCUGACCUGCUUAGAGUCUUCAACUAUAUAGUUAGGGUCAGUAAAAUAGCGGCGUACCUUCUCAGAGGGGAAGUUCAUGUGGACUUCUCCGGUUCCAAUGUAGAUGAUUGCUUUAACAGUGCUGAGGAACGGUCUUCCAAGGAUGACGGGUGGAUUGUACUCGUCUUCUCCCAUGACAAUAACCUUAAAAUCUUUCGGAAUGUCUGAUCUGCCAUCUGAAGCUGAAUGUAUGUCGGUUGUAGGGACAUGGUUCCAUGCAGGAGCUGAUAAGUGACUGCGGCCAUUAUGUUGACGUUAGAUCCGGUGUCGUAGAGUGUCUUCUAAAAAGAAUAUCCGUUGAUUGUGCACUCGAUGCUUGGAACACCAGGGUCGUCCUUCUUGAUCAAGAAAGGUGACUUGAGUUGACGAUCUUAACCUCCUUGAGCUGCAGUGACCAUCUUAGCUGACUCGGUACACAUUUGCUUGUUCCUAUUCCUCCUGUUGGUCCUCUUCCUUGGUUCAUGUCAGGAUUGCUCUGGGAUUUGUGUAGUCUUUUUCUUGAAGGAAAACGUCUCCUUCCAUCCCUUGAUGUAGAAACUGAUCUUGGCAGCACUAGCGUAGAUGACAACUCCUGAGGUGUUCAGGAAUGGCCUCCCUAGGAUGAUGGGUGCCCUCUCAUCAGUACCAGUCUCUAUCACCACGAAGUCUACUGGGGCGUAUAAGGUACCAACUCGGACGUAGAGGUUCUUCAAUAUUCCCUUUGGGAAACUUAGUGUCUGAUCUGCAAGAUGCAAACACAUGGUUGUUUCUAGGAAAGGAUGUGUAAAGAAUUUUUUCAUAGAGUACCCUGGGCAUAAUGUUGACGCUGGAGCCAAAGUCACAGAGUGCUUCUGGGAAGUUCACCAUGCCGAUGGAGAUCGGGAUGACGGGGCGUCCUGGAUUGUCUCUCUUGACCGGCAGAAGGUCAGUAAUUACUUCCACAACGGGGUUACUCCAGUAGUUACGUCUUCAAGCAUCUCAGGGCAGUGAUUGCCUGAGUGUCCAGUAUCUCCAGUGUGUUUGUGCUCGUAGAUCUAGGUUCUUCACUUGGUGGAGUCUGGGAGUUGUAAAACUCCUUUAUAUUUUGCUCGAAGUGUACCUGCUCAUAGAGACAAGGAAGAGAUCAAGUGCAUGGGCCCUGUUGGUGGUAAACAUCAACAGAACCAAAAGUGUAUUUGUUCUUCUCUAGCCUUAAGCAUAGUGAGCAAGACAAAGUUGAUGGAUAAUAAGAUCAUGAGUGUAGCAUUUAUAACAUUUGUCAGAUCAGAUUGCUCAACCUAAUGGAAAGAUAAUCUAUCUAUGCUUAUGUGUUUUCUCUCUUUUUUCAUAUAUAUCUUCCAAAGAUUGAGUGUGCAACACUUUAGGACAAAACAUGUUGAAUCCAUUGGGUUGGUUAAUCUAGAGUUGUAAAUCAUACAUGUUUGUCUCUUUUAUUCAUGUGAACGCUAGAACCAAGGAGAAGCUUAUAAAAGUGAUAGUCAAGUACCUUAAGAUGUUACCAUACUUGAAGAGUGAUGGUACAGUAUCACCUUAUGGAAGCUUUCCUUUCUUAGCGGUUGUGCAUCGUGUUUGUAGCACCCUCCAUGGAUCAUCUCUUGUGAGCUAUGCCUUCCUUGUGUAAAUUGUUAAACUUCAUGUGCCUCUCUCUUUGUCUCCAAUGUGAGUUUAUCUCAGGGCUUCCCAGGUCGAUAUUGAAAGUUUUCCUGCAGGGGUUAGUCCAACAAAAUAUCCAAUAUCUACUAUAGCAUACUAUCGGCUCAAAGAUCAACCUAGACACCAUGUCUAAUUUGAUUUAGGAGGGCAUUUUAACCUAAGCACCAUGCUUAAUUUAAAACUCCUUGGAAGUAAGAUCAUCAUUCCUAAACUAAGCAACAAGCUUAAUUAAGAGAUAAAUGAAACUACUCCAAACCUAGACAUAUACUAAAGCAAAUAAAGGUAGCAUGAGAGCAUUUAUAGAGAUCUACUCAAGUGGAUAUGAAGUAGUGUGAUUAGUAUUUAACAAAUUGAGCAUGUCUCAAAGGUAGGGACAACCAACAUAGCAACAUGGCAAAGGAUUUUUUUUAUGUAAAGUACUCCCCCAAGCUUGAAUUUUGCAAAAUUCAAGUUUGGAUGAUUUAAUUCAAUGUUGUAUGAUGAUUGGUUGGACAUACCUUGUGCUUGUCAUUCAUCCGAUCUUCUUGCUCUAAUCCUGAAAAGGUUAGUGACAAGAAUACCCGAAGGAAUUUUUUUACAAUUAUUCUUAUAUGCUCAAUACACAAGGUAAUGUUGUAAAUAAUUAAAAGCUCAAGUUACGAUCUGAUCAGUGCUUGUUUUAGGACACUAAGCUUGUCCUUGGGAAACCAUCGAUUUAUGUCAGUGAAGUGGUUUCCCCUCCAACGCUGACCUAUAUCAAGAUCAACUCAACGAGAUCUACAAUAUUUAAUAUAGACAUAUGCAUCGACAACCGCCCUUUUAAAGUUUUUAUAGAUAGAAAGGAUGAGGGGGUUGGAGAUCUCGAAUGUGGUGAUGUUGGAAAAACCAAUGGAUUUUGAAGAUGUUGCAUAUGAGCAUGGAGUAAAUGAAGUGGCUAUGAAAUAAAUUCCAUGCUCAUUAAUGCUUAGAGUGAAAUCCAUGUGGUAUGGUGAAAAUGAUAAGGUGGGUGUGGUAUAAAAGGAAAAGAAAAAGGAUACACGGACGACUUGGUUCGAAACUAGCACAGCUACCGUUCCCCGGCAACGGCGCUAGAAAGCUUGUUGGGUAUUUUAAACGCAAACAGAAAAAUCCUCAAGCGCACGGAUACCGAUGUAGCUUUCACCCGGGAGUAUUCCAGAGUAUCGAUUUUCCACAGAGAACGUGAGUGUACUAAUUAAGAUCCAAGAUCGCCCAAGGAUAACUAUAUAAUUAUUUUUGGUGGGAAGAGAGGAAGUUUCUUGAGUGUUCUCUAGUUGAUCUAAGAAUCAAGAAUUACUUCAAGAUUAUCUAUAUCGGGACAUCAGAGCACUAACCACAGAAAGAGAUGAGAAGGGGGCUAGGAAGGUCUGACUAUGGUCCUACAAACACCGAUCUGAACGAGGUGGAAUACGUCGACCGUUAGAGCUGUCAGUACCCUAAGGCUACCACAACAAUCCGUAGGAUUGGGUGCAAUUCCAGGUAAUUGCAAGACUAAACACCAUGUCUAAUCUAUUAAUUACUACUCUAGCGUUAUAAAGACUAGAGCACUUGAUGCAAGCGGGAAUCCAAUAAAUAACUUGAAUGUAAAUAAAAGUAAUUAGAGAACUCAGGAAUUAUGAAUUGAAGAUCCUGGAGAACGAUGAAGAACGAACCAGAUGCUGCAAAAGUACAAUGUUGAGGAAGAUCCGAUAGAUCCGGCUCCUCCUCCGCUCUCCUCUUCUCUCUCCCUAUUUUCUAGAUUACAACUAGAACUAACUAGAACUAGAACUAGAGGAACUAGAACUAGAACUAGAUGAACUAGAACUAGAUCUAGAUGAACUAGAGGUAGAACUAGAAGAACUAGAGGGAUCAUCUCUACUUGGAUGAAGAAUUGAAACCCUAGCUUUGAUUCUGUAGAAGAGGUAUGAUCUCCAGGGGCCAGGGGGUCUAGUUUUAUAGUCCCUUCAAGUGAAUCUGGGCUGUCGGAUCAAACCGACAUUGAUCGUGCGGUUUUCCUUGAUCCUUUAGGUCGGUGGAGCAUAAUCCACGAAACGUGUCCUGAUUGGGCACUGUAGCUGGGCGGGCGCCCAGGAGAGUUGGGCGGGCGCCCUGCCUUCGAGCCCGAUUUCCUUCCCGUUCAUUCCCGUGGCUUCUGGAGUCUUCUAGAUGGUAGAAAAUUGCGCAGCACGCUAAUAUCUCUAUGUAAACCCGACGUGUGGGCCUUUCUUCUCUAUUUCCUGAUAACCCCCUGCAGAAAUAGACAAACACCAAAACUCGUGGAAUUCUGUCAGAUAAAACCCUAAGUCUAGGUGUUGGUUGCAUUUGGAUCCUUUUCCAUGAUUAGUUGAUGGUUAAAUAUGAGCAUUAAGGACCGUCAACAACCUACACGAAUAUAUAUCUCAUGCAUGCAUGCAGGACAUGCCACCGUCCAUUUGCAUGCACUUGCAUGCAAGGACAUGGUGAUUAGGCACCGUCCAUUUGCAUGCAUCGUGCAUACAAAUUAGGCACCGACCAUACGCUACAGUAGCAUUUUUAAUGGCACGCAGCUGAGCGCUUUGGCCUAUAAAAAGCCAGCCUCAGGUGCUCACUCUCACCACCCGAGAAGCACGUUCACUCACUCGCUCACUCACUCUCACUUUGCGUAUACUGUAUACGGCCAUACGCACAAGCUGAGCUCGACUGUCGUCGCAAGACGAGGUGAGCAGCUCAUGAGCAUCUCCUUGCUCUUCUCUGUCUUUCUGUAGUAUUUUUCCUGUAUUUUUUCCUUGUAUUUGUCUCUACUGAUUCACUGCCAAGAACUCCACGAAUAGAACCAUGACAUACAGAAGAGCUCUAAUGACCCCUGCUAAUUUCUCUCUAACCAUGCAUGCGUGGGCCAUAAGCAUUAAUUUCACCAAAUAGUACAUGCAUGCAUGCACUACCAGCCAAGCAAAUGCCCACGUGAAACAUCUAUUCCUUAAUCAUUGUUAGUCUUUUUCGCAUGAUUAAAUUUCGAUCAUUUUACAAAUACCACAUGCUAACUCUGAUUUCAAUAAUUAUUUUUCCUAAAUUCAUCCAAAAUCAUGAUCUACCUCCCAUAUUAAUUUCAUGAUUUUUAGAGCUUAUUUGAAUUAUGUAAUUAUUUAUCUGAGCUUGUUGUCUGUGUCGGUCAUCGCGUAUUUUAGCUGACGGAGUGAACGAGCCGGAAAACGAGAACGUUGGAGACGAGUACCGCGAGUUUGACACCGAGGACCUGGACUGUCAGCAGGAGUUUGCCGAGGACGCCGACGGAGGCAAGUCCAACCGAUCCCCUUUGAUGCAUAUUGAUCCUAUUUUUAAACACAACCCGUAGAAGCCGUUUUAAAUAUUGCAUGUACGAUAUAUGUACGAAGUAUUUUUGCUGCUUAGUUAAAACCUGUUGAAUAGCCAUCCUUGAAUUGAUAUUACCUGAUAAUUGUCUUGUUCGAACCUAGGAACAAAUAAUAUGCUAUGACAGAAAUAUUAUUAUUUAGUAUGCUUAGGACUUGUUACUCAUCCUGGAUACUCAUCGCUAUAUUUUUCCAAAUAUAAUGAUUUUAAAAGUAAAAGGUGUGAGUGGUGAAAAUAAAUUGUGGGUAUGGUGAAAGGGUUAAUGAACAAGUUAUAGAUGUGAUUACUAUGGAGAUGGGGCGGAUGAGAUCUCUUUUGGGGAUGCCCUGGUGUUGUGGCUUAUACCUUACGGGUUAAGCGUGAAGAUAUCCGCCUUGUCUCGAUUAAGGACUGAGUUGAUGAUUCAUCUUGCCUAACUCAUUUAUCGUACAACCACUCGUCUUGCAUGGGAAAGGCUUAGUCUAAAUCUAUCUAGUUAUUAUGGCAAUCACCUGGAGGCAGGUGUGCAACGGGACACUAAGUGAUGUAUGUGAAAUUGUGGAAAUAUAUGAAAAGAGCUUUGUGAAUUAUUGUGGUAUCAUGAGAUGUGGCCUUAGUGUUCCCGUGGUGAGCGCCAAUACUUAGCUAUAGAGGGUAAUGACUUUGAUGGAUCUGUGCUUGCACGACGGUGUAAGUUAUGGUAUCCUACUUGUGGGAAAAGUGUACAACCUCUGCAGAGUGUAAAUCUAUCUAGAUAGCCGUGUCCGUGGUCUCGGAUGGGUUAUGGUUUGGUUUCAACAACUAGAUGGGUUCGGAUGAGUGAAAACAUGAGAGUGAGUGUGAUUUUGGAAAUAAAUGGUUGACUGCCAUUGUGUUGUGGGAACAAGGGUUCAACAACACUUAAAAUUGUGAUCAAACCCCCAUUUUUAGAAAUACUAUCAUAUGUGCAAAAAGAGUUCUUUUACAACAGUAUUUGUGAAAUGAAACCUUGCAUGUGUAAAAAGAUAGCUUUAUGCAAAUAAAACUAAGCCUCAUCCUUGAUUUAUCCAUAUGCAUAUAUAUUGUUAUCCCCUUCCGCAGGGUAAGGUUGGAUUUGCUGAGUACUUUGUACUCACCCUUGCUUUAUUAAACAGAGGAAGAUCCGGACUUUGAUCCCGAAGUGGCGUUCGAGUAAGGUCGUGUCUGCACCCAACUAAGCAUGUGGGAUUGGGACUCGUCAGAUGUUCGAUUGUGAUAUCAUUUGUUUCUGGGUCCUUUGGACCAAUGUUGUAUUUUGGUGUCUUAUUAUUAUAGCGUGCCUUCCUUGUCCACGCUUUCCGAGACUACUGUGCUGAAACUUAUCUGAUGUAAUAAAUGUGUUACUAGCCUCCUGAGACUAGUAUUGUAUCACAUUUAAGUUCCUGGUUUACCAGGGGCGCUUCAGGUGGUAUCAGAGCCGUAGUUGGCUGUAGAACGCGACCUUAGGCUUUUCUGGACCAGUAUUUUACUAAAUAAACGUAUUUUACAAAAGUUCUUACCCUCUUCCCUCAAUUUGAAAAAAAUAUUUACUCUCAUCUAUGUCUCUCAGAUGGCAGAAGGAGUUUGGACCAGCAGUUACUGUCUAAGUGUAGAAGGCUUUCCCAAGCUCUUGUAUGCUACCAUGCAGAAACUUGGAAUCAAGGAUGGUCCAGAAUAUGAAGGUAGAGAAUAUGAAGAGCAUGAGACCGAGCGGUGUGAAGUUACCGUCUAUAUUGGGAAAAGUGAGGACUUCCCUAACAUAGCCGAAGCUUGGAGUAUGACUGCGACCAGAUUUCGGUUUGCAGAUACAGAUCAAGCCGUCGUCCGCAAAGCCUUGAGGUACCUAUGCUAGAUCUACGAGAAGCCCAUCACCCGUACACCCAUGAGGUUCUUUCCACCUGACGAAAAAGACCGACCAGUUUGGAGGACCCGCAUGGAGCUCUUGCAAUGACGCUACUCACUUGAAGAUGACCCAACUGUGGUAUUCAUGACCACAUACCUACUUGCUCUAGAUAAGCAAUAUGAUGAGCAGGCCUCAGAGUUAAGGAAGUGCAUCCAUCGUGCGGAGGAAGCCAAGAUCAUAGUUAGAAAGCUCCAUGUGCAGCUUGUAGAAGCUCAGGCCCAAGCAGCUGCAGCCGAGAGUCGUGAAACUGCCAUUGCUGAAGUCUUGAAGGCAGCUGAAGACCGCCAUGCUCAGGAGUUGAAGGAUGCCUACCUUAUCACCAGGAUCAAAAGAAGGAUGUUAGCAGUGGAAGACCAAAACCCCGUAAUCCUAGAAGGAAUCCCAAUCAUGUCCCUAAAAACCAAAAGAAAGAUGGACAUAGAAGGGCCAUCAGCUCCCCCACCCACAGAAGCCUCUCAUGAAGCUUUAGAGUUGGAGUCCACUAAGGAAGAAGGAUUUCCCCUCCUCACCCAGCCGGCACCAAAAGAAGACAGUGACCCACCUCUUAGUCCAAAGGAAGAACCACAGAUGUCAGAAGCAUGAUCCUCCUCAACACCAAGGGAAUGAAGUUGUUCUGUCCGAAGAAGUUGAAGAAUAGUAGCACCUAGUUCCUCCUUUUGUCUUGGGGAAGUGAAGUUUACUUAACUUUUGUUCAACCCCCAAAGUAGAUGAACUGUAUUGUAGUACGCUUAUUUCCUCCAUUACUAUGUUGUAAACCGCCUGAAAGCCCUAGUUUGGUUUUGGAUAAUUGAUGAAACCUAUGUGUACUAACCUUUGUCAUGAGUGAAAUAUAAAGAUAGGUUGGUACACACUAGGUGAUGGAGCUAGAUGAUGGUCAUGGUGAUGGAGGUGAUCAAAAGAUGAUAUUCAAGUGCUCCAACUUGGAAAAGAAGAAUGAGAAAAACAAAAUGGGCUCAAGGCAAAGGUAUUUUUAAUAGGGCCAUUUUGUUUUGCCACUCAAGACACCUAGUGGUUGUGAGUGGAUUUAGGAUAGAUAACCGUACUAUAAAGAGGGGAAAUCUUUAAUUGCAAUGGUUAUCUAGUGCCACUGAAUAGGUUUCUCAUUUGCAUUUACCUAGCGCUUAGUGACGUGGUGAGCUGCUUGAGAAAGCCUAUAAAAAUAUUUGUGAAAGGCUAAUUUAAAUGUCCAAUUUAUUUUGGAACAUUUUAGUGAAAUUAGCUACUUUAAAAGGUGCUGAAAAUUCAUAGAAUGUGAGCUGCUGUCCAGACGUAAAAGAACUGCAAGCUGCUGAAACAAACUGAAAGUUUUUGUAAGUAGCUGAAUCAAGUUGGAAGCAGUUGCAAUCAGUUAAAACUAGUGGACAGUUCAAACAGCAAGCGGGUGAAUAUUUUUGCAAGAAGCUGGAAGCAGUUGCGACCAGUUGCAACCAGUUGAAAUCAGUGCACAGCUCAACAGCAAGCAAAUGAGUGUGGUUGCAAGUAACUGGAGGCAGUCGCAACCAGUCAAAUCCAGUGUGCAGCCCAACAGCAAGCAGGAGAAAGAGAGCUGAAAGCAGUUGCAGCUAGUUGGAACCAGUUGUAAGAAUUUACAAACGUUGGCUGCUGUCUGUCUUGUUCGAAAGAAGGAAAGAGCAGAGACUUUGUUUGCAUACGUUGCAUGUGGUGGAGCUCUUGCCUUAAUAAAUGAAAGAGAGAAAGAGAAAAGUGAUUUGCAUGCAUGCAUGCAAGUGUGAACACACCUUAAUAAAAGGAGGCAGCCAUUGACCUUUGCUCUUCAUAGAGUUGUCCACUCAAGUACAAGGAGGUACUAAUUUGCUCUGUUGUGCAGCUCGUCCCAUUUGAAGUGGAGAAGUGGCAGGAGUGCAUGCGCAUGGACUGCAGGGUUGCAGCUCUUUGCCACUUGCUCAUUUAAUUGAUGGGACCCAUUGCUGAGAAAAUACAGAGAGCCACUCAAUGCCUGUGCUGCUGCCCGUUGUGGAAAACGGUACUAUUGUUUUGCCCGUUGGAGAGCUGGCUGGCCAAAUAAUUUAGGCCGAGUGCUCCACUUCCUGACCCUCUCUCUCGCGGAUACAGAACGCUUCACUUCUUUCUUUCCAGAGAACAGAAAACUCGAGCUCCCCUCUCCCAUCUCUCCCAAGUGCUAAUCCUACGAGAGAUUUUUGAGAGGCCUGCGUGAUUGAUCCAGUGAGCUCGUGAGCAUCUCCUCCCUCUCCUCUCCCUCUCAUAGCUUGGUGCUCAUCUGAGAGAGGAUUGAGGGUAACCCUAGGUGCAUUUGAAACUGCAUUUUCUUGUGGCACUAGGUGAUUAUUGUGAUUGUGGAUUUCUUAUUACUCUUGGUGAUUGCCGUCACCUAGACGGUUGUGGAUUUGUUGAUUGGUGAGGGGAUUUGGUGAUUGUGUCCGCCCCCAAUCAAGGUGAUAUUUGUGAGGGGUUCUUGGGCUUAUUCCCCGGCAGAGUGCCAAAAGUCACUCUAGUGAAUUGCUCGUGUCAUUGAGCUACCUCACUUGUGGGUAGGUUCUUGUGGCGCCCAUUUGUUGGGCUAGGUUUGUGAAACACCUAUUAGCCGCCGAACCACUAAGUGUUGGUCGACACAACGGGGACUAGCGUGCCGGCAAGCACGUGAACCUCGGGAGAAAAAUAUUGGUGUCAAUAUUAUGAUUGGUAUUCUCCCGGUGAAUAUAUUGAUAUACAUUGUGAUUGGUUCAUCCUCUACACAUCGGUAUAAUUAUCACUCAUCUCUUUACUUUCUUGUAAACUAGUUGUAACUAGUAGUACCUAGUUUUAGCUGGUUGUAACUAGUUGUAGAGAGUAGUGACUUAGCCGUUGUUUGUCCUUAGUGAUCAUAGUAACUAGAAUUAUUGAAUAGGUGGCUUGCAACUUUUGUAGAGCUAGAGCAAAAUUGCUUUACGCCUUUUGUUAUACUAAUCCUUUGCUCUAGUGUCUUGUAGAAUUUUUAAAUAGGCUAUUCACCCCCCCUCUAGCCAUAUUAGGACCUUUCAAGUGGUAUUGGAGCCGUGGUCACCGUUUAAUCAAGGCUUAACAACCUUCGGUGUCAAAAGAUGGCUCAAAUUGUAUUCAACCAUGUGGGGGGCAAACCACCGUUCUUUGAUGGUACAUGCUAUGAUUAUUGGAAGAGAAAAAAUGAAGAUGUAUUUGGGUUCAAUCAAUGAUCAAGUGUGGGAUGUGACAGAAAAUGAUUUUGUGAUUCUUGAUCCCACCAAUCUCACCAACCAAGAUAAAGCAAACAAGCAAUGCAAUACUAUGGCUCUCAACAUUAUAUAUAAUGCAAUUGAUUCAAAAGUGUUUGAGCAAAUCAAGGAUUGUGAUAGGGCAAGUGAAGUGUGGAAGAGAUUGGAGGAAACAUAUGAGGGCACACCGGCGGUCAAGAGUGCAAAAUNNNNNNNNNNNNNNNNNNNNNNNNNNNNNNNNNNNNNNNNNNNNNNNNNNNNNNNNNNNNNNNNNNNNNNNNNNNNNNNNNNNNNNNNNNNNNNNNNNNNGAUGUUCAUUCAUCACACAAAUGAUAAUGAUGGAAUUCAUAGUAUAACAUUUGGUGAUAAUGGCAAAGGCAAGGUCAAAGGGCUUGGUAAGAUUGCAAUAUCCAAUGAUUUGAGCAUUUCCAAUGUGCUACUAGUAGAGAGCUUGAACUUCAACCUAUUGUCAGUAGCUCAACUUUGUGAUCUUGGUUUCAAGUGCAUAUUUGGUGUGGAUGAUGUAGAGAUUAUAAGUGUAGAUGGCUCUAACUUGAUAUUCAGAGGAUUUAGAUAUGAGAAUCUAUACUUGGUUGAUUUCAAUGCUAGUGAAACUCAAUUAUCAACAUGCUUGCUCACUAAAUCUAGCAUGGGUUGGUUAUGGCAAAGAAGGCUUGGUCAUGUUGGAAUGAAACAAUUGAACAAGUUGAUAAAGCAUGAUCUAGUUAGAGGCUUGAAAGAUGUCACAUUUGAGAAAGAUAAGCUAUGUAGUGCAUGUCAAGCCGGAAAGCAAGUUGGUAACACACAUCCUAAGAAGAGCAUCAUGAGCACAUCUAAGGCAUUUGAGCUAUUGCACAUGGAUUUAUUUGGGCCAACAACAUACACUAGCAUUGGUGGAAAUAAAUAUGGCUUUGUGAUAGUGGAUGAUUUUACAAGAUAUACAUGGGUAUUCUUUCUUGUUGAUAAGAGUGAUGCUUUUGCAACUUUCAAAUCAUUUGUCAAAAGAGUUCACAAUGAGUUUGAAACAACCAUCAAGAGAGUAAGAAGUGACAAUGGUAGUGAGUUCAAGAAUACAAGAGUUGAUGAGUUAUGUGAUGAUUUUGGAAUUAGGCAUCAAUUCUCGGCUAAGUAUACUCCUCAAUCAAAUGGCCUUGUUGAGAGAAAGAAUAGAACUUUGAUUGAUAUGGCAAGGUCUAUGCUUAGUGAAUACAAUGUAAGUCAUUCUUUUUGGGCCGAAGCUAUCAACACGGCUUGCUACUAUAGCAACCGCCUAUAUUGCCAUCCUAUGUUGGAGAAUACACCAUAUGAGAUCUUGAAUGGUAGAAAGCCCAAUAUUGCAUACUUUCGGGUCUUUGGCUGCAAAUGCUAUAUAUUGAAGAAAGGCACUAGAUUGAGCAAAUUUGAGAAGAAAUGUGAUGAAGGCUUCUUGCUUGGUUACUCCACUACUAGUAAGGCUUAUAGAGUUUGGAAUUUGGCUAAUGGUACUCUUGAGGAAGUUCAUGAUGUUGAAUUUGAUGAAACAAAUGGUUCCCAAGAUGAAGAUGAGAAUCUAGAUGAUGUGAGAGGUACUCAAUUGGUCAAUGCUAUGAAGACCAUGGAUGUUGGUGAUAUAAGGCCUAGAGAGAUGAUUGAUGUUGAAGAUGACAAAAAUCAAGUGCUCUCUAACUCAAAUGUGAAAGCUAGUGGUUCUCAUGAUAUAUCUCAAGCUAGUACAAGUGGUGCUCAAGAAANNNNNNNNNNNNNNNNNNNNNNNNNNNNNNNNNNNNNNNNNNNNNNNNNNNNNNNNNNNNNNNNNNNNNNNNNNNNNNNNNNNNNNNNNNNNNNNNNNNNNNNNNNNNNNNNNNNNNNNNNNNNNNNNNNNNNNNNNNNNNNNNNNNNNNNNNNNNNNNNNNNNNNNNNNNNNNNNNNNNNNNNNNNNNNNNNNNNNNNNNNNNNNNNNNNNNNNNNNNNNNNNNNNNNNNNNNNNNNNNNNNNNNNNNNNNNNNNNNNNNNNNNNNNNNNNNNNNNNNNNNNNNNNNNNNNNNNNNNNNNNNNNNNNNNNNNNNNNNNNNNNNNNNNNNNNNNNNNNNNNNNNNNNNNNNNNNNNNNNNNNNNNNNNNNNNNNNNNNNNNNNNNNNNNNNNNNNNNNNNNNNNNNNNNNNNNNNNNNNNNNNNNNNNNNNNNNNNNNNNNNNNNNNNNNNNNNNNNNNNNNNNNNNNNNNNNNNNNNNNNNNNNNNNNNNNNNNNNNNNNNNNNNNNNNNNNNNNNNNNNNNNNNNNNNNNNNNNNNNNNNNNNNNNNNNNNNNNNNNNNNNNNNNNNNNNNNNNNNNNNNNNNNNNNNNNNNNNNNNNNNNNNNNNNNNNNNNNNNNNNNNNNNNNNNNNNNNNNNNNNNNNNNNNNNNNNNNNNNNNNNNNNNNNNNNNNNNNNNNNNNNNNNNNNNNNNNNNNNNNNNNNNNNNNNNNNNNNNNNNNNNNNNNNNNNNNNNNNNNNNNNNNNNNNNNNNNNNNNNNNNNNNNNNNNNNNNNNNNNNNNNNNNNNNNNNNNNNNNNNNNNNNNNNNNNNNNNNNNNNNNNNNNNNNNNNNNNNNNNNNNNNNNNNNNNNNNNNNNNNNNNNNNNNNNNNNNNNNNNNNNNNNNNNNNNNNNNNNNNNNNNNNNNNNNNNNNNNNNNNNNNNAUAAGAGGAGGAUUGAAAGAACUAACCCCUACCCAAGUACUAGGUGAUGUCAUGACACAAGAGACAUACCGUGUAGAAAGGGAAGAGGUUGACCAAGAUGAGAAGAAGGAUGAAGACAAGAAAAAGAAAAGUGUGGCAUUCAAGGCUAGUUCAUUCAAGAGCAAGGGCAAAGCAAAGAAAGAAGAACCAAGUGAAGAUGAGGAAGCUAGUGACAUUGAUGAUGAAGCACUAGCUCUCUUUGUGCGCAAAUUUGGCAAAUUUAUGAAAAAGAAGGGCUAUGGUGCAAGAAAAAGAAGAGAUCAAAAUAAGAGCAAAGAAUAUGUGAGAAGAUGCUACAAAUGCAAGAGCAAGGAUCAUGUUGUAGCAAAUUGUCCAUAUAAUAGUGAUAAUGAUGAGAAUGAGAAGAAGGAAAAGAAAGAAAAGAAGGAGAAGAAAAUGAUAUUCCAAAAGAAGAAAAAGGGUGGCGGCUAUGUGGUAACUUGGGAUAGUGAUGCUUCUUCGGAUAAUGAUGAUUCUAGUAAUGAUGAUGAUAAGAAAUCCAAGAAGAAGGCACUUGCAAGCAUCGCCAUCAACAACAAGACUUCUCUCUUCAACACUCCUUCGACAUGCCUCAUGGCUAAACCCACUAAGGUACAAUAUGAUGAAAGUGAUGAUGAUUGUGAAAGUGAUGAUUGUAGGAGUGAUGAUGAUAGUGAUGAUGAGUCAAAGGAGGAACUCAUGGACAUGUUGGAAAAUGCCCACACAUGUCUUGAGAUGAAGAGAAAGGAGUGCAAAGAGUUGCAGAAAGAGCUUAAAGCUCUUAAGCAAUCUUUUGAUGAGCUCCAAGCGUCUCAUGAGAGUCUAAAGGAAGACCAUGAGGAGCUUAGCAAUGCUGACUAUAAGCUUGAAAAGGCUCACUCCUUACUCCUCGAGCAAGCUAAGAAGGAGGAAGUUAUUGUGACUUGUGACAAGGGCUCUACUUGUGAUUUAAUUAAUGAAUCUUUCUUUGAGCCUAUUAUUAUUGCCUCCACUAACUCUUCUUGCAGCACUUCCACUUCUACCUCAUCUACUAGUGAUGGUUUCACUUGUGAUGCCACAUUAAUUAAUGAAAAUGAGACCCUCAAGAAGGAGGUCAAUGAGCUCACUCGCGCCUUAGGCAAUGCCUAUGGUGGUGAGGCCCGCUUGCUAAAGUGCUUGGGUAGCCAAAGGUUUUCUCUCAACAAAGAGGGAUUAGGCUAUACCCCCAAGAAAGGCAAGGCGGCCUUUGCUACUCAUAAAGCUAGCUUUGUGAAGGGCAAUGGUCGGUUUUGCACUAGAUGCAAGCAAGUUGGGCACAUAGAGCAAUAUUGCAAGAACAAGAACAAAACAAAUAAUGUAUCCUCAAUUAAAUUUGAUUCUUGUUAUAUGCUUACCAAAGGUGUUAAUGGGGUGCAACCUAAGUUCAUUGGUGCACCAAUUGUGGGCUCAAAGAAGAAAGCUAUGUGAUNNNNNNNNNNNNNNNNNNNNNNNNNNNNNNNNNNNNNNNNNNNNNNNNNNNNNNNNNNNNNNNNNNNNNNNNNNNNNNNNNNNNNNNNNNNNNNNNNNNNGUGAUUGGGUAAUGCUAUGCAUGAAGAGCUAAACAAUUUUACUGGAAAUCAAGUAUGGGAGUUAGUAGAGAGGCCUAAGGAUAAUAAUGUGAUUGGAACCAAAUGGGUCUUUCGAAACAAGCAAGAUCAAGAUGGGAUAGUGAUUAGGAACAAAGCAAGAUUGGUAGCACAAGGUUACACACAAAUUGAAGGUCUUGACUUUGGAGAAACAUAUGCCCCGGUUGCAAGAUUGGAAGCAAUUAGGAUCUUGUUAGCCUAUGCUUGUGCUCAUAAUAUCAAGUUAUAUCAAAUGGAUGUGAAGAGUGCAUUCUUGAAUGGGUACAUAAAUGAGUUGGUUUAUGUUGAGCAACCUCCCGGUUUUGAAAAUGACAAGAAGCCCAACCAUGUUUACAAGUUGAAGAAAGCAUUGUAUGGUUUGAAACAAGCACCUAGAGCAUGGUAUGAGAGGUUAAGGGAUUUCUUACUCUCUAAAGGGUUUCUUAUGGGUAAGGUUGACACCACUCUCUUCACUAAAAAGAUAGGCAAGGACUUAUUUGUGUUGCAAAUCUAUGUUGAUGACAUUAUAUUUGGCUCAACCAAUCAAGAAUUUUGUAAAGAAUUUGGAAAUAUGAUGGCAAAAGAGUUUGAGAUGUCCAUGAUUGGAGAGCUUAGUUACUUCCUUGGUCUUCAAAUUAAGCAAAUGAAGAAUGGUACAUUUGUGAGUCAAGGCAAGUACAUUAAAGAUAUGCUCAAAAAGUUUGGCAUGGAUGAUGCUAAAGCUAUUAGUACACCUAUGGGGACAAAUGGAAACUUGGAUAGUGAUGCUAGUGGCAACAUGGUGGAUCAAAAGUUAUAUCGGUCUAUGAUUGGAAGCCUACUCUAUGUGACUGCAUCAAGACCGGAUGUGAUGUUUAGUGUAUGCAUGUGUGCUAGAUUUCAAGCAUCACCAAGAGAAAGUCAUUUGAAGGCAACAAAAAGAAUAUUGAGGUACUUGAAACAUACACAAAAUGUUGGAUUGUGGUAUCCCAAAGGAGCAAAUUUUGAGUUGAUUGGUUAUUCUGACUGUGAUUAUGCGGGAUGUAAAAUUGAGAGAAAGAGCACAUCAGGCACAUGUCAAUUAUUGGGAAGGUCACUUGUAUCUUGGUCAUCAAAGAAGCAAAAUAGUGUAGCACUUUCAACCGCCGAAGCUGAGUAUAUUUCAGCUGGUAGUUGUUGUGCUCAAUUACUUUGGAUGAAGGCUACUUUGAAUGAUUUUGGAAUCAAGUUCAAACAAGUGCCAUUGCUAUGUGAUAAUGAGAGUGCAGUGAAGCUUACUAACAACCCAGUUCAACAUUCAAGAACAAAGCAUAUAGAUGUCCGUCAUCAUUUCAUAAGAGAUCAUCAACAAAAAGGGGACAUUUGUAUUGAGAGUGUGGGAACUGAAGAUCAACUUGCCGAUAUAUUCACCAAGCCACUUGAUGAGAAGAGGUUUUGCAAGCUAAGGAAUGAAUUGAACAUACUUGACUUCUCAAAUAUGUGUUGAUGCACCCCAUAAUAUGACAUGCCUCACCUUCGAGCAAAGCAAGGUAAAAUUAUUUGACAUGUCAUCCAUCCUUUGCUAAGGACUUGUUUAGUGCAUCUAGUCAUUCCUCACAUAUCCUAGACUCAUUUAUGAAAAUAAAAUGAAUUUGAUGCUUGUAUGGUACCACUAUUGCUUCUAUGUUUGAAAUGAUCUAGUGGUAGCAUAUGACAUGUUUGUGGGCUUGCAAUCCUAGUGUUUGAUCUAGAAAAUGAGCUAUAGGUGUUUAACUCAACAUUGUCAAGAUAACCCUUGAAAUGAGGUGUGAAAAAGCUUGUCAUUGGAUCAAACCGAGUUAAAUAUCUUAGACAAGCAAUCUAGAUUGAACCAAAUUUGGCAAAAUAAUCCUUACAUAACAUGGUUUCACAUACAACCUAUCUAAAAUUUGAGCUCACCUUUUGUGGUCAUUGAUGACAAAGGGGGAGAAGUAAUUCACAAAGAUAGGUUUUCCUAAAAGAAGGGAAUCAAUUUUUUUAAGCACACAAGUAGGGGGAGCAAGCUCAUAAACUUGUAUGUUGCAUUUGGAUGUGCAUUACAUAUGUUUGCAUGCAUAGCAUUUUUUUUUGAUACCUUGCUUGUGUGAUGUAUGCUAGUUGUAAAUUGAUUGAUGAAAUGAAAAACUAACAUGUAUAGGAUGAUAGUUAGAUGUACCUUGCAUGUUUUAUGUUUUACAAGUGGUACAAGAGCCUUGUUUAUAAUAUUGAUCUCACGAGGUAUCUAGUGUUUAUGUUUGCAAGAGCUAUCUAACUAACCAUGGUGCUAAGGAUGGUGUUCAAAUGGCAACUCCGAUUGGUAUCACGCUUCAAAGGUCCAUUCUUUACACCUUAGCAUCAUUUGGUAGUUAUUGUCUCCUAUGUUUCCUAUCUAAGCAUAUGUGCAAGCUUUCAAAUCCAAACUCUUAGCACAUAUGUAGGGGGAGCCAAUGCUACCAAUUUGGGUUUAUGAAACUUGUCCAUAUCUUUUACACAUGGUAAAUUGCUUGGGCAAGCAACAUGAAUCUAAAAAUUUUAUUGAAUAUCUUUGUGAAAAGGUUGUCAUCAAUUACCAAAAAGGGGGAGAUUGAAAGCCCUAGUUUGGUUUUGGAUAAUUGAUGAAACCUAUGUGUACUAACCUUUGUCAUGAGUGAAAUAUAAAGAUAGGUUGGUACACACCAAGUGAUGGAGCUAGAUGAUGGUCAUGGUGAUGGAGGUGAUCAAAAGAUGAUAUUCAAGUGCUCCAACUUGGAAAAGAAGAAUGAGAAAAACAAAAUGGGCUCAAGGCAAAGGUAUUUUUAAUAGGGCCAUUUUGUUUUGCCACUCAAGACACCUAGUGGGUGUGAGUGGAUUUAGGAUAGACAACCGUACUAUAAAGAGGGGAAAUCUUUAAUUGCAAUGGUUAUCUAGUGCCACUGAAUAUGUUUCUCAUUUGCAUUUACCUAGCGCUUAGUGACGUGGUGAGCUGCUUGAGAAAGCCUAUAAAAAUAUUUGUGAAAGGCUAAUUUAAAUGUCCAAUUUAUUUUGGAACAUUUUAGUGAAAUUAGCUACUUCAAAAGGUGCUGAAAAUUCAUAGAAUGUGAGCUGCUGUCCAGACGUAAAAGAACUGCAAGCUGCUGAAACAAACUGAAAGUUUUUGUAAGUAGCUGAAUCAAGUUGGAAGCAGUUGCAAUCAGUUAAAACUAGUGGACAGUUCAAACAGCAAGCGGGUGAAUAUUUUUGCAAGAAGCUGGAAGCAGUUGCGACUAGUUGCAACCAGUUGAAAUCAGUGCACAGCUCAACAGCAAGCAAAUGAGUGUGGUUGCAAGUAACUGGAGGCAGUCGCAACCAGUCAAAUCCAGUGUGCAGCCCAAAAGCAUGCAGGAGAAAGAGAGCUGAAAGCAGUUGCAGCUAGUUGGAACCAGCUGUAAGAAUUUACAAACGUUGGCUGCUCUCUGUCUUGUUCGAAAGAAGGACAGAGCAGAGACUUUGUUUGCAUACGUUGCAUGUGGUGGAGCUCUUGCCUUAAUAAAUGAAAGAGAGAAAGAGAAAAGUGAUUUGCAUGCAUGCAUGCAAGUGUGAACACACCUUAAUAAAAGGAGGCAGCCAUUGACCUUUGCUCUUCAUAGAGUUGUCCACUCAAGUACAAGGAGGUACUAAUUUGCUCUGUUGUGCAGCUCGUCCCAUUUGAAGUGGAGAAGUGGCAGGAGUGCAUGCGCAUGGACUGCAGGGUUGCAGCUCUUUGCCACUUGCUCAUUUAAUUGAUGGGACCCAUUGCUGAGAAAAUACAGAGAGCCACUCAAUGCCUGUGCUGCUGCCCGUUGUGGAAAACGGUACUAUUGUUUUGCCCGUUGGAGAGCUGGCUGGCCAAAUAAUUUAUGCCGAGUGCUCCACUUCCUGACCCUCUCUCUCGCGAAUACAGAACGCUUCACUUCUUUCUUUCCAGAGAACAGAAAACUCGAGCUCCCCUCUCCCAUCUCUCCCAAGUGCUAAUCCUACGAGAGAUUUUUGAGAGGCCUGCGUGAUUGAUCCAGUGAGCUCGUGAGCAUCUCCUCCCUCUCCUCUCCCUCUCAUAGCUUGGUGCUCAUCUGAGAGAGGAUUGAGGGUAACCCUAGGUGCAUUUGAAACUGCAUUUUCUUGUGGCACUAGGUGAUUAUUGUGAUUGUGGAUUUCUUAUUACUCUUGGUGAUUGCCGUCACCUAGAUGGUUGUGGAUUUGUUGAUUGGUGAGGGGAUUUGGUGAUUGUGUCCGCCCCCAAUCAAGGUGAUAUUUGUGAGGGGUUCUUGGGCUUAUUCCCCGGCAGAGUGCCAAAAGUCACUCUAGUGAAUUGCUCGUGUCAUUGAGCUACCUCACUUGUGGGUAGGUUCUUGUGGCGCCCAUUUGUUGGGCUAGGUUUGUGAAACACCUAUUAGCCGCCGAACCACUAAGUGUUGGUCGACACAACGGGGACUAGCGUGCCGGCAAGCACGUGAACCUCGGGAGAAAAAUAUUGGUGUCAAUAUUAUGAUUGGUAUUCUCCCGGUGAAUAUAUUGAUAUACAUUGUGAUUGGUUCAUCCUCUACACAUCGGUAUAAUUAUCACUCAUCUCUUUACUUUCUUGUAAACUAGUUGUAACUAGUAGUACCUAGUUUUAGCUGGUUGUAACUAGUUGUAGAGAGUAGUGACUUAGCCGUUGUUUGUGCUUAGUGAUCAUAGUAACUAGAAUUAUUGAAUAGGUGGCUUGCAACUUUUGUAGAGCUAGAGCAAAAUUGCUUUAAGCCUUUUGUUAUACUAAUCCUUUGCUCUAGUGUCUUGUAGAAUUUUUAAAUAGGCUAUUCACCCCCCCUCUAGCCAUAUUAGGACCUUUCACCGCCCUCUUAUUCAAAAUAUAUAUUUGUGCUUGUUGGUUGUGCUAAAUAAUUGAGUGCUCUAUGUUGUUCCCUUACGGCAUAGCAAGUGUUAAAACUUGCACCUUUUUAAAAUAUAACGCCAUAACAAAAAAAACAACAUCACUCAAUAGAUCUAACCCUUAUCUAAUGCUUUCUCAUCUUAACCAAUAGAUGCCUCCCAAACCAGCUACCCACUCUCAACCAAGUGGUCGUGCAGCUAGUAGACAAAGCCAAAAUCCAAAUGGAAGUCAAGCCAAUGCAAAUGUGGAUGGUAUUCAUGAAGAUGAAGUGAGUCAGACUAGGAACCAUAAUGAAGGAGAUGACUUGCCCCCUCCUCCAGUAAUUGACUUAGCACAAGUCAUGGCAACUCAGACUCGCCUUCUAGAGACCUUGGCUCAAGGCAUGAACCGCCCUAGGAACAACCGUGGAGCCGAAGUCCAAGAUAAGAUGACUGAGUUCAUGAGGCUUAAGCCACCCACCUUUACUGGAUCUGACAACCCCAUGGAAGCAGAUGAUUGGCUUAAGGUGAUUGAAAGGAAGUUGGACACAAUCCACUGCGAUGGAAGGGAUAGAGUUCUACUAGCAUCUCAUCAGCUGACAAGAAUUGCCCUUUCUUGGUGGGAAGCCUAUAGUGGAGCUGUGGACAAUGCCAACACGAUCACAUGGGAAGAAUUUGUGGACGAAUUCCGCCGGUACCACAUUCCCGAUGGGAUCAUGAAGCUGAAGGCUGAUGAAUUUCGCAACUUGAAGCAAGGAAAUAAAACUCUGAGUGAAUACAUCUUCCAAUUCACUGAGUUGUCUUGCUAUGCCCCAGAAUUGGUCAACACUGAUGCCAAGAAGCAGACAAAGUUCAUAGAAGGAUUGACCUGUGAGCUUAGAACCCUCAUGACCCCACAGAUCUAUCUAGACUUCAACACCUUGAUGAACAGGACCAUUCUGACUGAUGUGGCCAAAACCGAAGAAAGGAAAGAAAACAAGCGCAAGUUUCUAGAGCGCAAGGUUCAAGAUGGUGCUAGAUCCCAGAGGCUAAAAACCUUUAGCCAACCAAGCCAGCGGACUCAAGCCCCAAUGCAGUUUCGCUCUCCUGCUAGUGUCUCCAAUAAACAAAUGCAGUCAUCAUAUCAUCCUAAGACAACCUAUCAGAAUCAAACUUAUGGCAAGACUCAACAGAACAGCACUGGUCAAGUCACAAACAAUGUUAGGACUUGCUUUAAUUGCCAUGAGACUGGACACUACAUCGCCAACUGUCCCUACAAGAACAACCCACCAGCAGUGUCCACUCAGUCCCACACCGUUAAUGGACCAAGACCUACAGUGUCUGGAGUCAACCGUGGUUUCCCUCGCAACAAUAGCAACACCAACAAUAAUAGCCAGAUGAUGAAGCAACCUCAACAAUCCUAUGGUACAGCUCGUGUCAACCAUAUUCAUGCUCAGGAUGCUCAGACUGCUUCAGGAGUGGUACUUGGUGAGUUCUUAGUCGAUUCAGUACUUGCAACAGUAUUAUUUGAUUCUAGAGCAUCACAUUCAUUCAUAUCAUCAAGUUUUGUUGAGAAGCAUCAAAUACCCACAGUACUACUAAAGUUACCCCUAAUAACCCGAACGCCUGGGUCUGACAUCAAAUGUCAUCUAGGUUGUUCAAAUGUAAGGAUCAUUCUAAGUGGGGUAGUUUUCUUAGCAGACUUAGUAGUGCUCAAGUCCAAAGGAAUAGAUGUUAUCCUUGGAAUGGAUUGGUUAACCAGACACAAUGGAAUUAUUAGUUGUGCAACCAAGGAAGUAUCGUUAGUGAACCAUGAAGGGAUUAAAGUGAAAUGCCAAACCAGAGGGUCUAAAGUUAAUCCAAUGGUCUUCAACUUGGAUGCAAGGACCAUAGAGGAAGUACCAAUAGUGCAAGAAUACCCUGAUGUAUUCCCUGAGGAACUACCUGGAAUGCCACCAGACAGGGAUAUAGAGUUCAUCAUUGAUCUUAUCCCCGGGACUGCCCCCAUAGCCAAGAGACCUUACAGAAUGGCUCCGGCAGAGUUAGCUGAACUGAAAGAGCAGCUAAGAGACUUGCAGCAGAAAGGUUAUAUUAGACCUAGUUCUUCACCAUGGGGAGCCCCAGUCUUGUUUGUGAAGAAGAAAGAUGGAAGUAUGAGGAUGUGUGUGGAUUAUAGGUCCCUAAAUGAAGUCACCAUCAAGAAUAAGUAUCCCCUACCAAGGAUAGCUGACCUUUUUUAUCAGCUUAAAGGAGCCAAGUAUUUCUCUAAGAUUGAUUUGAGAUCAGGUUAUCACCAACUCAAGAUCAAGAAUAGUGAUGUCCCCAAGACAGCCUUUGUAACCAGAUAUAGACAAUAUGAGUUUACAGUGAUGUCCUUUAGAUUAACCAAUGCCCCUGCCUAUUUCAUGAACCUCAUGAAUAAGGUAUUCAUGCAAGAGUUAGAUAAGUUUGUUGUAGUAUUCAUUGAUGACAUACUUAUCUACUCUAAGAGUGCUGAGGAACAUGGGCAACACUUGAGAGUAGUGUUGGAAAAGCUAAGAAGACACAAGUUGUAAAUUCAGCAAGUGUGAAUUUUGGCUUGAGAAGGUUGCAUUUCUAGGUCAUAUCUUGACAGCUGAAGGAGUUGUAGUUGACCCUGAGAAAGUAGAAGCUGUCUCCCAUUGGCAGUAACCCACCAAUGUGAGUGAGGUUAGAAGUUUUCUUGGAUUAGCUGGAUAUUAUCGAAGGUUUAUAGAAGGAUUUUCCAAGAUAGCCAUACCCAUGACAGAGCUUCUUAGGAAGGACAAGAAAUUCACUUGGACAGAAUCAUGUGAGAAGAGUUUCCAAGAGUUGAAGAAGAGACUGACAACAGCACUAGUUUUAAUUUUGCCAGACAUUCACCAAGAUUUCAUCAUAUACUGUGAUGCCUCAAGACAAGGUUUAGGAUGUGUUCUCAUGCAAGGAGGAAAAGUGGUUGCUUAUGCAUCCCGUUAGCUUAGACCUCAUGAGCAAAAUUACCCUACCCAUGAUUUGGAGUUAGCAGCUAUAGUACAUGCUCUCAAGAUUUGGAGACACUACCUUAUUGGAAACAAGUGUGAAAUCUACACUGAUCAUAAGAGUUUGAAGUACAUCUUCACACAGUCAGACUUGAACCUAAGGCAAAGAAGAUGGUUAGAAUUAAUCAAUAUAACCUUGAGAUUCAUUACCACCCAGGAAAGGCCAACGUGGUAGCAGAUGCCCUAAGAAGAAGGUCAUAUGGUCAGCAGUUGGUGCCUAAGAACACUCACCUACAAGAAGAGAUAGCACAGUUGAACAUGCAUAUAGUACGCCAACCUCAAAAUGGCUGUCUAAUGGUGCAGCCAACUCUUGUGGAAGAAAUCAAGCAGACACAACAUAAGGAUAAGGAUCCGAUGAAGAUUCGUGAGCAAACUAGAGAAAAUAAAGCUCCAUACUUCAGAGUGGAUAACAAAGGAGCAUUGUGGUAUAAAAACAGGAUUUGUGUGCCCAAGGAGGGAAAGUUUCAAGAAUUAAUCCUUGAUGAAGCCUAUAACUCAGCUUAUUCUAUCCACUCUGGUGCCACCAAGAUGUACAUGGACCUAAAAAAAGAUAUUGGUGGAAUGGCAUGAAAGCUCAUGUGGCACGAUUUGUUGCACAAUGUGAUGUAUGCCAAAGGGUUAAAGCAGAGCAUCAGAAACCAGCAGGCUUGCUCCAGCCAUUGCCUAUUCCCGUUUGGAAAUGGGAUGAGAUAGGCAUGGAUUUUGUGAAUGGAUUACCCAAAACUCUGAAAGGAAAUGAUUCAAUAUGGGUAAUAGUGGACCGCCUUACCAAGGUUGCUCACUUCAUACAUGUGUGCACCAAAUAUAGUGGAGACAAGUUAGCCCAGUUAUAUGUGGAUAACAUAGUCAAAUUUCAUGGUAUGCCAAGUAGGAUUGUAUCUGACCGAGGUACCCAAUUUACCUCUAUGUUGUCGAAAAGUUUGCAUGAAGCUAUGGGAACCAAGCUAGAUUUUAGCUCAGCUUAUCAUCCUCAAACAGAUGGUCAGACUGAAAGAAUAAAUCAGAUUAUGGAAGAUAUGCUAAGAGCAUGUGUGCUCACAUAUGGUAAAGAUUGGGAGAAAAGCCUAACUUAUGCAGAGUUCUCCUAUAAUAACAGUUACCAAGCUAGUUUGGGCAUGUCACCUUUUGAGGCCCUAUAUGAAAGAAAAUGUAGAACCCCACUGAUGUGGUCAGAAGUUAGAGAACGAACCUUGCUUAGACCAGCCCUUAUAAAAGAAGCAGAAGAUCGUGUAGCUUAAAUCAGAGAAAAAUUGAAAGAGGCACAAUCACGUCAAAAGAGCUAUUCUGAUAAAAGAAGGCGGGAGUUAAGUUUUGCAGUUGGAGAUUUUGUGUAUAUCAAAGUCUCUCCUAUUCGAGGAACUCGAAGGUUCCAAGUCAGAGGCAAGCUAGCACCUCGGUAUAUUGGACCAUAUCAAGUAUUACAGAGGAUUGGAGUUGUAGCCUAUCGUUUUCGGCUACAUGAAGAAAUGUUAGAUAUACACAAUGUGUUUCAUGUCUCCCAAUUGAAGAAAUGUCUCAGAGUACCAGAGGAACAAAUAUUGCCAGACACAGUUGAUUUACAAGACGACCUAAGAUAUCAAGAAGUGCCAAUAAAAAUCCUAGAUACAGUCACCAAGCAAACUCGAACGACAACAGUCCGAAUUUGUCGUGUUUAGUGGAGUAGACACACUGAAGCGGAAGCAACAUGGGAAAGAGAAGAUGCCCUGAGAAAAGAAUUUCCUCACCACUUUAGAACCCAGCCGAAUCUCGAGGACGAGAUUCCUUUUAAGUGGGGUAGGUUUGUAACAUCCCAAAAAUUCACAUUCAAAAAUCACUCGCAUUAAAAAUUAUUUUCAAAAUGUAUUUCAAAAACUAUAAAAUAAUUUGAGCUCUAUAGUAUCUCCAUCUAAUCCAUCCAUAUUUUUCGCGCACAAAUAACAGCGAGUACCAGAAAGUUAAAUGCAAGAGAACAUAGCAGUGCACCUACACGAAUAUAUAUCUCAUGCAUGCAUGCAGGACAUGCCACCGUCCAUUUGCAUGCACUUGCAUGCAAGGACACGGUGAUUAGGCACCGUCCAUUUGCAUGCAUCGUGCAUGCAAAUUAGGCACCGACCAUGCGCUACAGUAGCAUUUUUAAUGGCACGCAGCUGAGCGCUUUGGCCUAUAAAAAGCCAGCCUCGGGUCCUCACUCUCACCAUCCGAGAAGCAUGUUCACUCACUCGCUCACUCACUCUCACUUCGCGUAUACUGUAUACGGCCAUACGCACAAGCUGAGCUCGACUGUCGUCGCAAGACGAGGUGAGCAGCUCAUGAGCAUCUCCUUGCUCUUCUCUGUCUUUCUGUAGUAUUUUUUCCUGUAUUUUUUUCUUGUAUUUGUCUGUACCGAUUCACUGCCAAGAACUCCACGAAUAGAACCAUGACAUACAGAAGACCUCUAAUUACCCCUGCUAAUUUCUCUCUAAACAUGCAUGUGUGGGCCAUAAGCAUUAACUUCACCAAAUAGUACAUGCAUGCAUGCACUACCAGCCAAUAAAUGCCCACGUGAAACAUCCAUUCCUUAAUCAUCGUUAGUCUUUUUCGCAUGAUUAAAUUUCGAUCAUUUUACAAAUACCACAUGCUAACUCUGAUUUCAAUAAUUCUUUUUCCUAAAAUCAUCUAAAAUCAUGAUCUACCUCCCAUAUUAAUUUCAUGAUUUUUAGAGCUUAUUUGAAUUAUGUGAUUAUUUAUCUGAGCUUGUUGUCUGUGUCGGUCGUCGCGUAUUUUAGCUGACGGAGUGAACGAGCCGGAAAACGAGAACGUUGGAGACGAGUACCGCGAGUUUGACACCGAGGACCCGGACUGUCAGCAGGAGUUUGCCGAGGACGCCGACGGAGGCAAGUCCAACCGAUCCCCUUUGAUGCAUAUUGAUUCUAUUUUUAAACAUAACCCGUAGAAGCCGUUUUAAAUAUUGCAUGUACGAUAUAUGUACGAAGUAUUUUUGCUGCUUAGUUAAAACCUGUUGAAUAGCCAUCCUUGAAUUGAUAUUACCCGAUAAUUGUCUUAUUCGAACCUAGGAACAAAUAAUAUGCUAUGACAGAAAUAUUAUUAUUUAGUAUGCUUAGGACAUGUUACUCAUCCUGGAUACUCAUCGGUAUAUUUUUCCAAAUAUAAUGAUUUUAAAAGUAAAAGGUGUGAGUGGUGAAAAUAAAUUGUGGGUAUGGUGAAAGGGUUAAUGAACAAGUUAUAGAUGUGAUUACUAUGGAGAUGGGGCGGAUGAGAUCUCUUUUGGGGAUGCCCUGGUGUUGUGGCUUAUACCUUGCGGGGUUAAGCGUGAAGAUAUCCGUCUUGUCUCGAUUAAGGACUGAGUUGAUGAUUCAUCUUGCCUAACUCAUUUAUCGUACAACCACUCGCCUUGCAUGGGAAAGGCUUAGUCUAAAUCCCUCUAGUUAGUAUGGCAAUCACCUGGAGGCAGGUGUGCAACGGGAUACUAAGUGAUGUAUGUGAAAUUGUGGAAAUAUAUGAAGAGAGCUUUGUGAAUUAUUGUGGUAUCAUGAGAUGUGGCCUUAGUGUUCCCGUGGUGAGCGCCAUUACUUAGCUAUGGAGGGUAAUCACUUUGAUGGAUCUGUGCUUGCACGACGGUGUAAGUUAUGGUAUCCUACUUGUGCGAAAAGUGUACAACCUCUGCAGAGUGUAAAUCUAUCUAGAUAGCCGUGUCCGCGGUCUCGAACGGGUUAUGGUUUGGUUUCAACAACUAGAUGGGUUGGGAUGAGUGAAAACAUGAGAGUGAGUGUGAUUUUGGAAAUAAAUGGUUGACUGCCAUUGUGUUGUGGGAACAAGGGUUCAACAACACUUAAAAUUGUGAUCAAACCCCCAUUUUCAGAAAUACUAUCAUAUGUGGAAAAGAGUUCUUUUACAAUAGUAUUUGUGAAAUGAAACCUUGCAUGUGUAAAAAGAUAGCUUUAUGCAAAUAAAACUAAGCCUCAUCCUUGAUUUAUCCAUAUGCAUAUAUAUUGUUAUCCCCUUCCGCAGGGUAAGGUUAGAUUUGCUGAGUACUUUGUACUCACCCUUGCUUUAUUAAACAGAGGAAGAUCCGGACUUCGAUCCCGAAGUGGCGUUCGAGUAAGGUCGUGUCUGCACCCAACUAAGCAUGUGACAUUGGGACUCGUCAGAUGUUCGAUUGCGAUAUCGUUUGUUUCUGGGUCCUUUGGACCUAUGUUGUAUUUUCGUGUCUUAUUAUUAUAGCGUGUCUUCCUUGUCCACGCUUUACGAGACUACUGCGCUAAAACUUAUCUGAUGUAAUAAAUGUGUUACUAGCCUCCUGGGACUAGUAUUGUAUCUCAUUUGAGUUCCUGGUUUACCAGGGGCACUUCACAGGGCGGGCGCCCUCUGUAGGUGGGCAGGCGCCAACCUUUGGUGGCCAUCCUAGCUACCUUUUUUGCACUCCCUCCUUUGCUUGGCUCUUAUGUAGAAUAAUAGUUCAUGAGUGGUGGUUGGUCGGGGGAAAAGUGUUGGUGAGUGGAGUUAUGUUGGUGGAUCAAAUAAUGUGAUGGGAUGUGUAUGAGGUGUGGUGUAUGACAUGUGGGACCCAAGGACUGUGGGUCAUGCUUCUAGAAGGUUGCUAUAAUUAAAUAUAAUGCAGGAAAAAUCUAUGAGAAUUGAAACUUAUUGAAAUGAUAAUGGAAAAUAUUUUUUGUGCCUCCACAAUAAUUAAUAAAUAUGGGUUGUCACACACCAUAAAUAUUAUUUAUAUGGGGCUUUUGAUUAUUAUAAUAAUGCUAUGAAUAAAUAUGGAUAAUGCAGGAAUUAAAUAUGAGAGAAUUAAUGAUACGGAUAAAUACCGAUUUACCUCCCGGCGAGGGUUUGGGAUUUUUAGGUCCCCCAAGCUGGACCUCUAAAUCUUUUAAUCUUCUGAAUUACCUUCCUCCGGAGAUGGUGUCUCCAGUGGUUCUUCUUCAUGAACUUCCUUCACUGUAGAGUCUCUCUCUGGUCUGGGCUUGAAUGUGAAGUGUUCUUCAUUUCCAUUUAUGUUGAACUUGAUUUCUCCCUUUCCAACAUCGAUGUGGGCAUUGGCAGUGCUCAGAAACGGCCUUCCAGGAUGAUAGACACUUUUGAGUCGGGACUCAUGUCCAAUACCACGAAGUCUACUGGCACAAGGAAAUCUCUGAUCUUGACUGGAAUGUUUUCGACGAUGCCCAACGGGUGUCGAACUGAUUGAUCUGCUAGUUGUAGGCACAUUGAUGUUGGUUCUAGGGUCGUAUGCUCAAGCUUCUUGUAGACUGAUGCUGGUAUCACACUGACACUUGCUCCAAGAUCACCAAGUGCAUUAUUGAAGUGUUGGUUUCCGAUCGAGCAAUCAAUGGUGGGACAUCCUGGAUCCUUCUUCUUCCUUGGUGGUUUAUUGAGCAUGGCCGCACUACAUUCUUCUGUCAGCUUGAUAACCUCAGUGGUGGGCAGUGGUCUCUUUUUGUUAAGAAUAUCUCUGAUGUACUUUGCAUAUGUAGGUACCUGUAUGGCAUCAAGUAGAGGUAUGUUGACAUAUAAUUUCUGAAUGACCUCUACAAACUUACCAAACUGCUCAUCCGACUGCAGUCCUCUGUUUCUUCUAGGAAAUGGCAAAUAGUUGGUAUCGUAAAAUAUUUCCUCAUUUCCCCAGUACUUGGUGGUUGUAGCAGAUCUUCUGCUUCGACUGGGCUUUCUUCUUCUAUCACUGCUGGUUGCACUGGUGCUGAUGUUCUUUGUUUCUCUUUUGGGUAUGGGGGAUCCCUGGUGGCUUUGCCUCCUCUAGUAGUUAUAUUCUUUACCUGCUCAAUGUUAGUGGCUUCAGGCAAUGCAGCAGCUAGCUUUAUUAAUUUAAGCUCUACCCUUUUAUGAAGAGUGUUUUGUUCAUCAAAGGCAGUUAAUAGAAAAUCCAUUUUAUUGUGUAUAUCUUUUAGAGAUGAUUCAUUUGUAUCUAGCCUUUGUUUAACUUCAUCAUUAGUUUUGGUUUGUUGAGCAAUUAUCUCUUUUAAUGAAAGUUGCUUGAAAGUGUCACCUGAAUUCAUACCUUUGCUAUUGGGUUGACUCAAAGUAGGUUGAUAUUUGUAUGCUGUCUCAAUGGCCCUUUGAUCUUCUUUGAACUUGGCCCUCUGGUCAAUCCAAUGGAGCAAAUUUUCCAUCUUGGAUGAUAAUGCAUUUACUUCUUCUAGUAUUUCUUUAGUUUGAUGACAUUAUUGAGCUUCAUCUUGGAACCAGCUUUGGUUUUCUGCUAUCUUAUCCAAAAGUUUCUUUGCUUUUCCAAUUGUAAGCUCCAAGAAUGAUCCUUUAGCAGAUGCAUCUAGGCACUCACGAGCCUUCUGGGUUAUUCCAUGGUAGAAGGUCUGCAUAAGUAACCAUCUAGCUAUUCCAUGGUGAGGACAAUCUGAUAUGUAUCCUUGAAAACGCUCCCAUGCUUCUGAAAUGGUUUCUGUCUUCUGCUAUUGGAAACUGACAAUAUUCUUCUUAAGGCAGCUGUCUUACCCAUAGGGAAAAACUUUGAUAGAAAGGCAUCUGACAAGUUCGUUCAGUUGUUGAUGUUAUCUUGAUGGGUGUAGAACCACUUCCUUGCUUUCCCUUCUAGUGAGAAUGGAAAGAGGCGAAGCAGUAUGACGUCUUUGUCAACUCCGUUGAUGCGGAUUGUACUUCCAAUCUCUAAGAAAUUCUACAAGUGUACACUAGCAUCUUCAUGUGCCUUUCCACUGAAUUGUGUAGCUUGUACCAAAUUGAUGUGGCUUGACUUGAGCUCGAACUCGGGUGCUCCUUCUUCUACUGCAAAUCUUGGACUAGUUGGAAUAUUCUCAAGACUUGGAGCAGAGAAUUCUUGCAAGGUCUUUUGUGCCAUAGCUUCAGCAAUUGGUGGCUAGCUUCUUUUUCCUUUCUUGAUUGCUUUGGUUCUAAUGAUGAAGAGUUGAAUGUACCAAAGUCAAUCCUGAUAUACCCUGUAUAAAAAUAUAAACAUAGAAAAACAACAGGGUGAACCUGCCAAAGAAGAAGUGCCUUGUUAUGAUUUCUCACUUAGUAGCUGUUUUAUGCAAUUAUUUCUCUAUAGUCUAGUCUAAUAUUUUAUGUGAAUAACCUUGACUGACUUCCUUACUUUCCUUACCGUUCCUAUGUGUUUCCCUUUGGUUCCCCGGCAACGGCGCCAGAAAUGCUUGUUGACACUAGCUAACACCACUUGAAUACUAGGUUGUCAUCCCCAGCAUGGUGCCAGAGUGUACAAAGGUAUUUAUGAAUGUAAAGGCUCUCUAGAAAAUAAUCUAUUCUAUCCGCAAGCGCACAGAUAAAACACCUCAUUGUAGCAUUUCACCAGGAAAGUAUUCCAGGUAUCGUUAUUUAUAAUUUUGCUUAAGAGGACAGUGGAAAUGAAGAUAAGGAUAAAAUCUAUCAAGGCAUAGACUAGACAUAAACUUGCAAGAACAUGAUUACUAAUGAGGAACUGGUCACACAGUCACUUACUUUGGCAGGGGGUAAGCCAUAAUAAUAAUGAUAAUGAAAUAUAAGCUCAUGGGUAAAUAACACAGCGAUUAGAAAAUAGACUACUCCUUAUAUAUAUAAGGUGACGUCGGAUUAGCUAGAGAAUGGAUUUUAAGUUAUCUACUAUCUACUAAGUCACAAUCUACUCUAGUUAUCUACAAGAUCAUAUAUAGCAUAAAAUACUCUUCAUUCAUGUAUAAGGAACAUUGCUAAAGUAAAACAGAGCAUCGCAAGACUUACUCCGCAAUACAAAUUCUGCCUGUCCUAUCAACGGAGGGUGGACUAUAUAAGAAUCAACGAAGCUGUCACUAUCACGAACUACGACCCAGCCAAUAGGAUACAUUUGCAGGUAAAUAACAUCUAACCACCACUCCCACAUGUGAUCUACCACUUAACUCCCGCGCGUCAAGAGCUAAGCGCUUUGCAAACUUAUACAUAAACUCAUUAUCAAUCAUAACUAUAUCAAAUAUAGAACUAGAGCAAACUAAGAUCAUAAUAAAUAGAGACAUAAUGCAAUUAGAAUAAAGUAGUAGAGAAAGAUAUGAAAUAAUACCAAUCUUUAUUAACGAAGAUCCGAAUCCAGAGCGCUAGGCUCUAGUUCUCUAAUUCUAUCUAAUCAAUCCUCUAAAACUUGAAGGAUUAGGGAGUAGCUAAUUCUAAUUCUCUGUGGGAGAGAAGUUCUAAAACCAUAACUUUGAUGGCUUCCUCUGAUAAUGAUUUCUCCUCUCUCCCCCUGGGGUGGAGAGGCCUUGCUUAUAUAGUCCCCUCAAGUGAAUUUGGGCCGUCGGAUCAAACCGACAUUGAUCGCACGGUUUUCCUUGAUCCUUUAGGUCGGUGGAGCAUAAUCCGGUCUCCUGUUCAUUCCCGUGGCUUCUGGACUCUUCUAGAAUAAGGAAAAAUGUGCGGCACGUAAUUAUCUCGUUGUAAACAUGACAUGUGGGCCUUCUCUCCAUAUUUUCUGAUAACCCCCUGCAGAAAUAGAUAAACACCAAAGCUCAUGGAAUUCUGUCAGAUAAAACCCUAAUUCUAGAUGUUUGGUGCAUAUUGAUCCUUUUCCAUGUUUAGUUGAUGGUUAAAUUUAGUACUUAAGGACCAUCAACAACAGCAGCCUGAACAUCAUUUACCUUGAGACUCUCGACCUCCUAGGAGUCAAGAGGUCGCAGCUCAAGCCGAGCGCAUGGGGCUUCCAUGGAGUCGUGCCCAGGAAGAAAGCCCUCCCCGUCGGCCGCAUCGACCUCCCUGUCUACUUCGGCACAACCACGAACUUCAUGAAGGAGAUCCUCACUUUUGAGGUGGUUGGGUUUCAUGGCACCUACAAUGCUAUCAUCGGUCGACCCGGUUAUGCCCAGUUCAUGGCGGUCCCCAACUAUACCUACCUGAAGCUCAAGAUGUCGGGUCCUAAGGGCGUCAUCACUAUCGGCUCCUCCUACGAGCACGCAUACGACCGCGACGUCGAGCAUGGAGAGGCCAUCGAGGACUCCACCCAGCUGGCAUAGACACCAUGUCUAUACUAAAGAAUACUACUCUAAUUACCAUGAAUAACUAGAGCACUCAAUACGAGUGGAGAUCCUAUGCAAAGAUAUAACAACUACACUAAUCAUAAGUAUAAAAGCAUAAAGUAAAUAGAGAAGAUAAUAUAUUAAAGCAUAAGUCUUACAAAGAAUAAAUAUAAAGACAUAACCUAAGUCUGAAGAAGACUCUUCUAGAACCAAAGCAUAUCUUCGCUCUCUCUAACUCCUUGCUAUAACUAAUCUACUACAUUGGAAUAUUUAGCCCUAAUUCUCUAGAAAAGAGAGGUCAUCCAUUCAAGGGAUGCCUCUACAACUCAUAAUGAUGGUUCUCUCCAAUAGGGGGGUCAGGCUUGUAUUUAUAGCACUUUAAGAAGAACCACAAGCCUUGGAUCAAACGGACCUUGAGAGACGGCCAAGAUUACUCCUCAAAGGCGGUGGAGGCAGGAUCCGCGUGGUAGAACAUGAUUGGUGGAGAUGCUUAGGCACCUGCCCCUAUCCCUUGGGCGGCUGCCCCUGGUUAGCUUCCAGGUGGGCCCUCUUUGCAAGGUUGAUAGAUCUUUUCGUUACCUUUCCAAAAAGUCCUGGAUCACUCAAAACGGAUUCCGGAUGAGGGAGACAUGCCCAAUUUACUCAGGAGUGCUCUAGAAGCCCAUUUGCAAUCUUCUGGAAGGCGUAACUUUGUCGUGUGGACUCCGAUUUGGAUGAAUCAAAACUCUAUUUCAUAUGUCUCGAUGAGCACUUCUCAAUGGUGCACUCCAAUUCAUCACUUGAGAUACUUCUAUUAGGUGAUUCUAGUCCUUUUCCAGUUUAACCCCUAUUAAACAUAGAUUCACCAAAACUCGUGGAGCUUUUUAGUUUCAAACCCUACAUUUAUGCUCUGUGGUUCAUAUCAUGUCAUAUCAAGCAAUAACUAAUGGAUAGAAAUGAACAUUAGUGACCAUCAGUAGUCAUCUCCUAGCGAUGGCGUGGUCCUUCAAUGGAGAGACAGGACAGCGGUGGCAAAAGAUGAAGUGUUAGCGUAGCAUGAGCGUAGGACUAAGGAUGGCUUGGCACAAUCUCAUUUGGUAGCAUGACAAUGAGAUCCUUCACUGGGAUGAUGGCGAGAGGCUUUGGCUGGGCGACGACGAUGGCCAUCGAGUUGUCGAAGCGGAAAAGCUCGUUGGCAUCAAUCUCGGUGUGGCUAGCCAUUGGAAGUUAGGCAAGAAGAGAUUUGGUUGCUGCUAGAAAAGGUUUGAAGGUAUGGCCUUGAGGUAGGUAGGGGGUCAAGUUUGAUACCCUGGAUCAAUUUGCAUGAGGGGUUGGAUCUAGGCUCUAUGGAUCGUUAUGGGAAAAAUUUGAUUCGCACGGAAAACAUACGGAAUGAGGACUAGAACGCUUCAGAAGGAAUGUGGGAGGUGGUGCGAGGUAGCUUGCCAUAGGGGCAGACUGGCUAGCCUAGUAGGUGGGGCCAGCUAGCCCCACCUAUUGGCGGCUCAUGGACAGGUUUCUCGUACCCCCCUAAGACUUUAUUCUAACCCCAAUUUUCCACUAGUUUUGUUAUGAAAUGAAUUAGAGACACAUGAUAAUUAAAUUAGUGGAAAGGAAUAAAUUGAACUAUUUCUAACUUAGUAGGACUUUUAUCAGAUUCUAGAAAGAUCUUAAGGCGUUGUCCAUUUACCUUGAAUAACAUGCCUUCGUCAUUCUGAACAGUUACCGCUCCAUGUGAUGAAGAGUUAAUCAUCGUAAAUGGUCCUUCCUACUUACUUCGUAGCUUCCCAUGUUCGUAUAGCUUGACCCUAGAAUUAAAAAGUAAUACCUUAUCUCUAGGAGUGAAGUUCUUCAUCUUGAUCCUCUUGUCAUGUCAUCUUUUGUUCCUUUCCUUGUACAUCUUGGCGUUGUGAUAAGCUUUCUCACGCCAUUCAUCAAGUUCUAAGAGUUUCAUUUGUCUUUUGACUCCAGCUGCUUCAAGAUCCAUAUUCCAUCUCUUAACUGCCCAGUGAGCUUUGAAUUCUAGCUCAACAGGCAAGUGACAUGUCUUCUCAUAGAUGAGUUGUUAUGGAGACAUCCCCAAUGGUGUUUUGUAAGCCGUCUGGUAGGACCACAAUGCAUGGGGUAGUUUGUCUUUCCACUUGGUUCCCAUCUUAUUGACUAUCUUUUGUGGAAUAUUCUUGAUUUGCUUGUUUGAUGUUUCUGCUUGACCACUUGUCUGAGGGUGAUAAGGAGUAGCAAUGUUGUGAUGAAUCCCAUGUUGCAAUAGAUACUUGCGAAAGCUCUUGUUAAUGAAGUGAGCGCUAAAUCUUGGGAAUAUUAUCUCAUGAAACAUCCUUUUGGAAUUCUAGGAAUUAGACUUUCUACAUGGCAUUGCUUCGACCCAUUUGGAAACAUAGUCGACUGCCACUAGAAUGUACUCAUAAUUCUCAGAUUUUUGAAAUGGUCCCAUGUAAUCAAUUCCCCAAUAGUCAAAGAGCUCAAUUUGGAGAUUGUUAAUUAGUGUCUUGACAUCUCUCGAAUUGAUGUUACCAUGUUUCUGACAUGCUCCACAUCUCUAAAUAAGUUCUUUGGUGUCCUCAUACAUGGUUGGCCAAAAAAAUCCACUUUGCCAGAUCUUUGAAUGUGUACGGAAUGCUCCAUAGUGUUCUCCAUAGGGUGAUGAAUGGCAUCUUUCGAUGUUCUUGAUUCCUUGUUUGGAUGGCACACAUCUUCUGAGUAGCCUGUUUUAGCAAAUCCUAAAGUGGUACAGAUCAUCCCAUAGGUGAACACGGCUCUCAUACAUGAGCUUCAUCCUCUUAUUUCCUCCUAGUGGUACAUACACUGUAACUAUAAAAUUGACAUUAUCUACAUACCAGUUGUUAGACCUGGAGACUAGAUAAAGCAUAUCAUCCUUGAGUGAAUCAUUAAUGGGUGAAUCCUAUGAGUUCUCAAUCUGCACUCUUAACAAGUGAUCGGCAACAUAAUUUUCUACUCCCAUUUUAUCUUUUAUUUCUAUGUCAAAUUCUUGGAACAGCAAAAUCCAUCGUAUCAUGCAAGGUUUAGCAUCUUUCUCAGUGAGUGUUGAUGAUAGAUAAGUACUCUUUUUAACCAUCAACAUAGCAUGAGUAAUCACGUAAAUCAGAAUAUUAUCUAGCUAUAGCGGUUAUUAUUAACAGAAUUCUAUGAGUUUUGCUGAUUGUCUAAUUCUACAGGAGGUUAUCAAAAUAAGAACAAAAGAAUGUCCACAUGUUGGAUUUAUAUAGAGAGACCCAUCGGUAACUCAUGAAUACUCUAGAAGACUUGGCAACCUUGCAAAGUGGGGCCCACUUGGUAGAGACCAAGGGGCAGGAGCCCACAUGUUAGGGGUAGCCGCCUGGCCCCUGUGGCACUUCAACCUCGUGGAUCCUACCUCCACCGCCUCUGAGGAGUAAUCUUGGCUGUUUGUCAACAUCGGUUUGAUCCAAGGGCUGUGGUGCUUCCUAGGGGCAAUAAAUACAACCCUACCCCCCUAGAGAGGAGGAAUUCAUUAUUAUUCUCUGAGGAAUUUAGGAGAGAAUUCAAAGAAGCCUAGAGCCACCAGCCUCAUAGUUUUAUAGCAUAGCUACAUAGGAAUAGAUCUAGAAGGAGUCAAGCCUAGCUUGGAGUCUAGAUCUUUCUUUGUUCAUAAUAAUUUCUUAUUCUUCAUUAUAUUAUUCAUAUUAGUCUUGCUAUUAUGGAUAUGACUUUGAUCUAUUUGAUUAUAUCAAAAUUGACUUUAUUCUAUUUGCCUAUGUUAUCAAUUACUAGGUAAAUGCCCGUGCGUUGCAACGAAAACACAUACCGAGAUAACAUAUAUACGUGUGUGUUAUACUAUUGCCUAAAAUAGAUAAUGCAAUCUUGAUGUUUCAACACAUGUUUCAUAAUACAUGUUUUAAAAUAUAGUGUAUAACUAAGAAUCUAAUCUUUCAAUAGUUCGACCAGGAGAAUGUGCUUUGCAUGGUCACUAAACUUGCAGCUGGUCACCAAUCAAAGAUGAUCUAGAAGAUUUUCAAGUCCAAGAUGCAGCGUCUGGCUCCUUGCAACUGAAGCAUGUAGAUGGCUCAAGCUGUAGUUAGAAGUAUCCUGCAUAUAAGUUGUCUGUUAAUUUUAAAGUUAAAGUACUAUUGAUAUCCAAAAAAUAUAUAUAUCAACAUGUGAUGCAUUACCUCUUUCAUGGAGUCAAAACCUCUUUAUAUACGAUAUUCUUUGUGAAUAUAUCCUUUGUCGGUUUCUUCUUUCCUUUCCCUUUCCCUUUUCCCUUAUUCACAUCCUUCUCAGCAGCUGACAUAGCUAGGAUUCUAAUGUUUAAUCUUGCUGUAGCUCUUGAUAGCGCCACAUACAAUUGGCCGUGCGAGAAUACUGGUUCCGGCAAGUAUACCCCGACGUUAGGGAUAGUCUGUCUCUGUGCCUUAUUAACGGUCAUUGCAAAGCUGAGCCGAAUAGGGAAUUGCUUUUGCUUAAAUUGGAAAGGGAACAUCUCGUCGUCUGACGGGCAUAAGGGUAUGCGAGGCAGAAAAACCCGCAUUCCGGAGUGCUCUCCCAACACAAUUUCUGCAUCUAUGAUAUUUUUUUGGAACCCCCGUAUGAUAAGCCUAGUUCCAUUACAAAGUCCGUUCGCAGGGUCAAUGUUCCUAAGCAAUAUGACCGGACAACCGAUCUUCCACUUCAACACAUGUGGCGGUAGACCAUUGGGUGUCAAACUAUUGAGGAAUUCCUUAGGGUAGUAGUUGUGUGGAUCAUCGACUGCACAGUCAAAGCUAUGGUACACCAUCUCAUAUCCAUGGAAACAACCUAUCAUCUUCAUAUUAAUCAUAUCAACCCAGUCAUUUCGUGUAGAUAAGAUCGCUCGAGAGGUGAUAUAAUCUUUGCUUGACAUAUUCACAUUGAGGUUAGGGAAUAUACAGUCAAUUAGAGCAUCAAGAUCACUAUCUUCCCCAGUGUGCGGUAUGCAUAUAUCACGAGGAAGAUGGAUUUCAUCAUCAAUGCUCGCCUCCUCAGAUCCUCCACCGACACGCAACAAGUAUUCCGCAAACCAUGGGUCGCUCUUUGCCCUCAUGUAGCGCACCAAUUUUAGAUGUCGCAUGGAAUCCCAAAGGUAUGACAUCAGCGAGGCACCAACUAUUUGAGCCCUCGAUCCUCUCCGAACAACAGGAAGAACCUGUCUGAAAUCUCCACCGAACACGAUGGUCUUCCCUCCGAACGGUAACUCUGGUCGGUCCAUUACAUCACAGAGACUGUUGUCCAAUGCCUCAACAGCCUGCCUCUUUGUCAUGCUAGCCUCAUCCCAAAUAAUGAGAGAUGAUGCUCGAAGCAGCUUGGCAGUACCACUCUGUUUUGUGAAGGUGCAGAAGGCCCCAUUAUCAAUGGUGAGGGGAGUCUUGAAGCAUGAGUGAGCAGUUCUACCACCAGGCAUGAUUGAGGCUGCGACACCAGAUGUAGCUGUUGCCACAACAAUCUUUUUCUGACUACGUAUAGUAGCGAUAAGUGCUCCGUACAGAUAAGUCUUCCCGGUCCCGCCUGGACCAUCCACAAAGAAGAGACCCCCAUGUUCGGUAUCAACUGAGGACAUAAUCUCAUCAUAUAUAGCCCGCUGCUCCACAUUAAGGGUGUCUGACAGAGCCACAUCAUACUCGUUAGCCUCAAUGCUAGCCUCCUCAAAAAUCUCUCUAGGGAUAUCAUGAGAGGCGUCGUAUGUGUUGUCGAUAUCGGGAAGUGGGUACAUCUUUAUAUCCUUCUGCAUUGAUUGUAGCAAUUUUUGAAUAUCUAUGAGGACCAUCUACUCUACCAUGAAGAUGGAUUGAUUAUUGCUCUUAUAGUCCUCUGACAUUGCCUCUUUGUGUUUCUCCCACAGUCCAAACACAUCGCUAGGCUCACAAAAUACCAAUAUUGUUGCAAAAAGCCUUCAUAGUGCAUAUGGCAUCAUCCACCCGGUUGCCUCAGUAAGACUCUCAUUUAGAGUGUUGUCCUCUUCAGUUAGGCCUCUUCUUUCUACAGCUUCACGGAAGGUCGGUAGAAUUUUGCCAUCCACGGUCCUUAGGCACUCAAAGAAGGUUGCACCCGCCACGUGGUUCAGGAGAACUCUAAGAUAGUAACGCUCCCCCUCGGCUGGAUUGGCAGACACGAUUCUUCCAAUCUGUCGUAAUGUAUCACGACGUACCCUAUUUUGCCAAACUUUGCCCUAUGCUUGCCACGUAUAGAACUCGGGGAAGUCCCGAUACAAUACACCUCGAGCUAUUUCAUCUGUCCUAUUCUUCUCGAAGUAUGCUGUAAGCAUUGACUUGUUAGCACCUGGACGAUCAAGCACUCGUUGAAUCCCUUGGCGCUGGUGAAAUGACACCAUGUGCAUGUCUAGAAGAUGUAGCUGUAGGGACAAAAUAUAAGGGUAUCUAUCACUCAAAUCGAACCCAUAUAUCCUCCAUAAGGCUUCUGGGGGGUUACCCAUCUAGCAUCCCUAUACUGCUUGAUCUCAUCAACGUUAGCUUCACUAUCCUCCUUGUCGGCCUCUCUCAUAGCCACAGACGCCCGGUCAUGACCCUUGUAAAUGUACUUAAAUAGAUACUUGACUGCCUUGAUGCUCCCACAUGCCUCAACAUUGAUGUGGCAAUUGAACAGACGGAGGAGAUAUGGGUUGUAAGGCACGACCCAUCUGUUAUCAAGCUCGUGUCCGCGAACUUUUUCUUUUUAGCCAUCUUCACGCCGUUUAUAAACUGGAUAUGAAUCCUUGCCUUGUAUUGUGACGUCGCAAAAAGGUCUAGGGUAACGGUUCUUGUAGGAAUCACGACCCUUUGUGCAUGGACAAUUAUGAUUAAGCACUCCGCAAGGGCCAUGCAUCAUAUGUUUGGUAACCAUCUUGUAUAAGACUGGGUACUUCUUCUUGUUUGGGAGCUCGGCUAAGAUGAGGCGAUCAUACUGCUCUGGGCACGUGAUCUUGUACUUCCUAUCCAUGAUUAGUAAAAAAUGUGCAUGUGGCAGACCCCUUUUUUGGAAUUCCACAACAUAAACGUGUGCUCGCACCUUUCCGAGGAUAUCCUUUUUUAGUAGCCUAUCCUUUAGCUCUUGUAGUUUUGCUCUAAAGACUCGAACAACAAGAUCUGGACGAUCUUGUGGUGUCUGGCCAGGGUAGAGUUCAUGCUUGAUCUCAUCCCAGUUUGGGUUACAUGUCAUAGUGAGGAAGAUGUCUGGUUUACCAAACCUCCAUACCAGAGCCAUGGCAUCCAUGUACCGACGCCUCAUGUCACGUGGGCCUCCAAUAAAGGAUGAAGGCAUUACUGUCCGCUUUCCAACAGCUUCUGCUCUACCUUCACCAGCAUGUAGGCUAUCAACCAAUACUUGGUAUAGGUCUGCCCUAAUAUCAUCUUGAUGGUUGCGUAUAUAAUCUAAUCGAGAACUCUCGAUCUUGAUAUAUGUGUCAACUGCAAACUGCUGGAACAGACGCUUGCCGUAUAGUAUGGGAUUAAAUUUUCCUGGGCGCAUCUGUAACUUGUAGCAGUAGUAGUCACGCACAGACACACAUAGUCUACCAGGGGAGUCUACAAAAAAUAGCCAUGAAUUAGAGUUGUUUGUAGAAUAACCACUAAGGUACAUGUAUGCGAAGUAUGUAAAUAAGAAGAAUAACAUACCUAUUUCUUCUUCUGACCCACUACGAGCCUUUUGUAGGGCACGAUACUCGAUGACUUCUUCCAUACUAAUUCUUUUCUUUGGAAUAUCCAUGUGCCACCCAAGCUCACCCUUAGGAAAGAAUAGAGGGUAUGAAAGAGCAUCAUACCAUCCAUGAUAUGAGCGGAUGCCAUGUCUACUUCUAUCUUUCCCAUGUAGGACAACACUAUUCUAGAACUGACCAAGGAGUUCGCUUCCCUCGAUCCAAACAGCAGCCACCUCGGAAGUUGAUUGUACAUUGUAUGUUCUUUGGUCCAGCCUCUGGUCAAGGUUUAGCAUGACAUGAUAGUUCUCGAGGUGGUCAGCUUGGCCUACACUUCUAAGAUGUUGUGAGUAUGGGUUGUCACGAAGGAUGGCCACCAGCCUCUCAAUGACUUCCUUAUCCUUUUGGUACUUCUCUUCAUGACAUCGUCGAUAACGAUGCUCAAGGCUUGGAUCAUCAUCGUGCAAGUAAAGCUCAAGAUGUCUUGCCUCCUUACCAUCUUCUAUGCCAAAUGACCUUAUGUUGUGAUAGAUUUGGCCGUGUGCACGGAAGGUGUAUAUGCCACUAUUUUUCAUGCUUGCAGUAGCGCUAUCAAGGCGACAAUAUAGAGAUGUGAAAGAGAAAUGGCCAUUGAAAAACCUAAUGCUAUUACGAAAGUGCCUAGCAUCUGCAUCGUCACAUGACCAAAGCCUCAUAAGCUCAUCAGGUACAUUCGGCUCAUUGAGCUCGACCUACCCGUUGUGACAACAGAACCCAGGUGAUUCAUGCUCAAACCUUUUCGCAUUGCAGUGGUCACAAUUUGCGACAGGUUUUAGCAUAUGGGUAUCAGUAGGCAUGUUACUAUACACCUCAUCAUAUUGGUCAGGUACUUCAGGGAUAGAAGUCAUGUCUUCCUCAAGGUCAUUGUCUUGGACAUCGUCAUCAUCUUCCUCAUCUUAAAUAACAUGUAAGACACAAUAGUUUAGAUAAAAGCAGUGGAAUAUUUGAUUUCAAUUUGGUCUUUCGCACACAUACCAUGCCCAGCAAACAGGUAUCCCUCAUCCUCUUCAAAUAUAUCUCCCUCAUCAUCAUCUAUGGCUAUCAAAGAUACAUGAGUUAGUAGAACUAUGGGUAAAAAUAAACAAAGGAGUUCAAAUAGUUUAUAGAAUGUUAGAAAACAAUGUAAAUUACCACUAUCAUCGAAUAGUGGUGUCAUCGGUAUGUCUGGCCUAGGCUUAAGGAUACGUCCUAUCCCUUCUGAUAAGGGCAUGUUGGUCAUAGCUGAUUGAGGCAAGGGCGUGUUAACAUCCACUUGGCCUUUAGUAAUGCAUUCACAAUCAUAAAACAAUGGUGUCAUUAGUGUGAUUGAUGUAGCUUGAACUUUGGAUCCUACAUUUUCUGUUAAUCAUGAAAUGACCAAGGAUCAUUAGGUUAAUAUGUUAUACAUGUCAUCUAAAUGGGAUAACAAGGCAUCCACCAUUGUUGCUCACAGCUGAAUGAGGCAAGGAUGUGUUAACAUCCACUUGGUCUUCAGCUAUGCAGUCACCAUCUUUAUUAGAUGUCCUUGUGUUCGAACCAAUACGACGCUCAAACCUCGUGUUAUGAUAGGUCAAUAAUGCAUGUCUUUGACCAGAUGAAAUAUGUGAUCUAUGUGGCAUAUGGCCAGGUACUAACUCAUCACAUCCUUCAUCCUCGACCACAUGAGGUGGAGAAAUAUAAAGAGAUGUUGCACUGGACUCUGGGAUAACCCAAUCACUGGAUUUUGUCAUGGAUCCAUGAGCUCCAGAUGCGCCCGCAGUGGGCCAAACAAGCUCAGGAGUAAAUAACGGGUUCUCCAUGGUGAUAGACUCCGGGUGCAGGGUGUGCUUUCGCAGUUCUUUGAAUUUGUUCUUAGACAGUUUUAAUGUCUCCUUACGCUUGGGUUCACUAUUGUAUAGCCUUUGCGCUCGCGCCUUGCUUCCCUUUGUUUAGGCGUCAUGUUUUUGUACCAUUCACUUGUAGUUACUUUUUGAUGUACUUUUUGUACCAAUAGUACUAUCCUUCUCUAUAGUCUUCAUUUCUAGCUCAUCUAUCAACAAAAUCAUAUAAAUACAUUUAUUAGCUAUAUUGUUUCAUAUCAUUGCACAACAUCAUUUUCAUAGACCUAAAAUACUUCAGCAUCUUAAAUUACAUGAUAAUCGAGUGGACAUGUUCUCAUCAACAAUAUUGUUGGUAUAAUAAGAAUCAUUCUUAUGGAGCCAGUCAUCUGUUUCGCCAGGAUCAACGAUGCGGCAUCAUCAUCUACAAAAUUGUACACAUUAUAUAUAUAUAUAUAUAUAUAUAGGGUAAUUCCUUUCUACACCAACGUGUAACUACUCCGACCUCCGCACCCAGUCUAUUCCACAGCCUACGUAUCAACUCCUGUAUAACUAAACCAUAUCUAUUUGAUUAACGGGUCAAAGUGGUGAACCCGUUAACUAAUGUAUAUAUUAGAAAAUUCUGUUCUCAUUCACCGUAUCCGCCGGCCACACGAGUGGUCUCGCGGACGUCUGCUCGUCGAUCUACCGGCGGCCGCGCUGAUGCCUCUCCCUGACUGGCGGCCGCGUAGAUGCCUCCUCCUACUUGUGUCUGUGCAGGCGCAUCCUCUCCAACUGACGAUGGUUCCGUGUUUUGGAGUUGGCAUCGCAUAGGGGCACGGUGUGCCCUCACCUACAUCGGCAGGCGGCGGCCCUUGGUCGGAGUUCUCCAGCUCUGUGUGCGGGUGCAGGUCGAAGCUCCGCGGUGAGUGCUCAUGUUGUGUAUUUUCAUUGAUCUAGCUAGUUUAUAGUAUUUUUAGAUCUAAUUGAAUUAGUCGUCUUCUUUUACCAGAUGCAGAUCUAGAUGCAGCUUCUUUCACUAGUCAUGGGAGGCGACUGAUGGGCUGUUGGCCAGUACAGGUACACGUACAUAUAUGUUUUUUUUUGUAUUUUUUUGCUUCAUUCAGGUUGAUCAGAAUGUGGAAUGAAAAAUUGAUUAGUUUACUUCUGCACCCAUUCAUUUUUGUAUUCUUUACGAACAGGUAGUAAAUCGCAUCUCGGUGAGCCACGUCUGCAUCGCUGAUGUUGUUCGACAUUCUGCGUCUAUGCGACAACCACGAAGCAUUCAGAAUUGAGUGGAUCGGUGACCAAACUGAGAGAUAAAUGUUAGUACAUACUUCUAUAAUAAUGUAUGAACUGAUACUCCAGAAAAAGGUAUCUACAUAUACUCGUUUAUCAAAAAGUAUGUACCUAUACUUAGGAAAGGUAUCUGUAUAUACUUGUUUUUCAAAAAGUAUGUAGCUGUACUUAGCGUACUUCCGUGAUAUUACAUUAUGAGAGAUAAAUACUAAUAAUAUAAUCAUGUGUCAGAUAAGUAUAUAAACAUACUCCCCAAUCUGUAUACUUUCCUACGAACGAGUAUAUUCUCAUACAUAUAUAUAUAUAUAUAUAUACUCUGUUCUCCAAACGAGCAUCGGUUGAUCCCCGUUAAAUAUGUAUGGGUUCAUUCUCUCCUUGGAUAUACUCAUUAAUUAAAAAACAACUAUCUAAUCAUACCCUUUCUUAAAUAAUGCGUACGUACACAUAUAUACUCUAACAAGUAUGCAUUCGUACUGGCUGUUUUCACAUGGAUGCAUAUAUGACAGUAAAAAAAACUGUAGGAAAAAGAACAAGUAUACAAAAUCGGCGCCGGCGGCCAGUCACAAAUCAUGCAGUGUAUAGCGACAUCAACUCAACACAUGCAGACGUACGUGCUAUAUGCAUGUAUAUGGGCAUACUCACAACGCACGUAUGUUAUUAACGCCUCAAUUUUUUGAAUUCCUAUAAAUACGCCCGCAUAGUAGGUGUUAUAAUUGGAUUGUAUUCAAACCCGUUAGCUCCACUAACACGGGCCCGUUAGCUAGGUCCGCGCGGGGCUGCCUCCUUCGCGCGUGUAGACUCUAGGUGCGUGUAGAUACUCGUACGUGUAAAAAUCACUCACCCUAUAUAUAUAUAUAUAUAUAUAUAUAUAUAUAUAUACAAGAAAAGUAAAUGUCAAUUUAUCAUGUGAUGACAAUAUUUAGGAUUUCACGUAUUACAGUUUGUAGUUCGAAGAACAUGUUGGUUUUUUCUCUGAUGGUAUUUUUCACGACGUCUCUUGUUAAUUGCAUCCUUUUGUUCAAGCCAUCGAGCUCUAUCCCUUUCUCUCUUACGUUCUUUAGCAUUGACUGCACAUAAUUUAAUAGUAAUAUAAGUUACCAUAUAUAAGUACAUGCCAUAUACUAUUUGACACGAUAUUAUUUUACCUUCUUUGGCAGUGUUAGUUUUGUCUCCCAAUGGUGCACGAGAAUUUUUAUCCAUUAUAUGAAUCUAUAAUAAAAACAUUGAAAUAAUUAAUAUUUUUUUGCAAUUAGCACUUAAGAGCUAGCAGUUAGUAGAAAUGUUGUAUGAAAAAUAGAAACCAACAGCCACUAAUUCCAGCGGAAAACAUACCGAGAAUCCAGACUAUGUAUACAUACCAGAAAGUUAUCAUAAUUUUAAGUUGGACUGUGUAUACAUAACAGAAAGUUACCCGAGGAUCUGGAGAAUAGUGAUAUGUGCUUAAUGGACCAACUAUGUCAACAGUUAAGGAUGGAAUUCUCCUUACAUAAAAUCUUUGCAAAUUUCUGCAUAAAAAACCAAAAGUUACUGAACUUCACUAUGUGUAUGAUCAGUAAGCCACACAAUGUAAGGGAACAAAAGGAAUCACAACUAAGCAUCAUAUUAUGAGUCCAAGAGCAUGUCAAUAUAUGACUAACAAGAAAGGCAAAUAAGGAGGGUUCUAGCAUGUCAAUAUCAGACUCAUAAACAAUAUUUUUGUCUACGCGGAGAAUUAAUCCAGACUGUCAAGAAAAUUAUACUAUAGAAAAAAUAGAGAUAGGAAUAGCAUCUGUUUUUAGUUUUGCUUGAGAACAAGUAGCAUCUGCAUUUUUGCAAUUGUUGGACUGAUACAGUUUUACCAUGCAAAGAGGUGCUGCAUAAUGUAAAAGCAAAAUCCAUAUCCUUCACCUUAGGAUUCCAUCUACUUUUAGUGCUUGAUAUUGUCGAACAACUACAGUUUUAUAGAAAAAAACACGGCCGAUUCUGAACACAAAGCGAAUAAAUGGCCAAUCGCGAUGCCAUUGCAGUGAUACAUUUUCAAUGGAUUGUGGCAUUAGUCGAAAGAAAAUAAUUAUGACAAGUACUUCUAAAUAUUCAAUACACAUGGUGUUUGUUAUCUGCAAGUAAAUCAACUCUGCCGUGAAGGAUAAACAGAGGGAUCUCAACUGCAUUUGCAUACAAUGAAUCAAGAUAAAACAGAUAAAAAAGCAUCGCCCCCAGAUGUUGUGGUAAAACAGCACAAAUAAAUCAUAAGAUAAACUAAGAUUUUGUAUACCUUCUUGUGUACAACAGCUGAUGUAUGUUUUUUUUUUUUGAAAAGAUGCUUGAUUUUCAGAGCCAGUUGUUAAACUGUAAACAAAAUAUGGACAUUUCAGUUUUACAUCUUAUUAUUCCAGUUAAUGAAAGAGGCAAAACAAACAUAGAAAAUCAAAGAGGUGCAAAAUGACCAAAUAUUUCUUUUUAUAAGAAUGGUCAAGUAUUAAAAUCACUAAUUAGUAAAAAUUUUCACCAUAUGGCUCAUUGUGCUGUAGCAGGGGGCAACCAAGCAAGAGGAGAACCGCACAAGGGCUAGGCUGCAGCCUGCAGGGGCACUGCUUGUUCGCUUGGUGGUUGUGUGCCUGGCGGUUGACGCCCUGGCCAAUUGGGUUGCUGUGGGCUUGGCGCCUAACACCCAAGGCAACUCAGUGAUGGCAUGGAUGCGAGGGCAAGCGCGGAGAAGGGCAGCGCGCAGGGAGCGAGGCCGGCGGGCGAUGGCGACAUAAAGAAGAGAUCUCCGGGAAGGAAGGUCCUGGUUCUGGAGCGCACGUAAUGGGGUCAGAGUACUAUGGUCUAUAUUGGAAUAUCUUUUGGUCUGUCAGAUGACAAAGGAAACAUAGAAAAACCAUUUGUGUUUUCCCUGGUGUUGAAGGCGAUCGGAUAAGAUCAUAUGCAGAGAGACGUGUAUACCAAACAAAAUUACAAGGAGUCAGCUGUCUCCUUUUUGCUUCCAUCCUGGAAGUUCACAUCUCUAAAAAAAGGCUAACUGCUCAGGCAAUCCUUGAAUUAGCAGGAUACUACUAUAUAGGCUUAACAUACAUGCUAAUAAUGUCUGCUUAUUGUGAAUUAGCAGUAGGCUUAACAUACAUACUACUAAUAGUUGUUAGUUAGGAAUUAGCAGUAGGCUUUUCCUGAAUUAGCAGGAGACUUAAGAAUAUAGGCUACUCAGGAUAGAGCCUACUGCUACUUGCAGGAAACAUAAGCUCAUCAAGUCUGAGAUAUACGUACCCUUAACUGGCAAAUCGGUAUGGGUUUCUUCUGUGGAGGGAUAACUCUAUGUGCUGUUUUUAUUGGUUCAGUGACAAGGCACCCCCACAAUCCUUUGUCCAGAUUAUUCUUGUUUACUACCAUGCAAGACAAAUGUACUGCAUAGAUUGCUACAUACUAUUGAACUAAGAUUAUGUAAUUACUACCUUGCAAAGCUUAUGCAGAAGUUUUCCUUCACCAAAUCCCAGCUCCUUCUCCACCACUGUGAUCACCUCUCUGACCUGCGAUAUUUGUUUGACAUCACAUAACUGAUAGUAUUCAUAUUUGUGAGGAUGGCGACAUUUACAAGCAGUUAGCAAAACACAAAAAUGUAACAGUUAAAGAAUAAUGCUUUACAGUCUGCAUUUGUUCAGAAGUCAGGGCACUAAAAUUUUAAUUUUAACAUAAGGAAUUGAGUUGGGCAGAGUUGUACCUUACUUUUCCACACACAAGAGUUCUCAUCAGCAGGCAAGCAACGCUUAGCUCACAAGAGUCAUCGCACUUAUCAAUCCACUGGAGAAACGUAGAAAAUAAGAAGAGGAAAAAGAAGAGCCUACCAGCAGUGGACGGUCGAUCCAAGGGAAGCCAGAUGGCCUAAGUCGGGGGCGAGUUGCUGCUGCGGGGUUAGGCAGUGGCCGCACGGCGUGGACGCGGUGGCUGGAGGGCGCAGAUGCUCCUCAGCCAGCAAAGGGCACAGCGACGGUGGGGGCGUCGGAGGCCACAGGCGAGGUUAGAAACGGCAGAGGGUGGAGCAGCGCCUGGAGGCAAAGCGUGAUGUCGAGAUCUCCGAAGACCUUGACCGGCACUCUCGGCCUCGAGCUCCGGAACUGCGAUGGAAUCAGCAACUUCGCAGAGGCUGUUCCUCGCUGGAGUUAUACAGUCGAGCGAAGCGGGGUCACGGCUCCUCUUGCUGGUCGGCCGGCGGGAGAAGACGUGGUGAGUGCGUCGGCGGAGUAGUGCUGCAGCGUCGGUGUCGAGCGGCGGCGGCGGCGGCGGCCCAAACCCCGGCAGCGGCGGCGAGCGGUCGGCGGCACUAGCGUCGGGGAGCUGACGGAAGCUGCAGCCUCGCUGUCAUGUGGUCGGGGCACCAGGAUAAAUGGGUGUGGCACCGCCGUUGCCGAUUGGGAGCUGAGUGGCACCGCCGUUGCCGAUUGGUUUGAAGCCGCCGCAGCCGAUUGGGAAGGAAGGACGGGCAGACCAACGCCGAUUGGGGAUGUCGCUAUGCCUUGGAUCGAUGACGUGGUGGGAGUGAGGAGGUUUCGUAAAGCAACACGCCUACAGGGAGUGCUGGGCGGUCACGCGAGCCAGCGAGCGUGCGAAGCCGGUUCAACGAUUCUGUUUUCAAUUUUUUAGUUGUAGAGAUAUUGUUAUUUGUCUACUUUGAUUAUAUGCUUAGUGUUGAUGGUAAAUAACUCCUAAUUUUAACUGUCAACUAGACAUGAAAAUGGAUCUAUAUGCAAACACCUAAUAGAUAUAGGGUUAUCACUAACAGAAUUCUAUAAGUUUUGGAGAUUGUUUGUUUCUCUAGGGUGUCAGCUGAAAAUAACCAUAGAUGGUCCACAUGCCAGGUUUACAUAGAGAGAAUACUACGAACUUGAACUCAGGAGUAAUCUAGAAGGUUCGAGGAGGCUCCAUACCAAACAGGAAGCAAAAUGGGUCCGGGUGCUGGGCGGGCACCCAUAGGGUAGGGGCGCCUGCCCCACUACCUCCACCAAUUAGAGUGAACCUCGCACAUCCUACCUCCACUGACUUUGAGGAGUAAUCUUGAGCAUAUGUUUAAGUCAGUUUGAUUCGAGGGUUGUGGUGCCUCCUAGGGGGCUAUAAAUACAACCCUGACCCCCUGGGGAGUAGCUAAUUAUGGAACCCUAAUUCAUAUUUUCCAGAGACAAUUAGCCAGAGAGGGGUCCCUCGAAUGGAUCUAUCUCUUUAGGGUUUUAGCAGCAAGAGAGGUUGAGAGAGUAUAGGGUGGAGAUAGAAGUGGAUGAAGCCUAACUUGUUGGUGUCUUCUUCCUUGUAUCUAUAGGAUCAAGUCUCCUAACCCAAGGCUUGGUUCUAGAAUUAUUCGGCAAUUUGACUUCUAAGACUAGUAAGUUUUGUUCUUACUAUUCUUUGGUUUACGGGUUUACUUUAUUCACUUGCACUUGGGAAUAGAGUAAUUGUUCAUAGCAUAAGCAUGGUGCUUAGGCUAUGAACACUCAUAGAUACUCCCUAUGUGGGCGGAUUUGUGGUAGCAUUGGGGGGAGUGACAAUCUCCUCGUGUCUCUAUAAUCCACGUCUUGUCAAGAGGUAAGGUAGGAUUUAUGGUGUCGAGGUUAAGUACUCUCUAAGGUGUCUCUUUUCUCUAGGUACUCCCCUUAGAACAAUAUCUACAUAGCUUACCAUAGGCUAGAACAAGACUUAUGAAGGAGUUCUCUCUAUAUCACUCAUAUCUCACUAUCUUGUCUUGCAAGCCCAGGGGUUAAGUAUAGAUUUGGGUUAGCCAGAUGCACACUUUCUCCCAUUGGUAAAAAUAUAAAUAACGAUGCUCUAGAAUAUUUCUCAGGUGAAGUGCUCACCGAUAUCCGUGCGCUUGUGGAUUAAUUCUCUGUGUGUGUAUCCAAUAUCAACACAUACUGUAGUGAGAUUAGAAUUAUAUUUAUGCAAAGGAUCGUAUAGUGCAUGCUCAUUAGGCCAAUGGGUGAGUGGUAGAUAUUGUGUAGGCGAGGUGCUUAGACCAUAUUUAUCUACGAUUACCCCUUAUAGUCUAGAUCAUGAGGUAGAUCACGGGAGUGAUAGUCCUGUUGAGUCCUCUCUAGUCCUCCUCCCGAGUAUAAGGACCGACCACUAUUACAGGGAAGUGAUUGCUAUAUUCAAGAUCUUUAUUGGUAAUAUCACUAUGCGUAAGUAUAACCUUUUCUUACGAUGAUGCUAGGUGUAAUUGUAGUAAUCAUUGUAUACUUUGAUAGUAUAGUUAGAAUACUUAGGAUUUAUUCUUGUAGAUCAUUCUAAUCCAUACUAGUGUUAUAGACUUAUACUACUAUAUUGAGAUGAUUGUCAUAUUUAUAUGUGGCUAUGUGCUCUCAUUUAUCUUUGUCACUUAUUAUUCAUAUUUAUAUUAUUUAUCUUAUGUGACACUUACCCUGCAUGAGAGUUAGAUAAAGACAUGGUUAAGAUCUUCAUGACUACAUGCAGUGCUCAUUGCUCAUUAUCCAAUGCAGUCCCUUCCCAGUGGUAAAAAUAUAAAUAACGAUACCUGGAUUACUCAUGGUUAAAAUGCUAUAUUGGUAUUAUCUAUGCGCUUACAGAUCCUUUAUUUAUUAUCUAGAAAAGCAUAUAAAUUUAAUACCCGCACUUCUAUAUCGUGCUAGGGAUGACAACCGAGCUUAAAUGAUGUAAAGUAAUUUUUGACGCCGUUGCUAGGGAUAGGUUUAAAAGUCUAUUUAUAGAAAUUACAUCAAGAGGUGUCAACAAGCAUUUUUGGUGUCGUUGCUAGGGAAGGUUGAAAGCAUUGAAUGAUAAUGAGCAUCAAUCCAUCUACUCAUGGAUUGAGCACCAUCCACCCUUCACACUCAUGCAGACUCACCCUUGUCGUUUGUCUAUUUUAUAUAUCAUAUGCAGGGUAAUUUAUGAGCAGGUUUGAUCUCCUAGAUCAUUUUGUUGGUAAUCUAAAAACAUUGAUUAGGAAGACAAAGGCCAAGUUGAGAAGGAAUCAAUCAACAUCAUCAUCAUCUCAACUUAUCAAUCCUCCUAAGUCAGAAGGCCAACCUAUAUUUCAAAGUUUGACACCAGAGCUUGACAUCAUAGCCAACAAGUCACUUCAUGAGUUCUCAAGUCCCGGUAUGGCCAACAUCCGUACUGGACCAGCUGUAGACAUCAAUGGGUCAUUUGAGCUCCAGCCUGUGCUGAUCAACAUGGUGCAAGCAGGCCAGUUCUAUGGAAAGGCCUAUGAAGAUGCUAGUGCUCAUCUCCUACACUUUCUAGAGAUCUGCAACACAUUCACUAUCAAGGACGUCCCUACAGAUGCAAUACUACUUUGCCUUUUCCCAUUCUCUCUCUUGGGGAAAGUGAAGCAGUGGUUCUACGCCAAUAAGGAGAAGAAUACUACAUGGGCACUAUGUUCCACCAAUUUUCUGGUGAAGUUCUUUCCCACAGGUAAGACCAAUGCUCUUCAUGGGAAGAUAUCAUGUUUUCAACAACAACAUUAUGAGAUAGUCCCAGAAGCUUGAGAGCAUUUUCAAGACUACAUACUCGAAUGUCCUCAUGAUGGGAUGGAGAAUUAGUUGCUUAUGCAAGCAUUCUAUCAUGGGCUUAGCAACAACACUCGUGAAACCUUGGAUGUUGCUGCUAGAGGAGCAUUUUUAUCACUUACCAUUACUCAAGCCACUACUCUUGUGGAAAAGAUGGCCUCCAAUCAAGGUUGGAGUGAAGAGAGAACACCAACCCACAAGAGAGGUGGAGGAAUGCACCAGCUCAAGGAGGUAGACAUGCUAGCUAUCAAGAUAGACCUAUUAAUGAAAAGGCUUGAUAAAUAACCAUUGAGAAGAAGGAAGUCAUGCAUGUUCAUGAUUUUGGCAUGACUUGUUAAGAGUAUGGAGAAACUAGACAUACAGGUACCAACUGCCCAGAGCUGACAGAGGACAUGAACUAUAUCAACAACAACAACAAUAAUUACUACCAUCCUUAGCAGAACCAAGGUUGGAACUAGCAACAACAACCUAGCUACUUAGGUAAUUUCCAAGGUAUUAAUUCUUAUAAUAAUGCCAAUCAACCACCUUUAAAAGAGUUAGUGCUUAAUCAGGACAAGUUAAUUGAUAGCCUAUCUAAGAAGCUAGUAUCUAAUGAUAAAACUUUAAAAUUAGUUAACAUUAGAAUGGAAAGUUUUUUCCAAUGCUAUCAAGAAUCAGCUUAGCUUUAAUAAUAUACUAAAAUCUCAGUUACAACAACUUGCUUACUUUGCUUCUGCCAACGACCAAGGUAAGAUUCCCAGACAACCGGGAGAAUUAGAAACUGCAAAUCUUGUAGACAUCUUUAAUGCUGGAAACUACUGGAGUGACCCUCCGAGAGGAACAUGGAUUGACUCAACUCUACCAAUCAAGAAAGGCAAUCCAGGGAGGCUGGUCAUUCCGAUCUUUAUUGGAAGUACAUCAACAAGGUGAUCUAUGACUUUGGUGCAAGCGUCAACAUCAUGCCUAAGGUGAUAUAUGAAAAGCUAUUCAAUAUUCCUUUGUCAUACCCAACCAUGUGUUUGCAGCUUGCAAAUCAGUCACUCUACUACCCCAUGGGAAUCCUAGAAGAGAUCUGCAUGCGAGUAGGCAACUCAUACGUACCUAUAGACUUCAUGGUAGUGAACAUAGGCACUAAUGAGAGGUUGCCUAUUAUUCUGGGAUGACCAUUCUGGAACAUUGCCGGAGCCAUUAUCUAUGACAGCACUGCCAAGAUUAUUUUCAAUAUCAAGGGCAAGAGAGAAGUGUUUUCUUUCAAGAAUAGGCAUUGCCAUUCCCUGUACAAAAAGAAACUAUCGAUGAUAGGAACAAGCGCAAAACAUAGAGCAAGGCCAAGACCAAGAAUAAGGGCAAAAAGAAGGCCCAGAAGACGGAGACGGCAAGGAUGGUCACUACAGUCCAUAGGGAGUACGACCACCUGCUCAUGUCCUCGCAUUGGAUCAAGAAAGACGACCCAGGUGUCCCUACUAUUCUAUGCUCCAUGAACAGAUGUUACUUCUACAACACUGUAUGUGACACCAGAUCGGGCGUCAACAUUAUGGCCAAGGUAAUGUAUGAAUUUCUAUAUAGUACUAUGCCUAUGGACCCCACCUAUAUAGAGCUGCAGUUGGUGGACUAGUCCUUUUGCUUCGUGGAAAGGAUGGCCAAAGAUGUCCCUAUCCAGAUCAAUGACCACUACGUCCCCACUGACUUCCUAGUCAUCGACAUGGGAGAAGAUGAGUGUGAUGCACCCAUCAUAUUAGGAAGACUAUUCCUCAACACUACCAAGGCCAUCAUUUAUAUUGGAACAAGGAGAUCCAUUUCAAGUUCCCUUCAGAAAAGGUACGCCACCAUUUCAAUAGUAAUUAUAUAAUUGAGGAGGAGCCCAAGAAAAAUAGGUCAAGGAGAAGGCAACGUACCCAUCACCAGAAAAUGAAGAAUGUUGUAGACGGAUAGGCUGACUAUAAAAAAGAGGUUUCAAUAUUUGAAGAUCGAUACCCUGACAAGGAGAACGCCAUCAAAAAGGAGGUACUAGUAGAAGAAGAGAUAGUGACUCCAGACACUCUCUCCUCCAAGUCACCAUCACCUACUGAAAGGUCCAAAUGGCUAGAGGGGGGUGAAUAGCCUAUUUAAAAAUCUACAAACUUUACUAAACAAGCGAGUUAGUAAAAUAAGCGGCGAAGCUAUUCUAGCACUAACACAACUAAGCUAAUCAAGCCACCUAUACAAGUCUAGCAAGAAGGCUAAACAUAAAACACAACAACUCGAGAAGGCUACACAACAACUCUAUACUAGAAAGAACUAAGCUACACAAGCUAAACUAACAAGGUAGGCAAGUACGUAAAGAGAGGAGAGUGAUUGUUAUAUCGACGUUGUAGAGAUGAGAUAUAUCCAAUCAAUCACGUACACAAUCACAAGAGAGAGACCUCGACAAGAGAUGACACAAGAUUUUUUACCGAGGUUCACUUGCUUCCUGGCAAGCUACUCCUCGUUGUGGCGAUACACCCACUUGAUGGAUCACGAGCUAAUUGGCAAUCCAAAGCCAAACCCUCGGCGGGUGCCACACAUCCACUCACAAGAUGGGGAUCCUCCAAGCCACGAGCAAUCCACUAGAGUAGCCAAUUGCGAUCUCCCGCGGGGAAGGCUCAAGAACCCCUCACAAAUCACUUGGUGAGGCUCAAAACAAUCUCCAAUCACGAGCUCAACACCACCGCUGCUCCAAGCCGUCUAGGGCAUUGGGAACCACCCAAGAGUAACAAGAAAUCCACAGCAAACUCAAGAAUCAAGUGCCACUAAAUGCAACUCUCAAAGCAAUGCACUUGAAUCUCAAUCAAUCUCACUAGGAUUAGCAAUCAAGCAAGGAGAUGAGUGGAGGGAGUGUUCUCAAGCUUAAUGUAUGCCUCAAGUAUUCAAAUGUGCAAGAGUUGGCCACCUCCUAUUUAUAAGCUCUCUCAAAGAACUAGCCGUUGGCCACUUUCAAUGGGCUGAAAUCGGGGCCACCGGAUGCUACCAAGUGAGCACCGGACGCUCGAUCCCCUGCGUCCGGUGCACGGAAGUCAGCCACGUGUCUUUCUAGAAUCUCGCGCGUUAGACUCUAACGGUCACCUGCGGACCACCGGACGCAACCAAGUGGGCACCGGACGCGUCCGGUGCUCACCGGUCUCGUGCGCAGAGAGUUUCGCAAACCUGCAGGGUCACCGGACGCAAGCCACCGGACGCACCCUCAGCGUCCGGUGCUCACCGGACUCAUGCGCAGAGAGGGUCACCAAAACGCCCGCACACCGGACGCUGAGCACCGGACUCACUCCGGUGCAUCCGGUGCACACUGGACAGACCCGACAGUCCACCGGACGCUAAAAGCCAGCGUCCGGUGCCUCUGCACCCUACCUCCGGUGAGAAACACUCCCACGACUUCUCCAAAUUUCCCAUCGACGCAAUAGAAAAUAUACACUUAAUUUUCUCAAAAGCACUGAAUCCCGCCGAGCUUGCCACCCCUCUCAUCCCUAGGAACUCCACCUCCUUUGAAAAUGUGCUAACAUCAACAAGUGUCCACCACCAAAGUGCAUGUGUGUUAGCUUUUCACAAACAUUUUCACCAAAGGAGUUAUGUUAGCACUUUACUAGAUCCUAAUGCAUAUGCUCAAGAUAUGGACCUAGUAGCACUUGAUUCGAGAGAUGACCGUGAUUUCCCCUCUUGAUAGUUGGCUAUCUAUCCUAAACCCGGUCAAUCACUUCUCUACUCAUCUUAGACCGGCAAACGUAAAACCCUAGGUUUAUACCUUUGCCUUGAUAACUUUGCUCCUCGUUUAUCAUCAUGAUCUUCACAUCAUGCUUCAUCCCUUUGUGAUCAUGUAGCCACCUUUCCAUGCCACCAUGCACCUUCAUCACAUGUGUUGCUAUGCCUAACUCAAAUCACUUAAACACAAGGCAUUAGCAACUUGGUGUCAUUAAUUACCAAAACCAAACUUGGGCUUUCAAUCUCUCCUUUUUUGGUAAUUGAUGACAACCAUCACAAAGAUAUGAAAUGAAAUCGUAAUGAACUUGAAUUGCUUGUCCAAAGCAUUUUUAAACAAGAGACAAUAUUGGACAAACAUUUCAAUUUCGGUUUUGGUAGUACUAGCUCCCCCUACAUAUGUGCUUCCAUGAGUUUGGUUCAAGUUUGCACAUAUGCAUGAAUUGGAAUUUUGGGAGAUUUAUUACUACUGAAAUGAUGCUAAGGUAUAUAGAAUGGCCCUUUGAAGCGUGAUACCAAUUGGAGUUGCCAAUCGUUUAUCAUCAUGAUCUUCACAUCAUGCUUCAUCCCUUUGUCAUGUAGCCACCUUUCCAUGCCACCAUGCACCUUCAUUACAUGUGUUGCUAUGCCUAACUCAAAUCACUUAAACACAAGGCAUUAGCAACUUGGUGUCAUUAAUUACCAAAACUAAACUUGGGCUUUCACCUACAGGGUAGGUAUGGAAACCAAAGGUAAAUUUAGAAUUAAAUCCUACAUAGGACAUAACACUUGUGGUGCCAUCUGAUGUACCCCUUAAUCGUUGAGCGAACAAGAGGGUCCUCAGGACAUAAAAUCACCAAAUGCCGCACCAAGAGGUAACUUGGUAUUUAUCUGCAUUUUCCUUUAGGUUAUUUACUUCUCUUAAUUGCAUUACUAGUUGCAUCUUUACUUUAUUAUUUCUGCAUCUCUACAACUAAAACAUUGGUAGAGCAAUCGUCCCCCAGCAGUUUUCGCUCGCUUCGCUUCCCCCCGGCCCGCAAUCACUCGCACUCUGCUUGGUGGACCUGAACAUCUCCUACUCCCUCCCCUCCAAUCGCGCUCGCCGCCGCCUCCUCCUCUCCCACGCUCCCUUCCCCUCGCCACGCGCUCGCUGCCGCCGCCGCCUCCUCUCCCACGCUCCCUCCCCCUCGCCCAUUGCGUGCUGCGGCGCUGCGCUCGGAGAUGGUGCUGCGAAUGUGUGCUGCGUCCCGGAUCAACUUAUAGUUGGUAUGCGGUUGCUUAAUCGAUGUUGAUUCGAACCAAUCUUAUACCCACCAUCGCCUGCUGCUGUUGCAUGUGCUGCCGUUCAUCGCUGCCUUUUCUUCUCCAGUUCACAGCGCCUGCUCUCUCUGGUAGCGACGACUGGACGGCAGCACUACGCCAGGUGCCUAGGUCGACAUUAGGCCCUUUGCUAAGUCUUAACCUGGUACUUUUACUGAGAGGACAACCACCAAGUAUGCCAACCCCUUCUGUUCCCUUCUUGCUGUACGAAACUGAGCACCCAACCCCUCUUAAACUAAUUUGCUAUUUGUAUUCAGAUCAGAUCUAAUUACAUGUGUGUACAUGUAUUAUGCCUGCUAACUUCGAUUCCUUUCAAUAUUAUCAAGCCUACAUGUGCAUACCCAUGUCCUUUGUUGGAUCUACGCCUGCAGUCUUUAUGCUUUGCACUUAAUGUUCUGUGCACUGAAAAAAUUUCCAAUAAGAAAAUUCACUUAAGUGAUGAUUUCAGAACUUGGCAUUAGGGACGGGAUGCUGAUGUUAAAAUUGAAGUUAACUUACCAUGAAGCAGCAGCCAGUAGCAGCAUAAAAAUAGGAGAAGAAUGAUUUCUUUAUUCUAAGAUUUAUUUGGUUAUCAAUCUAAUUCAGAUUUGAACUGAUUAGAGUGUUGUGUGGUGCCUGCUAAGGGCCCCUUUGAACUGAUUCAUGUGUGGUUUCCUGUUAGAUUCCUAUGAAAUUCCUAAAUUUCUACAUUCCAAAGUGAUCCUAAUGCAAGAAAUUUAGGGCCUCAGUCUGUGAAUGGAGUGCUCAUGAAAAGUGAAGAUGUUUCACCUUUUCUGAAUUGCAUGUCAUUGGGCAGUCUACGCAGUUGCAGGUAUCUAAUUAGAGCUGACCCUCCCCUCCCCUCCUGAAGUUUAUUUAUUCUCUGUUUAUUUUAGCUUCUCAGCCAGCAUCCAAGAGGAUAAACUAAAAUAUGGCUACUCGAAGAAUUCUGUGUGGUUGAUGCCUAAUUAGUCCGGUCAAAUUAAUCCACGUUUGGUGCAAAUGUUGCUAUUUUUGUUCUUCCAUUUAAAGAUUCAGAAGUACAAAUGUUGGACUCCGAUGCUUUAUAUAUCUCAAAGUUCAAAAAAUGUUCCUCCAUUUGUUGGUUUAAUCAAUUUUUUGAGAACUUGAAUUCACAGAUCACAAAGAAAAAAAAACAUAGUUCCGGGUGUACCUUUCUGCAAUGGUUUCCACUUUAAGUUUCUGAGGUCCUCAAUUCCAUAGGAGCAUGCAGAGUUUAUUCAGCACUGAAAUCAUUCAGCACCUGUAACUGUUAUGAACGAGGUGGAUAUUUUGAGAUAGAUAACUAGGCCUUAUGCUUUGCCAAGAGCUUUGGGAUAACUAGGCCUUAUGCUUUGCCAAGAGCUUGAGAGAUUGAGGGAGACUAGAAUUGUUUCUUUAUAAUUCAUUGCUUGAAUUGCUUGAUUUCCAUUGUGCCCCAUGGGCUGAAUAUAAAAGGUACAUAGGACUAACACCUCUUGUGCCUAGACAAUAUGGUACUAUUCCUUUAGACAAAUAACUAAGAGAGACACUAAUUAACACUAAUGGGCUUAAGGCCCAACUAGGACACUUGCGCCCUAUGGCGCCCCUCUUUAUGCCCAUGACAGUAACCCAUCGCCAAUGCUGAGAGGCGAGGAUGGCAUUUGCUCUAACAUUUCUUCUAGAGUCUUAUUUUGAUCUAGCUGUUGCUUUCAUUGGAACAACUACAGUGUGCAAACUUUGAAGGUAACCUACUGAACUUUCAUAUUUGCCAAGGGUAGCACCUGUUUAUCCCCACCCUCUCUUGAUCCUUUUUCUGACCAAAAGUUAUUUGGGUACGAAUGAAUACAUAGUCUCAUGGAAGAUCACAAUGGAAGCAUGAUUCAUUAAAUUUCUCACAGGGUUGCUGUGCAAUAGAACUGUUGAUGCCAAGUUAAGAUAAAAUGAUGAUAUGCUCUUCAUGAAAUGUUUUGCCCUCAUAUUAUUGGACAUGUCCAGUAACCAAUAUGACAAGUUUUGGUAUGUUUCCAUUGGGAUUAUAUUGUGUCGUAAUCAUGGCUGCCUUUUUCAUACAAGUAGAUAAGGUAUUGACCCCUUUGCUAUUUUACAUGGUUUGUUUAUUUAUUUAUUUUUUUGCUCCCACAAUGCUUAUUGUGAAGGAUUUAUUUUUUGAUUCAAACAAACUCAUUGCUCAUUAUUUGACGAUGGGGGCGAAUGUUGGAUAUUUUUUGGGUGAUUAUACAUGUGGAUUUCAGAUUGUAUCUCUCUUGUGAAUUUGAAAGAAAUCUGGCAUACCCUUUAUGGAAAACUGAAUUCUGUGUGGCUCGCCAGAUCUCUUGUGAAGCUUUUUUAUCGUAAGGAAGUUCUAACUCACCAAAUCUUGUAAAAUAACAAAUUUUGAUAAUAACUUCUCAGAUCAGAACAGUUGCUUGAAACUGGCUGCUUGAAUAAUGAAAUGUUACCCUUCAAAGCUUUUUAUCGAUGGAGAUUGAGGAUCAACCAAGUGGAAUACUUUUGUCAUAUUGUGCUGACCACAGCAAUAAAAAAACAGAACAACUACAUACUUUCUCCAGUUUGUGUGCACAUUGACAUGAUGGUUUGUCAUAGUUCUAAAUUGCAAAUGUAUUAUAAGUCUCUACUAUUGCCAUUAUCUUAAUUUCUAAGAGAAUUAUCGGUUUUGCCAAAUUUCUCCCUAUUUUUCUCUUUGAGUUCUCUUAAAACAUCAUCCAUAUAUUAUGUGCAGGCUCCAACGUUUUGGGAUAGUGGUUUAAGGAACCUGAAAUAUGUCAUCAUUUUUUAGUGGAGUGACAUUCCAAUGCUUUCAUGGUCAUGUUAACUCAAUGCAAAAGAGCUGAAAACGAGAAUGAAACCUAAUCAGCUUCGGCUUAGGCUAACCUAAAUGUAAGGCAGCAACCAAAUCCUAUGUAAAAUUUUUAGAGUUCAUGAGACAAACUAGCCUAAUUUCAAACAUGAUUUCAUACAGGGAGUACACUUUUUUGGCACAUAGCCGAGUGACUACUAAAAUAAAACUAUCCACAUCUCCUAUGUCCGUUUGACAGCAAUUUGAGGCAAUUCUUGAAGACAUGGUGUGAGCUUAGACACCAUGUUACUCAUCGUCAUCUUACUUUGGCAGCUCCAUAACACGCCUAGCAGCCACUUUAGAAAAUUUCCGAAACUUAUCUAUUUUUAUAAAAAAAAUAAAUUGCUGGUUGUGUUUGAUUAAUCACUUUUGUUAUGCAUAUAUACAUUAUUAUCCCGUUGCAGCGUACGGGCACCCACCUAGUUAGAAAAAGAAAAUAAAAAUAUGUUUUGCAUUGUAUCUAAAAAAAUGCUAAGCCCCAUGUAUUUAAUGUAUGAUGCAACAGCUCACACACUCAUCUACUGUGGUGGCACACAAAAAAAUUAUAACAGAUUUACUUUUUCUGUCUGCAUACCAUAAAUAUGAAAAGCAUAAAAAAUAUAUUGAUCCUGCUAAAAAUAAAUGGGUAUAAGAAAGUUAUAGAUUCCUAAAGCUUAGAGGUUUGUUACUAACACUUAAUCAAUUCCACAAGUUUUGUUUUCUAUUUGAGCUUCACAGGCUUUAAAGGAUCAAGAAGAGCUAACAUGCAGAAGGACGUCCUAUCCUCUAUCAGAGUACAGUCCGCAUAAGCUGAGUGUUGUUUCCAACCGUAAGUGCUCACGACACUUAGGAGGACUAGCAUGCCUUCACUGCCCGUUAGCAACCUCAACAGACCAUGUCAACAUCCAGCUUGGGGGAAAGCAACGCUCGUAUGCCAAGCUAAGUAUCCCUCGCUUAUCUAUUUAUUCCUGUGCGUUACGAUAAGAUAAAAAGAUGAAUAACUUUAGAAACCUAAUAAAAAUUUCUUUAUCUUUCAUAAUUAGUUUUGCUAGCUAAGGAGAGCUCUUAAUGAAUUUAUUAAAAUGAAUCUCUAGAACAAACUCUUAUAUGGAGAUGAUGAAUAGUUGCUCUGCCGUAAUUCCUUGCAAGUACCUAGUUUUCAACCUUGUACUAUCCCGAGUUUUAGACACAACUAUUUAGACUUAAGAUUUUACUCUGAGCCUGAAACUUUUGGGUAGCAAAUGCUUAAUCUAAAUCUAGGUAGUUGAUGGAUAUGAUAUAGGAAGGUUUUGAGCUGCUAUCAAUCUUGCUCCUAGAGAUAUGUUGGGUAUUUUAAACGCAAACAGAAAAAUCCGCAAGCGCACGGAUACCGAAGUAGCUUUCACCCGGGAAUAUUCCAGAGUAUCGAUUUUCCACAGGGAACGUGAGUGUACUAAUUAAGAUCCAAGAUCGUCCAAGGAUAACUAUAUAAUUAUUUUUGGUGGGAAGAGAGGAAGUUUCGUGAGAGUUCUCUAGUUGAUCUAAGAAUCAAGAAUUACUUCAAGAUUAUCUAUUUCUGAACAUCAGAACACUAACCACAGAAAGAGAUGAGAAGGGGGCUAGGAAGCUCUGACUACGGUCCUACAAACACCGAUCCGAACGAGGUGGAAUACGUCCACCAUUAGGGCUGUCACUACCCUAGGGCUACCACAACAAUCCGCAGGAUUGGGUGCAAUUCCAGGUAAUUGCAAGACUAAACACCACGUCUAAUCUAUUAAUUACUACUCUAGCGUUUCAAAGACUAGAGCACUUGAUGCAAGCAGGAAUCCAAUAAAUAACUUGAAUGUAAAUAAAGUAAUUAAAGAACUUAGGAAUUAUGAAUUGAAGAACCUGGAGAACGAUGAAGAACGAACCAGUUGCUGUAAAAGUACAAUGUUGAGGAAGAUCCGACAGAUCCGGCUCCUCCUCCUCCACUCUCCUCUUCUCUCUCCCUAUUUUCUAGAUUACAACUAGAACUAACUAGAACUAGAGGAACUAGAACAGAACUAGAUGAACUAGAACUAGAACUAGAUGAACUAGAGCUAGAACUAGAUGAACUAGAGGGAUCCUCUCUACUUGGAUGAAGAAUUGAAACCCUAACUUUGAUUCUGUAGAAGAGGUAUGAUCUCUAGGGGCCAGGGGACCUUGCUUAUAUAGUCUUUUCAGAUGAAUCUGGGCCGUCGGAUCAAACCGACAUUGAUCGCACGGUUUUCGUUGAUCCUUUAGGUCGGUGGAGCAUGAUCCCCGAGUUGUACCCUGAUUGGGCAGAAUAGGAGGGCGGGCGCCCUAAGGACUAGGGCGGGCGCCCUGUCCCUGAGCCCUCUCAGCUUCCGCUUUGUUUCCGUGGCUUUUGGAGUCUUCUAGAUGAUAGAAAAUUGCGCAGCACGUUCAUAUCUCUAUGUAAACUUGACGUGUGGGCCUUUCUUCCGUAUUUCCUGAUAACCCCCUGCAGAAAUAGACAAACACCAAAACUCGUGGAAUUCUAUCAGAUAAAACCCUAAGUCUGGGUGUUAGUUGCAUUUGGAUCCUUUUUCAUGAUUAGUUGAUUGUUAAAUGUGAGCAUUAAGGACCGUCAACAAGUUGCCCCAAGCUUAACCUUUGCUCGUCCCUGAGCAAAGAUGGACUCAAGAGUUUCUGCAGUGGUUUCAUGCCUUAAAGAUACACAUGCGUUCAAACAAGAUCUCAUCUCUGGGUUAGGGUAAAAUAUUAAGAUUUAAACUUACUCAUUUUACCUUCCACCAUGGGGCUUGCAACCGUCACUUGUGUCUUGAGCAGUUAAAAGAUAGAACGGUCUCGAGAAGCGCCAUGUCUCUUGUUCUUUAAUUAACUAUAGCUCUGGAGUUUUUGCAGAUUUUCAAAUAAAACUCAGAGAUUCCUUGUAUGACUCUCUCUAGUCUCUCUUUUGUGGUAUUUCUAGAUCCUUACCAAGGCAGUAAUGGUGUAUGCCUUCUCUCAAAAUAUGUGGUAAUUUUGGUAUGAGGCAUAGUGGUAUUGCCUUCUCUCUCACCCUACUCUAAUAAGGUUUUGAUAUCUGGAGCUCAUAGGUGGGAGACAGCUAAAACAUACUUACAAGACAUUUAUUGCAUAGUCAAACCAUAGAUCUAGAAGAACAAGUCAAUAAGUCAAAUCAAGAUGUGCAUGUGUGGCGAAUGAAUGGUGUAUGGUGAUGAUGGUGAUAACAAUGGUGAAAGUCUAAUUCUACUUGUGCUCUUUUGAGGGGAUACAUACCUUUCUUGCUCUUUUGAAACUUUUUUAGGAGAAUGAGAUGCUCUAUAUUUUCUUUUUCUUUUCUCUCAGGUGGGUAUCUUGUACCCCUAAUUCUACUGUCGGACACUUGUCCAUUUUUACCUCCCGUCUCACUUUUUCUUUUCUUUUGAGGUUCCGGGCACUUGCCCCUUUUGAUUUCCUUGUAUCUUCUUUUUUUAGAGCACUCACCUCUUUAAAUAAUGUAGCAAGUGGUAGUAACUGAAAUAACUUGAGCAUUUAUUUCACAGGGGAAAACAGAAAUCGGAGAAUGUUUUUGGCUAUUCUCUCUCGGAUUAGGAGAAGAAUAUUUUUGGGUGGUUCUGGAGAUGGAAAUGAGUGGAUGUAUGUGGAUGCGUACUUCCAGAGUAGAAGCAGCUUGUCUGAGUGAACGUGCAAGUGAAUCUUGAUUUAACCACAUGAUAAGCUCCUAAGGGUCUACACAGCUUGACCACACUCAAUGCUCAUAAGCAGUAAAAAGUAAAUGUAUGGUUCAAAGUCUGGCAAGCAUGUAUAUAUGGCUGUGGUAGGAUUUUAAACUCGCAUCAUACAGGAACUCACCAUGCAACAUUUUAAAGAUUUUCAAAGAUAAAAUUCUCCAGAAUUCUAGCAUCUCUAGGAACAGAUAAACAGCAGCUCAACCUUCCCAUAUCGUAUCCGUUAACGACUUAGACUUUAGAUCAAGUACUCUUCCCACAAGUUUAGGUUUAGAGCAAAUCUUAAUUAAUCACAGUCAUGCCUAAACUUGAGAGAGAUUUCAAUUUUGAGAAUUAGUCAUGGCAGAGCAACUAUUCAUCAUUUCCAUGUGAGAGCUUAUCAUGAGGGUUCAUAGCAAACUUUAUUUAUUUAUUUAUUUAGGAAACUAAGCAAAGAUAUAUAUAAAAGCACAAAAUCUUUAUUUGGGUUUAUAUGAUUAUGCAUCUUUUUAUUAUUAGAGUAAAAUAUAAACGUGAGUAGAACACUUAGCUGGAUAAAUGGGGGUGCUCUCCCCCAAGCUGGAUUUUGACGUAAUUCCUUUUGAUGUAGCAGGUGGCGGAGGUGUAUUUGAAUGUCGGCAGCACCCUGACAGUGAUUAGGAUGUCCUCCGUCUGAUAGUCUUCUUUGAUCCUUGAAUUUUGUGGAGCUCAAAUAGACAACAAAGCUUUGUGGAACUGGUUAAGUGUUAGCAUAAAUAUCUAGCCUUUAUCAUGUUGAGCCUCCUCAAUAAAUGUUACUCUCUUUAGUAGGAUCAUAAAUUUAUUUUUAUAAUUUUGUUUUUAUAGGAUAGGAAUAUAUUUAUUUUAUUUUUAUGCCACCAUAGUGAAUGUACUUAUGGGUUUUAUGCCAUGAGCAUACUCACAUGGGGCUUACUAUUUUUAACAUUUUUAUUUUCUUUUCAAGAUAGCAUGAACCUGAUUGACUAAGCAAACUAUUUUAAAUAAUUGAAAGGAAAAGGAUAACUACCAAGUUUAGCUCUUGGCAAGACGUUCGGUGUUUUUAAGUCCUCCGAACGGGACUCUCCGUUUUCUCAGUCGUCCUAGGAUUCGCUGGAUGGCGUAGUCAGUGGUUCCGGCGGCGCAUGGUCUUCAUGUACAACUAUCUUCUCUCUACACACCUGACUCGGUGCUACAGUCUCCUCAGGACAGUUCUGUUCAAGUUGUAUGUCUUCAGAUCUUAUCACUUCUCCUUCAUAGUCCUCCCAUGCGUCCUUGAUAAUUUGCCUCCUCUGGUUGCGGUUGCGUCGUCUUCUUCUUGUCCUGACCUGCUUAGAGUCUUCAACGAUAUAGUUAGGGUCAGUAAAAUAGCGGUGUACCUUCUCUGAGGAGAAGUGCAUGUGGACUUCUCCGGUUCCAAUGUAGAUGACUGUUUUAACGGUGUUGAUGAACGGUCUGACAAGGAUGAUGGGUGGAUAGUACUCGUCUUCUCCCAUGUCAAUAACCUGAAAGUCUUUUGGAAUGUUUGAUCUGCCAUCUGGAGCUAAAUGUAUGUUGGUUUUAGGGGCAUGGUUCCGAACAGGAGCUGAUAGGUGACUACGGCCAUUAUGUUGACGCCCGACCUGGUGUCGCAAAGCGUCUUGUGGAAGUUGUAUCCAUUAAUGGAGCACUGGAUGCUUGGCAUACUUGGGUCGUCCUUUUUGGCCAGGAACGGUGACUUAAGUCGACGAUCUUGACCUCCUUGAACUUUAGUGUCCAUCAUAGCUGACUCGGUCUACAUUUGCUUGUUCCUGUUCCUCCUGUUGGUCCUCUUCCUCGGUUUAUGUCGGGAUUGCUCUGAGAUUUGUGUAGUCUUGUUCUUGAAGGAAAAACGUCUCCUUCCUCCCCUCGAUGUAGAAACUGAUCUUGGCAGUGCUAGCGUAGAUGAUAGCUCCCGAGGUGUUCAGGAAUGGCCUCCCUAGGAUGAUGGGUGCCCUCUCAUCAGUACCAGUCUCUAUUGUUGACGGUCCUUAAGUAUCAAAUUUAAUUAUCAAAUAAAUAAAGAAAAGGAUCCAAAUGAAAUCAACGUCUAGACUUUGGGUUUUAUCUGACAGAAUUCCACGAGUUUUGGUGUUUGUCUAUUUCUAUAGGGGGUUAUCAGGAAAUAUGGAAGAAAGGCCCACACGUCGGGAUUACAUAGAGAUAUCAACGUGCCGCACAAUUAUCUUACAUCUAGAAGACUCCAGAAGCCACGGGAAGGAAGCAGGGCCGAACGGGGCCAGGACCUGGGCGCCCGCCCAGUUGCCUGGGCACCCGCCCACCUCUGAAGUCCAAUCAGGACUCUGUUUCGGGGGAGAUCUCCAUCGACCUAAAGGAUCAAGGAUAACCGUUCAAUCAAUGUCGGUUUGAUCCAACGGCCCAUAUUCACUUGAAGGGACUAUAAAACCAGACCCCCCUGACCCCUGGAGGAGAGAGCCUCUCAACCCUAAUUCAUUAUUCUCAAGGGAGAAGAAGCCUCUGAUCAAGAUUAGUGCCACCACAUCAAUUAGACAUCUAGAUUAGCAUAGCUACAUAGGAUUAGAACUAGAAGGAGUCAAUCUUCGAUUGGUUUCCGGAUCUGUCAAGAGGAUUCUUGGUAAUUCUCUAAUUGUGCUUCUAAUUGUUCUUCUAAUCAUAUUUGUUCUUCAAUAUUAUGAAUAUGACUUUGUUCUACUUCAAUAUAUUGCUUAUGACUUUGCUCUACUUGUUUAUAUUCAAGAUUAUAUUGUUCUUAGUUUAUCAUAGUUAUGUACUUGGCUUAGUUAGAUUGGAUCUAUAUACAUGCUUAGGAUCGUAUAGCGUUUAUCCAUCGGAUCCAUGGGUAAAUGAUAGAUAUUGUGUAGGCGUGGUGCUUAUACAGUAUUUAUCUGCGAUUGUACCCAAUAUGCCAGAUCGUGGGAUAGUUCGUGGUAGUGAUAGCUUCAUUGAUUCUUAUGUAGUCCCCCUCUCGUGUAUUGGGCUGGCAGAGCAAUAUUAUUACAGGAGAGUGAUUGCUAUGUUUCUCAUUUACCUUGCUAAUAUCACUAUGCAUGGGCGUAGUAUUGUCUCGCAAUGAUUGCUAAGUAUGCUUGCACUAACUAUGAUAAUGCUAGACUAUAUAGUUGAGAAUAACUUAGGAAAUAAUGUUGUAGUUCAUUCUAAUACCAUGCUAAUGACUUUCUAGAGUAUCUAAUUGAGGUGCUUAUCAUAUUUAUAUGUGGCUGAUCAGAUCAAUUAUCUUUGUCACUAUUCAUUAUUUCAUAUAUCUUUUAUGUGACAUUUAUGCCUGUAUGAAAGAGUUAGAUAAAUGUUCUCAAUUAUACAUGCAAUGAUAGAUACUCAAUCUCAUAUUCUAUUCUGUAAUCAAUAUUGAUGAUUGUUAAUCCCUUCCCAGUGGUAAAAAUAUAAAUAACGAUACCUGGAAUACUUACUGGUUAAAAUGCUACAUCGGUAUUAAUCUGUGCGCUUGCAGAUCCCAUUCAUUAUUUAUUUAGAAGAGCAAUUGCAUAUUUCAAUACCGCGUCUCUCAUGUCAUGCUGGGGAUGACAACUUGGCUUAAGUUGUAUGAGGGAUAGGUUUGGCAUUUUUGGCACCGUUACUAGAAUUAGAAAACUAAGUCUACUUUUGGUAAUGAUGUUAAGAAUACCCAACAAGUAUUUUUGGCGCCGUUGCCGAGGAAGGUUGAUUACUAAUCAAGAAUGGAUAUAGAUUUUCGAGUUAUCAUUCGCAUCACUAAUAUGAUUGAGCUUAUCUAUUCUCUCAUACAGUUUUACCCCGAUAUUUUUCUAUUUUACCUUAUGCAGGGGAAUGUAUGAAUUGAAGACAUCUUCCAGGAAAUUUUGUUGGCAAUCCCAAAGCGUUAUUCAAAAAAACUAGAGCCAAGCUCAAGAAGAGAUCAUCAACACUUCAGCAAGAAGCUUCAUCCAAUUAAGAAGAUCACCGAAACUUGUCUUCAGAGUUCAAAGCCAUGGCGAACAAAUCAAUCCGCGAGUUCUCAGCUCCCACUACGGACAACAUCCGCACUGGACCUGCUGCAGAGAUCGAUGGCAACUUUGAGCUCAAGCUUGGACUUAUCAACAAGGUGCAAUCCAACCAGUUCUGUGGGAAGGCACACGAAGAUGCUAGUGCUCAUCUCCAACACUUCCUGGAGAUAUGCAGCACAUUUACCAUAUCAGGAGUCCCCAGAGAUGCUAUACUACUUUGCCUCUUCCCAUUUUCACUGUUAGGAAGAGCGAAGCAGUGGUUCUACGCUACAAAGGAGAAGAAUACUACGUGGGCACUCUGUUCAACAAACUUCCUGGCUAAGUUCUUUCCCAUGGGCAAGACCAAUGCUCUCCGUGGGAAGAUUACAAGUUUUCAGCAACAAAAUGAUGAAUCUGUUCCAGAAGCAUGGGAGCGCUUUCAAGACUAUAUCCUAGAAUGUCCCCAUCAUGGAAUGGAGAGUUGGCUACUGAUGUAGACAUUUUAUCAUGGGCUCGGCAACAGUGCCCGAGAGACCAUGGAUGCUGCAGCUGGAGGAGCAUUCUUAUCACUUACUAUACCACAAGCCACAACUCUUGUGGAGAAGAUGGCGUCCAAUCAAGGCUGGAAUGAGGAGAGGACCCAGACACGCAAGAGAGGUGGAGGUAUGCAUCAGCUCAUGGAGAUAGACAUGAUGUUUGCAAAGCUAGACCUGCUCAUGAAGAAGCUCGAUGAUAGAGCUGGAGAUAAGAAAGAAGUUAUGCACAUCUACGACUCUCACAUGACUUGUGAGGAGUGUGGAGAUACUGGACACUCAGGCAAUCACUGCCCUGAGAUGCUUGAGGAUGUGAACUACAUCAACAACAACAACUACUACUACUACAACCGUCCUCAACAAAAUCAAGGUCGGAAUGAACAGAGGCCUAACUACUCAGGAUUAGAAUCUGCAAAUCUUGUAGACAUGUUUGAUGCAGGUAAUAACUCGAGUAACCCCGUCACUGAAUUCACUACUGACCUUCUGCCGGUCAAGAGAGGCGACCCCGGACGCCCCGUUAUCCCAAUCUCCUUCGGCAUGGUGGACGUCCUAGAAGCACUCUGCGACUUUGGCUCUAGCGUCAACAUUAUACCCAGGGUACUCUAUGAAAAAUUCUUUACAUAUCCUAAACAACCAUGUGUUUGUAGUUUGCAGAUCAGGCAUUAAGUUUUACAAAAGGAAUAUUGAAGAACCUUUGCGUCUGAGUUGGUACCUUAUACGCCCUAGCAGACUUCUUGGUGAUAGAGACCGGUAAUGAUGAGAGAGAACCCAUCAUCUUAGGGAGGCCAUUCUUGAACACCUCGGGAGCUGUCAUCUAUGCCAGUGCUGCCAAGAUCAGUUUCUACAUCAAAGGGAGAAAGGAGACGUUUUUCUUCAAGAACAAGACUACACAAAUCCCAGAUCAAUCCUGACGUGAAUCAAGGAAGAGGACCAACAGGAGGAACAGGAACAAGCAAGUGUGGACCGAGUCAGCUAAGAUGGACACUACAGUUCAUGGAGGCCAAGAUCACCAACUUAAGUCACCGUUUUUGACCAAGAAGGACGACCUAGGAAUGCCAAGCAUCUACUGCUCCAUAAAUGGAUACAACUUCUACAAGACAACUUGUGACACCGGAUCGGGCGUCAACAUAAUGGCCGCAGUCACCUAUCGGCUCUUGUUCGGAACCAUGCCCCUAAAACCAAUAUACAUUGAGCUCCAGAUGGCAGAUCAGACGUUUCGAGAAGUUAAAGGAACAGUAACUGAUGUCCCAGUCAAAAUAGACGAUCAUUUUGUCUACACAGACUUUCAGGUUAUUGACAUGGGAGAAGAUGAGUAUGAUCCACCCAUCAUCCUUGGAAGACCGUUCCUCAGCACCGUUAAAGCAAUAAUCUACAUUGGAACCGGAGAAGUCCAUAUGCACUUCCCCUCAGAGAAGGUACGCCGUUAUUUUACUGACCCUAACUAUAUCGUUGAAGAAUCUAAGCAGGUAAGAAAACGACGCAACCGCAACCAGAGGAGGCAAAUCAUCAAGGACGGAUGGGCAGACUAUGAAGGAGAAGUUGUAAGGUCAGAAGACGUACAGUUUAAACAGAAUUAUCCAAAGGAGACCGUAGCACCGAGUCAGGUUUGGAAAGAGAAGAUAACCAUACAUGAGAAGGAGGCGCUGCCGGAAGUACCGACUCCGCCACCCAACGAAUCCCAGGACAAUUGAGAAAACAGAGAGUCCCGUUCGGAGGACUUAAAAACACCGAACGUCUUGCCAAGACGUAAACUUGGUAGUUAUCCUUUCCCUUCCAAUUAUUUUAGUUUACUUAGUUAAUCAUGUUCAUACUAUCCUAAAAAGAAAAUAAAAAUGUUAAAACAGUAAGCCCCAUGUGAGUAUACGAGUGGCAUAAAACCCCGUAAGUACAUUCACUGUGGUGGCAUAAAAAUAAAAUAAAUAUUUCUUUUCUGCUUUAUAAAAUAAAAAUAUAAAAAUAGGGAGUAACAUUUAUUGAGGAGUCUCAACAUGAUAAAGGCUAGAUAUUUAUGCUAUCACUUAAUCAGUUCCACAAGUUUUGUUGUCUAUUUGAGCUCCACAGAAUUUAAGAAUCAAGAAGACUAGCAGAUGGAGGACAUUCUAAUCGCUGUUAGAAUGCUGCUGACUUUCAAAUACACCUCUGCCACCUGCUAGCUACAUCAAAAGAAAUUACGACAAAAUUCAGCUUGGGGGAGAGCACCCCCAUUUAUCCCGAUAAGUAUUAGUAUCUAUCUAUCUAUAUACUUAUACUAUAUUAGUAUCUAUCUAUCUAUAUACUUAUACUAUAUUAAAAUAUAGAUAUACAUAACUAUGAAAAACCAAAUAAAGAUCUUGUGCUUAUAUAUAUAUAUCUUUUACUUAGUGAGUUUAAUAAAUAAAUAAAGUGGCUAUGCUAAUCUGAAUCUUAAUAAUAAAACUCUAGCAUGGAUAUGAUGAAUAGUUGCUCUGCCUAAUUUGCAAAUUUGAAGUUCUUUCUCAAGUUUAGACAUAACUGUUAUAAUUUAAAGCUUGCUCUAAACCUAAACUUUGUGGGAAGAAAACUUGAUCUGAAGUCUAAGUUGUUAACAGAUACGAUAUGGGAAGGUUGAGCUGCUGUUUAUCUGUUCCUAGAGAUGCUAGAAUUCUGGAGAAUUUUAUCUUUGAAAAUCUUUUAAAUGUUGCAUGAUGAGUUCCUGUAUGAUGAGAGUUUAAAUUCCUACUACAGCCAUAUAUACAUGCUUGCUAGACUUUGAGCCACACAUUUACUAUUUACUGCUUAUGAGCAUUGAGUGUGGUCAAGCUGUGUAGACCUUUAUGAGCUUGUCAUGUGGUUAAAUCAAGAUUCACUUGCACGUUCACUCAUAUAUGCUACUUCUACUCCAGAAGUACCAUCCACAUAUAUCCACCCAUUUCCAUCUCCGGAAUCACCCAAAAAUAUUCUACUCCUAAUCCGGGAGAGAAUAGCCAAAAAUAUCUCUAUUUUUUUCUGUGAAAUAAAUGCUCAAGUUAUCUUAUUACUACCACUUGCUAUAUUAUCUCAAGAGAUGAGUGCUCUAAAAAAAAGAGAAAAAAAGGAUACGAGGAAAUAAAAAGGGGCAAGUGCCCGGAACCUCGAAAGAAAAAAAAAGAGUGAGAUGAGAGGUAAAAAUGGACAAGUGUCCGACAGUAGAAAUAGGGGUACAAGAUACCCACCUGAGAGAAAAGAAAAAUAAGAGCAUCUCAUUCUCCCCAUAAAAUUUUAGAAAGCAAGAAAGGUAUGUAUCCCCUCAAAGAGCAAAAGUAGAAUUAGACUUUCACCAUUGUUAUCACCAUCAUCACCAUACACCAUUCAUUCGCCACACAUGCACAUCUUGAUUUGACUUAUUGAUUUGUUUCUUUGGAUCCAUGGUUUGACUAUACAAUAAAUGUCUUGUAAGUAUGUAUACUUUAUCUCCCACCUAUGAGCUCCAGAUAUAAAAGCCUUAUUAGAGUAGGGUGAGAGAGAAGGCAAUGUCACUAUGCCUCAUACCAUAAAUACCACAUAUCUUGAGAGAAGGCAUAUACCAUCACUGCCUUGGUAAGGAUCCAGAAAUACCAUAAAAAAGAGAUCUAAGAGAAUCAUACAAGGAAUCUCUGAGUUUUAUUUGAAAAUCUGCAAAAACACCAGAGCUAUAGCUGAUCAAGAAUAAGAGACAUGGCACUUGACUAGACUGUUCUAUCUUUUAACUACUCAAGACAGAAGUGACGGUUACAAGUCCCAUGGUGAAGGUAAAGUAAGUAAAUUUUAAGUCUUGCCAGUUUACUCUAACUCAGAGAUGAGACUUUAUUUAAAAAGCAUGUGUACCGUCAAUUUUUAAGUAUUGCAGCAACUUCUAAUCUAUCCUUGCUCACGAACAAGCAAGAGGUAAGCUUGGGGGAGUUUGUUGACGGUCCUUAAGUAUCAAAUUUAAUUAUCAAAUAAAUAAAGAAAAAGAUCCAAAUGAAAUCAACAUCUAGACUUAGGGUUUUAUCUGACAGAAUUCCAUGAGUUUGGUGUUUGUCUAUUUCUGCAGGGGGUAUCAGAAAAUACGGAAGAAAGGCCCACACGUCGGGAUUACAUAGAGAUAUCAACGUGCCGCGUAAUUAUCUUACAUCUAGAAGACUCCAGAAGCCACGGGAAGGAAGCGGAGGCCGAACGGGGCCAGGACCUGGGCGCCCGCCUAGUUGCCCUGGGCGGCCGCCCACCUCUGGAGUCCAAUCAGGACUCUGUUUCGGGGGAGAUCUCCACCGACCUAAAGGAUCAAGGAUAACCGUUCAAUCAAUGUCGGUUUGAUCCAAUGGCCCAUAUUCACUUGAAGGGACUAUAAAACCAGACCCCCUGGCCCCUGGAGGAGAGAGCCUCUCAACCCUAAUUCAUUAUUCUGAAGGGAGAAGAAGCCUCUAAUCAAGAUUAGAGCCACCACAUCAAUUAGACAUCUAGAUUAGCAUAGCUACAUAGGAUUAGAACUAGAAGGAGUCAAUCUUCGAUUGGUUUCCGGAUCUGUCAAGAGGAUUCUUGGUAUUUCUCUAAUUGUGCUUCUAAUUGUUCUUCUAAUCAUUUUUGUUCUUCAAUAUUAUGAAUAUGACUUUAUUCUACUUCAAUAUAUUGCUUAUGACUUUGCUCUACUUGUUUAUAUUCAAGAUUAUAUUGUUCUUAGUUUAUCAUAGUUAUGUACUUGGCUUAGUUAGAUUGGAUCUAUAUACAUGCUUAGGAUCGUAUAGCGUUUAUCCAUCGGAUCCCUGGGUAAAUGAUAAAUAUUGUGCUGGCGUGGUGCUUAUACUGUAUUUAUCUGCGAUUGUACCCAAUAUGCCAGAUCGUGGGGUAGUUCGUGAUAGUGACAGCUUCAUUGAUUCUAAUAUAGUCCCCCUCUCGUGUAUUGGGUUGGCAGAGCAAUAUUAUUACAGGGGAGUGAUUGCUAUGUUUCUCAUUUACCUUGCUAAUAUCACUAUGCAUGGGCCUAGUCUUGUCUCGCAAUGAUUGCUAAGUAUGCUUGCACUAACUAUGAUAAUGCUAGACUAUAUAGUUGAGAAUAACUUAGGAAAUAUUCUUGUAGUUCGUUCUAAUAACAUGCUAAUGACUUUCUAGAGUAUCUAAUUGAGGUGCUUGUUGACGGUCCUUAAGUAUCAAAUUUAAUUAUCAAAUAAAUAAAGAAAAGGAUCCAAAUGAAAUCAACAUCCAGACUUAGGGUUUUAUCUGACAGAAUUCCACGAGUUUUGGUGUUUGUCUAUUUCUGCAGGGGGUUAUCAGGAAAUACGGAAGAAAGGCCCACACGUCGGGAUUACAUAGAGAUAUUAACGUGCCGUGCAAUUAUCUUACAUCUAGAAGACUCCAGAAGCCACGGGAAGCAAGCGGAGAACGAACGGGGCCAGAGGCAGGGCGCCCGCCCUCUGUUGGAGUCCAAUCACGACUCUGUUUCGUGGAAGAUCUCCACCGACCUAAAGGAUCAAGGAUAACCGUUCAAUCUAAGUCGGUUUGAUCCAACGGCCCAUAUUCACUUGAAGGGACUAUAAAACCAGACCCCCUGGCCCCUGGAGGAGAGAGCCUCUCAACCCUAAUUCAUUGUUCUUCAAGGGAGAAGACGCCUCUGAUCAAGAUUAGAGCCACCACAUCAAUUAGAUAUCUAGAUUAGCAUAGCUACAUAGGAUUAGAACUAGAAGGAGUCAAUCUUCGAUUGGUUUCCAGAUCUGUCAAGAGGAUUCUUGGUAAUUCUCUAAUUGUGCUUCUAAUUGCUUUCUAAUUAUCUUUGUUCUUCAAUAUUAUGAAUAUGACUUUGUUCUACUUCAAUAUAUUGUGUAUGACUUUGCUCUACUUGUUUAUAUUCAAGAUUAUAUUGUUCUUAGUUUAUCAUAGUUAUGUACUUGGCUUAGUUAGAUUGGAUCUAUAUACAUGCUUAGGAUCGUAUAGCGUUUAUCCAUCGGAUCCAUGUGAUAGAUAUUGUGUAGGCAUGGUGCUUAUAUCGUAUUUAUCUGCGAUUGUACCCAAUAUGCCAGAUCGUGGGGUAGUUCGUGAUAGUGACAACUUCAUUGAUUCUUAUAUAGUCCCCCUCUCGUGUAUUGGGCUGGCAGAGCAAUAUUAUUAGAGGGGAGUGAUUGCUAUGUUUCUCAUUUACCUUGCUAAUAUCACUAUGCAUGGGCGUAGUCUUGUCUCGCAAUGAUUGCUAAGUAUGCUUGCACUAACUAUGACAACGCUAGACUAUAUAGUUGAGAAUAACUUAGGAAAUAUUCUUAUAGUUCGUUCUAAUACCAUGCUAAUGACUUUCUAGAGUAUCUAAUUGAGGUGCUUAUCAUAUUUAUUAUGUGGCUAAGUUAUGAUCAGAUUAAUUAUCUUUGUCACUAUUCAUUAUUUCAUAUAUCCUUUAUGUGACACUUACCCCUGUAUGAAAGAGUUAGAUAAAUGUUCUCAAUUAUACAUGCAAUGAUAGAUGCUCAAUCUCAUAUUCUAUUCUGUAAUCAAUAUUGAUGAUUGCUAAUCCCUUCCUAGUGGUAAAAAUAUAAAUAACGAUACCUGGAAUACUUCCCAGUUAAAAUGCUACAUCGGUAUUAAUCUGUGCGCUUGUAGAUCUCAUUCAUUAUUUAUUUAGAAGAGCAAUUGCAUAUUUCAAUACCGCAUCUCUCAUAUCAUGCUGGGGAUGACAACUUGGCUUAAGUGGUAUGAGGGAUAGGUUUGGCAUUUUUGGCACCGUUACUAGAAUUAGAAAACUAAGUCUACUUUUGGUAGUGAUGUUAAGAAUACCCAACAAGCAUUUUUGGCGCCGUUGCGGGGGAAGGUUGAUUACUAAUCAGGAAUGGAAUAAAGGAUUUUGAGUCAUCAUUUGCUUCACUAAUAUGAUUGAGCUUAUCUAUUCCCUCAUACAGUUUUACCCCGAUAUUUUUCUAUUUUAUCUUAUGCAGGGGAAUGUAUGAAUAGAAGGCAUCUUCCAGGAAAUUUUGUUGACAAUCCCGAAGCGUUAUUCAGAAGAACUAGAGCCAAGCUCAAGAAGAGAUCAUCAACACUUCAGCAAGAAGUUUCAUCCAAUCAAGAAGAUCACCGGAACUUGUCUUCAGAGUUCGAAGCCAUGGCGAACAAAUCAAUCCGCGAGUUCUCAGCUCCCACUACGGACAACAUCGGCACUGGACCUGCUGCAGAGAUCGAUGGCAACUUUGAGAUCAAGGCUGGACUUAUCAACAUGGUGCAAUCCAACCAGUUCUGUGGGAAGGCACACGAAGAUGCUAGUGCUCAUCUCCAACACUUCCUGGAGAUUUGCAACACAUUCACCAUAUCAGGAGUUCCCAGAGAUGCUAUACUACUUCGCCUCUUCCCAUUCUCACUGUUAGGGAGAGCGAAGCAGUGGUUCUACGCUACAAAGGAGAAGAAUACUACGUGGGCACUCUGCUCAACAGACUUCCUGGCUAAGUUCUUUCCCAUGGGCAAGACCAAUGCUCUCCGUGGGAAGAUUACAAGUUUUCAGCAACAAAAUGAUGAAUCUGUUCUAGAAGCAUGGGAGUGCUUCCAAGACUACAUCCUAGAAUGUCCCCAUCAUGGAAUGGAGAGUUGGCUAUUGAUGCAGACGUUUUAUCAUGGGCUCGGCAAUUGUGCCCGAGAGACCAUGGAUGCUGCAGCUGGAGGAGCAUUCUUAUCACUUACUAUACCACAAGCCAUAGCUCUUGUGGAGAAGAUGGCAUCCAACCAAAGCUGGAAUGAAGAGAGGACUCAGACACGCAAGAGAGGUGGAGGUAGACAUGCUGUCUGCAAAGCUAGACCUACUCAUGAAGAAGCUCGACGAUAGAGCUGGAGAUAAGAAGGAAGUUAUGCACAUCUACGACUCUCACAUGACUUGUGAGGAGUGUGGAGAUACUGGACACUCAGGCAACCACUGCCCUGAGAUACUUGAGGAUGUGAACUACAUCAACAACAACAACAACAACUACUACAACCGUCCUCAACAAAAUCAAGGUUGGAAUCAGCAGAGGCCUAACUACUCAGGUAAUUAUCAAGGUAACAGUUCUUACAACAAUAAUAAUAAUUUUCCACCUCUGAGAGAGUUAGUGUCUAAUCAAGGAAAGCUAAUGGAUAAUCUAUCUAAGAAAUUGGCAUCAAAUGAUAAAAUGCUAGAAAAUAUAAAUAAUAGAAUGGAUAAUUUCUGUACUGCCACCAAGAAUCAAAUUAGCUUUAAUAAAAUGAUUGAAUCUCAGUUAAAUCAAAUAGCUGUUGUUGUUCCUACUACUAACCCCGGUAUACCAUCACAACCGGAAGGAUUAGAAUCGGAAAAUCUUGUAGACAUGUUUGAUGCGGGUAAUAACUGGAGUAACCGAGUCACUGAAUUCACUAGUGACCUUCUGCUGGUCAAGAGAGGCGAUCCAGGAUGCCCCGUCAUCCCGAUCUCCAUCGGCAUGGUGGACGUCCCAGAAGCACUCUGCGACUUUGGCUCCAGCGUCAACAUUAUGCCCAGGGUACUCUAUGAAAAAUUCUUUACAUAUCCUUUAUUAGAAACAACCGUGUGUUUGCAGUUUGCAGAUCAGACAAUAUGUUUUCUAAAAGGAAUAUUGAAGAACCUUUGUGUCCGAGUUGGUACCUUGUAUGCCCCAGCAGACUUCGUAGUGGUAGAGACCGGAAAUUAUGAGAGGGCACCCAUCAUCUUAGGGAGGCCAUUCUUAAACACCACGGGAGCUAUCAUCUACGCUAGCACUACCAAGAUCAGUUUCUACAUCAAAGGGAGGAAGGAGACAUUCUUCUUCAAGAACAAGACUACACAAAUCCCAGAUCAAUCCAGACGUCAAUCAAGGAAGAGGACCAACAGGAGGAACAGGAACAAGCAAGUGUGGACCGAGUCAGCUAAGAUGGUCACUGCAAUUCAUGGAGGCCAAGAUCAUCAACUUAAGUCACCGUUUUUGACCAAGAAGGACGACCCAGGAAUGCCAAGCAUCUACUGCUCCAUAAAUGGAUACAACUUCUACAAGACGUUUUGCGACACCGGAUCGGGCGUCAACAUAAUGGCCGCAGUCACCUAUCGGCUCUUGUUCGGAACCAUGCCACUAAGACCAACAUACAUUCAGCUUCAGAUGGCAUAUCAGACAUUCCGAGAAGUUAAAGGAACAAUAACUGAUGUCCCAGUCAAAAUAGACGAUCAUUUUGUCUACACAGACUUUUAGGUUAUUGACAUGGGAGAAGACGAAUACGAUCCACCCAUCAUCCUUGGAAGACCAUUCCUCAGCACCGUUAAAGCAAUCAUCUACAUUGGAAUCGGAGAAGUCCAUAUGCACUUUCCCUCAGAGAAGGUACGCCGUUAUUUUAUUGACCCUAACUAUAUCGUUGAAGAAUCUAAGCAGGUAAGAAAACGACGCAACCGCAACCAGAGGAGGCAAAUCAUCAAGGAUGGAUGGGCAGACUAUGAAGGAGAAGUGGUAAGGUCAGAAGACGUAGAGUUUAAACAGAAUUAUCCAGAGGAGACCGAAGCAUCGAGUCAGGUAUGGAAAGAGAAGAUAACUAUACAUGAAGACAAGGCGCCGCCGGAAGUACCGACUACGCCAACCAAUGAAUCCGACGUCAAUUGAGAAAGAGAAGAGUCCCGUUCGGAGGACUUAAAAACACCGAACACCUUGCCAAGAGGUAAACUUGGUAGUUAUCUUUUUCCCUUUCAAUUAUUUCAAAUAGUUUGCUUAGUUAAUCAUGUUCACACUAUCCUAAAAAGAAAAUAAAAAUGUGAAAAACAGUAAGCCCCAUGUGAGUAUACAAGUGGCAUAAAACCCAUAAGUACAUUCACUGUGGUGGCAUAAAAAUAAAAUAAAUAUUUUUCUGCUUUAUAAAAAUGAAAAUAUAAAAACAGGGAGUAAUGAUUAUUAAGGAGUCUCAACAUGAUAAAGGCUAGAUAUUUACGCUAACACUUAAUCAGUUCCACAAGCUUUGUUGUCUAUUUGAGCUCCACAGAAUUUAAGAAUCAAGAAGACUAGCAGACGGAGGACAUUCUAAUUGCUGUCAGAUGCUGCUGACUUUCAAAUACACCUUUGCCACCUGCUAGCUACAUCGAGAGAAAUUACGUCAAAAUUCAGCUUGGGGGAGAGCACCCCCAUUUAUCCUGAUAAGUAUUUCUAUCUAUCUUUAUACUUAUAUUAUAUUAGAAUAUAAAUAUACAUAACUAUGAAAAACCAAAUAAAGAUUUUAUGCUUAUAUAUAUAUAUCUUCUGCUUAGUGUGUUCAAUAAAUAAAUAAAGUGGCUAUGCUAAUCUGUAUCUAAAUAAAACUCUAGCAUGGAUAUUGUUGACACCAUUUUUGGACACGUGUCCAGGAUAGCAGGAUAAGGUGGCAGUACGAUGCGGGUUGCUGAUAAGGAUGGUUGCCGAUGAGGGAAAGGUUGAAUGUGACUAAGUCCUCAAGCAGUAAUACGGUGCCGAUGACCAAGUAAAAAGGUCUGCCGAUGACUAUGGCAAGGGGAUUGCCGAUGACGCGAAGGAGGAGUCCGGAAGCUGCCAGUUGUCAUGUGGAGGAGUUUUGGUUUGUUACGAAGGGUGGUUUUAUUAUUUCCUUAGUUAUUCGCAUCGUUUUGUAUACGGGUUCCGUGUAAAUUGGAAUUCGAAUUCUAAUCGUGUCUGGUCUUAGCUCUUUGAGCAGGGUAUAAAUAUAAGCCCUAGGACCUUGUAAUAAGACAUCAAUCAAUCAAUCAAACACACGUUUUUACUCAUAUUCCAGCAUUUACUUUUCGACGACUUCGUCAUACGUUUUCUUUUUGUUACGAGUUCUUAGGAAUUCGUCGACUCAAGCUCGGCGUAUCCUCAAGUUCCGCGUGAGUACCUCUUAGCCGUGACAUCCGGGCGCAUCGCUGUUGUCAGGACUAAAGUAUUCGAGUUAUCACCUUUGCCGAUAGUAAGGUCAAAUCGGCUGGCACGCCUUAACGUUUGGAUCGGGUAUUAGCCCUUUGUGUUUGCAGAUUAGUUUUUGCAUCAACACAUCUUUUGGCACGCCCAGUGGGACCGAUUCAAGAUCAAGAUCAGCAUGUCGAUCUCUGAUCUCGAUCAAGACAACGUCAUCCCCGUGACGGAAGCCAACCUCAAGGAUGAGCAGAAGCAAGCUAUUGCCCAAGCUAUGGAAGAGUUCAAGCAGCAAUGCCUGAAGUCUUUCAGCAUAAACAGGAGCGGCGAAGUGGUCCAGAAAGAUGCACUGCCGGCACCACGGCAGGUCACUUUUGACGCCAAUCCUGGCAAGCUUCAAGACAUGGUUGACAAUGCCAUCAAUCGAGCGCUGAUCAACCAAGCUGGUGUACUGUCUAAUACGGUUUUCAACGCCGUGGCAAGAACCUUCAAGGAAGGACAAAUCCCGCCGGAUUAUGUGGGCCCUUCCCAUCAUCAACCCAUGGCACCAGAGGUUACGGCUCCAUCGGCUGCCUUGACGAGUGCAAGUGCACAGUCUGCCGUCCCUCCAAGUACAUUGGGAACUACUGGCGCACUAUCUAUGCCGAUGGCAACCAACCCACAAAUUUCAGUUGGGCAGCAUAAACUGACAACAGAUAUGUUGGCAUCGGCAAUGUCGGGAUUAACUCUUCCUCCCAACUGGUGGGGUUAUGGUAUGCCUCCAGAGUUGACGCCAGGAACAUCACAGGUAACUGACAUGAGGGGCAAAACUCCUAUGACAUCGGCACCUUCCAAUGUGCCGGUGAACCAGAGUCCUCGGUAUACCACAACUACUACUGCAAGGCCUCACACUGGAAAUCCUCAAGAUUCAAUGUUCCAGAUGCCCAACGCAUCGGCAGAGUCAAUGCUGAUGCAACAGAGGCCUAUGGCCCAGUCGGGGUAUGUCAAUUCAACGACGAUACCCAAUCACCAAUCAUCGGCAGCACCUAUGCCGAUGAACGCUAAUAAUGGAUGGCUUGGACAGCAAGCCUUUCCACAGUCGCCCCAGCAGGGUUAUCAGACUACGGGGUUCCAGCAAGGGCAGGUUUAUCCCGGGUUCCAAGGUCAGGGAAUUCCCAACCAGCCCAUAAAUUUUGGACAGCAACUCGGAGGACAGCCAAUCGGUGGACAACAGUUUGGUAGUCCGCAGAUUGGAGGACAGGUGACCAAUACGAUGUUCCAUACAGGUCACAUCCCAAACAGACACGUGGAGGUUCGCCACCAAGUGCCGGAUCUGCAGCCGCCUCAUCGGCAAGAUGCCGAUGCUUAUUGGGCCGAUAAGAUUGCUGAAGUAAUGAGGGAACAAUUUGGGAUAAAACCCAAAGUCAACACUUAUUCUUAUCGGACACCGUAUCCUCCAGCGUAUGAUUUGAUCCCGCUUCCACAUCGGUAGAAGGUACCAGAUUUUACAAAGUUUUCCGGACAGGACGACACGUCAACCAUGGAGCAUGUCAACAGGUUCAUUAUUCAAUGUGGAGAGGCUGGUAACAGGGACGAAUUAAGGGUUCGUCUAUUUUCGUCAUCACUUUCUGGAUCGGCCUUUACUUGGUUCAUAUCGUUACCUCCCAACUCAGUAAUUACUUGGGCCGAUCUAGAGAAGCAAUUCCACAGAUACUUCUUCUCGGGGGUUCAUGAGAAGAAGAUCACCGACUUGGUUAAGUUGAGGCAACGUAAUGACGAGUCGGUUGAGGGAUUUGUGCAGAGGGUACGAGAGGUCAAGAAUAAAUGCUAUAGCCUGGUUCUGGAUGAUCGGCAGCUAGCCGAUUUGGCUUUCCAGGGUUUGUUGCCACAUAUCAGGGAUAAGUAUGCAUCUCAAGAGUUCGAGAGUUUAAGUCAUUUGGUGCAGAGAAUAUCUGAUCAAGACAUCCAGCCUUUCGAGCCUAAGAGGGCAUGGAAUAAGAAAGUGUCAUUUGUUGACGAAGCAACAAGCUCAGAUUCCGACGAGGAACCAGUAAUCGGUUUGGCAGAGUGGGUAAAAAACAAGAAGCCGAUGUCUUGUCCUUUUGGGCAGAAAGAACCAGAGAAGUUCGCCUUUGACACCGCCAAGGCCGAUAGGAUAUUUGACUUUCUGCUUCAGGAAGGUCAAAUCAAACUGUCACCUAACCAUGUGAUCCCGUCGGCAGAAGAGUUGAAGAGGAUGAGAUAUUGCAAGUGGCAUAAUGCAACUUCACAUGACACCAACGAGUGCAAAGUAUUCAGACAACAGCUGCAAUCGGCUAUAGAGUCGGGGAGGAUCAAGUUUGACAGUUCUAAGGCCCAGAAGCCGAUGAAGAUAGACCAACAUCCUUUCCCGACAAACAUGUUGGAUGCUAAGGGGAAGGCUAAGGUCUUAACAUCGAAGACAGCUGAGAAGAGUGCAUCGGUAGAUCCUCAGCAUCAAGUUACUACCGCCGAUGCAAGAAGUAAGGGCUUGGUCCAGGAAGGAGCUAGCUCAGGAAGACUUCCUCGGUCUGGUAUUGUCAUAACUCAUAGAAGGCCUCGAGAGAGAUGGCAACAACGGGAAGAUCGAUAUCGGCGCCAGCAGGAGGAUUAUCAACGGGAAGAAGAAAGACGCCGACAGGAGUGGAAUCGGCACAGGGAUCAUUGGAAUUGCCCAUUCUUCAUCCAUUGUUGGGAGGAAAAUAUCAAGCUUCCUACUGUCAGAGACUGCCCUGAAUGCAACGGUUAUGAUCGGUACGAUAGGAACGAUCGGCGUUAUCAUGAUGAUGAACGGCGAUUUAAUGGGCCAAUCAGAGGAAGAGCGUCAGUUCAUGAUCGGCUGGGGGGCAGGCUUAGUGUUCGCGAUCGGCUCGGUGACCGUGUCCAGUAUUUUCCCAGGAACCAGGAAGAGCUUGAGGAAAUGGCUAAUGCGCGAGUUCCCGAUGAGUUCAUAUUUUGCAGAGAUGCUAACACACAUCGUAUGGAGUCAAGGGAGAACCGACGCCCGGCAGUAAGGCAAAGGCCACUUCCUCCAUGGUGCCCUCAAGGAUUAACCAAGACACAGAAAAGGAGGUUGCAACGAGAAAGGCAAGAGGAGUUAAAUAAAGGAGAGAGUUCUGAAAGUCGGCAGCCGGCAGACACUAAGAAGGAAGGUCCAUCGGCAGGCGUCAACAUGGUAUUCAUGUUGCCGAUAGAGUUUCUCGCACCGGCCAGUAACGAUGAGUUGGGAUUUUCUGAUCAGAUAGCUCAGUUGGCUCUGGAUCCGAUGACGGCUAUCUUUGAGAAACCUGCCGAUAACGAGAGGCAGCAUCUUAAAGCUUUGUUCCUCAAAGGAAGGGUUGAUGGGCAGCCAAUGACUAAGAUCCUAGUUGAUGGUGGAGCUGCUAUUAAUAUUAUGCCGUAUGCAGUGUAUCGGAAGCUUGGGAAAGGGGAUCAGGAUUUGACCAAGACCGAUAUGAUGCUCAAAGACUUUGAGGGAAACGUGUCUCCGGUCAAGGGGGCGAUAUGUGCGGAGUUGACCAUCGGCAGCAAAACCUUGCCGACAACUUUUUUCGUGAUCAGCGGAAAAGGUGCCUACAAUUUAUUAUUGGGGAGAGAUUGGAUUCAUGCCAAUUGUUGUGUCUCAUCUACAAUGCAUCAGUGCUUGGUUCAGUGGGUAGGUGACAAGAUUGAGAUCGUCCCAGGGGAUUCUUCUUAUGUUAUCGCAUCGGCAGAAGCGGAUACUUAUGAAAAGACUAGGUGCAUUUCAGGAGAAGUUUGGGAGAAAGAUUUUCUCAAAGUUGCCGAUUAUGAGAUUCCACCGAUCCAAGCAGUCGGUUCUGACGACGGUUUUUAAUGGAUAGAUUCGCCGAUGAUGGAAAAUUAGGCCAGGGAUUCACAUCGGCCGAUGAUUUGGUAGAAGUAGAUAUAGGUAGUGGUGAUAAGCCUAGGCCUACUUUUAUUAGUGCUAAACUAGAUCCUGAGUGUAAACGGCAAUUAACUAGUUUGUUAAAGGAAUAUAAAGAUUGCUUUGCUUGGGAUUAUACAGAGAUGCCUGGUUUAGACCGAUCAAUUGUUGAACAUCGGUUACCCAUUAAGUCUGGAUUUCGGCCACAUCAGCAACCAGCCCGCCGAUGUAAUCCUAACAUUCUACCUGAUAUUAAGGCCGAAAUCACUAAACUUAUUGAAGCUAAGUUUAUUCGGCAGUGUCGGUAUGCCGAAUGGAUUUCCAAUGUCGUCCCGGUUUACAAGAAGAACGGGAAGCUUCGGGUGUGCAUUGAUUUCAGGAAUCUCAAUAAAGCUACGCCGAUGGAUGGAUACCCAAUGCCUGUCGCCGAUCUACUGGUUGAUGCUGCGGCUGGCCAUCGGGUCAUCAGCUUCAUGGAUGGUAAUGCGGGUUACAAUCAAAUAUUCAUGGCAGAAGAGGAUAUUCCAAAAACCGCAUUCAGGUGUCCUGGUCAUGUUGGACUAUUUGAAUGGAUAGUCAUGACUUUUGGGUUAAGGAAUGUCGGUGCUACUUAUCAAAGGGCUAUGAAUUUUAUAUUUCAUGAGUUCAUCGGCAAGAUCGUAGAAAUUUAUAUUGAUGAUGUGGUGGUCAAGUCUGGAGAUUUCUCAAAGCAUCUUGCCGAUUUACGAAGAGUGUUGGAGUGCACAAGGAAGCAUGGAUUGAAGAUGAAUCCCAACAAGUGUGCAUUUGGUGUAUCGGCAGGGCAGUUUCUUGGUUUCAUGGUACAUCAGAGGGGUAUUGAAAUUAGUCGGAGAUCUAUUGAUGCCAUCAAUAAAAUAGUGGCCCCUACCAAUAAAACCGAGCUCCAAUCUUUGAUCGGCAAAGUGAAUUUUAUCAGAAGAUUUAUAUCAAAUUUAUCUGGGAGAAUUCGUGCUUUCAGUCCUCUUCUAAAAUUGAGAGCCGAUCAGGAGUUUGUUUGGGGAGAAGAACAGCAGUUGGCUCUAGAUGAAAUCAAAAAGUAUCUAGUAAACCCUCCAGUUUUAGUUCCACCUCAACAAGGGAAACCCUUCAAAUUAUACUUAUCUACCGAUGGAUCGGUUAUCGGCUCAGCUUUGGUUCAGGAGUUUGAAGGGAAAGAGAGAGUAAUUUAUUAUUUGAGUAGGAGGUUGAUUGAUGCUGAAACCAGAUAUUCGGCCAUCGAGAAGCUGUGCUUAUGCUUAUAUUUUUCAUGUAUCAAGCUAAGACAUUACCUAUUGUCGGCCGAAUGUGCUGUUAUUUGCAAAGAUGACGUAAUCCGAUACAUGCUAUCUAUGCCAAUUAUGAGUGGAAGGAUCGGUAAAUGGAUUUUAGCGCUGUCGGAAUUCGAUUUGCGUUACGAAUCGGCUAAGGCGGUCAAAGGGCAGGUUAUGGCCGAUUUUGUGACUCAACAUUGCGGCCUAGUGGAAACCUUGGAAAUUGCACCCUGGACGCUCUUCUUUGAUGGAUCUACCUGUGAUCGGGGAGCAGGAAUCGGUAUUGUGUUAGUUUCUCCUAAGGGGAGGAAGUAUGAAUUUUCCUUACCGAUUGUUGCUACAUCAACAAAUAAUCAGGCUGAGUAUCAAGCUCUGAUCAAGGGAUUGGAGUUGUUAAGAGAAGUUCGUGCUGAUGCUGUUGAAGUAUUCGGGGAUUCCAUGUUGGUUAUAAAUCAAUUAGCCGGAAGCUAUGAAUGCCGAAGUGAAGUUCUCAUAACCUAUUUCGAGAAAAGUAUGCAACUGUUAAAGGAAUUCAAAAACUUCCGGUUGGAGCAUGUUCCCCGAUUGCAUAAUGAGGACGCUAAUCGGUUAGCCCAGCAUGCCUCAGGAUAUCAGCCAAUGAUUAAUGCAACAUCGGCAGUCAGUGCCGGUGACUGGAGGAAAGAGAUUGUCGACUAUCUAGAAGAUCCAUCUAAGAAAGUUGGAAGACGGGUUCGAUUUCAAGCGACCAAGUAUGUGCUCCUUGAAAAUGAAUUGUAUUAUCGAACUAUCGACGGAAUUCUUCUCCGAUGCUUGGGUGAUGAUGAAGCCAAAAGUUUAAUGGGGGAAAUCCAUGAAGGAGUAUGUGGAGCGCAUCAGUCAGCUUUCAAGAUGAAGUGGAUGAUUCGAAGGAAUGGAUAUUUUUGGCCAACCAUACUUGAAGAUUGUUUUAAAUAUUUCAAGGGUUGUCAAGGUUGUCAAAAGUUCGGUAAUAUCCAGAGAGCACCCGCAUCGGCUAUGAAUCCUAUAAUAAAACCUUGGCCGUUCCGGGGGUGGGCCAUCGAUCUGAUCGGCCAGAUUUAUCCACCAUCUAGCAAAGGGCAUAAGUUCAUUCUAGUUGCCACUGACUAUUUCACUAAGUGGGUCGAAGCUAUUCCCUUGAAGAAAGUCACAUCGGCCAAUAUGAUUGAUUUUGUGAAGGAGCAUAUUAUUUACCGAUUUGGGAUUCCCCAAACGAUUACUACCGAUCAGGGCACCAUGUUCACGUCAGGGGAGUUCGAUGAAUUCGCAAUCGGUAUGGGAAUUAAAGUGUUGAAUUCCUCUCCUUACUAUGCUCAAGCCAACGGGCAGGCCGAAGCGUCUAACAAAGGAAUUAUCAAGCUUAUUAAACGAAAGAUUGAAGAAAACCCUAGGCGGUGGCAUACAGUGUUAAAUGAAGCACUGUGGUCCUAUCGGAUGGCUUGCCAUGGAUCAACCAAGGUGUCGCCUUAUCAAUUGGUGUAUAGACAUGAUGCAGUAUUGCCUUGGGAGAUUAAGGCUGGAUCUAGGUGAUUAUCUUUUCAAGAUCAAUUGACUGCCGAUGAUUAUGCCACUUUGAUGACCGAUGAGUUAGAUGAUUUAGCAGGACAUCGGUUAAAGGCCUUAAUGAGUAUAGAAGAAAAUAAGAAGAGAGUUGCUAGAUGGUAUGAUAAAAAAGUAAAGACUAAGGAGUUUGCCGAUGGGGAUUUGGUAUGGAAGUUGAUUUUGCCAGUCGGGACUAAAAGUUCGAAGUUUGGGAAGUGGUCUCCUAAUUGGGAAGGUCCUUAUCGGAUAAGACACUCAGCUCCUGGUAAUGCCUAUAUUCUAGAAACUCUCGAAGGAGUUGAAUUUCCCAGAGCAUUAAAUGGCAAAUAUUUGAAGAAGUACUACCCCAGCAUAUGGAUCGACGCAUAAAAGUUUAAGUGCCGAUAACACUCCUAUCGACUGGAUUUAAAUGUUCGAGGGCAGACUUAAUGUUUCAAAAGAUGCCGAUAACAGUCUUAUCGGCUAGACUAAAAGCUGAAGGCGGAAAAACAAAGGUGUGUCGCCGAUGAAAGCUUCAGAUGCUCAACAGUGCUUGGAUUGCUGAUAUGGCGCGCAGCCGAAUCUGGUUGGCUGUCUCUAUCUCUUUGAUAUCAUCAUCGGCAGAACCUUCGAUCGGCUUCAGCUUCCUCUUCAGUUGCAGCGCUUUGCGACCAUGGACGUUUCGUUCUUGUUCAAGAUGCUUGAUGGUCUCCGGCAGUUGACUCUCUUCUUGCUGGGCUUGGGACAGAGCGUCUUCUACUUGCUUGAGUUCAGCCAGUAGAGCUUCUCUUUUUGCCGAUAGAUCAGACACUUUUUGCUUCAGUGCAUCACCUGAGGACUUUAAGGUGCCGAUGUUCUUAUGUUUCUCAUCGGCUAAGAGUUUUUCUUUCAUCAUCUCCUCAGAAAGCUGGAUUUGAGCAGCUCUAUCGGUAAGGCGUCGAGUAGCUCUCUGGUACUGUAACUGGCGGCUUUCUAGAUGUGCAGCAUGGAAGAGUGUUUCUUCAGCAUCGGCAGGAAUUUGGCCUCUAAGGGUCUUGAACAGGGCCUUGGCUGGGUCAGAAUCGUUGACCAGUUGAGUUGUGUCUUGAUGGAGUAUGGCCGAUAGCUCCUCCAGCUUAGCUCUGGCUUCUGCCGAUACAAUUCCAACUGCCCGAGAGGAGCUUGCUUCCUCGCCUUCUUCUUCGAAGAUAUCAACAGCAAAGGAGAACAAGCUGUUGGGAGAAUCUUGUUCCUGAAAAUAAAAAUGAAGUAGGUCAAUUUUAUGGUCAAAACUUCAGCAGACGAUACUGAUGGAAAAGUGGAUGACUUACUUGCUUCAAGGCGAUUUCUUGCCUUUGACUCAGAGGGGCCGAUGGAGCUGCAGGUUGAUCGGCAAAUGUUGCCGAUAGAGCGAUAUCGCCUGAAAGAAGAUAGGAAAGAUUAUAAGAAUAAAUGAGGAUAAGUUUAUCGGUAGGAGUAUUGUUGAGAUCUGUUACCCGGAGGAGAAACAACAGUUGCCUGAAUCGAGGAAACCGCCGAUGAUGUAACUGUACCUGCCGGGCCAGUUGUUUGUUCACCUACAUCAGCUGAUAUACCUGCCGUUUGAGGUUCUUCCUGCUGGGGUUCUUCCAUCUGUGGUGCUUCCUGUGUUGGUUGUGGAGAUAGUACUUGCUGUGCCUGGACGUCUGGGGAAGAAGGGGAAGAUUCCACCGGGAUUGGAAACACCGGAGGAGGAGGAGUUGCCACUUUCUGGCGCUUUGUUCCAGCCUUAGCACCGUGGAUGCCCUUCCUCUUUGGCUGGCUAGACUGGGGGGCAUCGGCGCCUUGGCGUUUGACUUUUGCCGAUGCACCAGUUUGCUGCAACAACAAAAAGGAGGUUAUGAGUACAGAUAGCCGAUACAAAGAUAAGUCAGCGUAAAUGAAAAAAGAGUUUUAACAGAUUGCCUUGAAAGCUUGUGCCAGAGUGGAAGCAGUUACCGGUGGUGAUGUCUGAGUUUUCCUGGUGGUAACUUUCUUGAGGCGCGCACCCCGGUGCACGAUGGAAGCCAGAGUGGGAGCAUUAUGGCCGAUUGAGGAGAUAGGGCCUGAUGGGAAUAAGUCGAUCGGCUUGCCACUCCUACUAACUGAUGGGGGGGUGUUGUCGAUCUGCAAAAGGAAUACAGGGGUAAGUUACCGAUGGGAGUGAUAUUGGAAAAUGAGACAUCGGUUUAAAAUACUUACAGUGUCGUCAGGGACUUCAUAUUCGGGGUCGAUCAUGCCGCGGUAUGAGAGGGCUGAUCUGCAGAACAGAUUCUCCUUCCAUUCUGCCCACCAUAGCUUGUAUGCCUGAGUGAUGAAGGCGGCUGGAACCCAUUCUGACAGAUCUACAUCCGUAUCGGCAUUUGGUGGUAGCUGGGCUACUCGAGUCCACUCGAGGAGGUUGGCGAUGGGCUCUCUGGGCUUUAUUACAUCGGCAUAAGGAAGUGCAAUCGGCAAUUGGCCGAAAGCUAGCUGGCGAGCUAAUGCCGAUGGAUUAUAAAAUUCAUAGGUUUGGGGAGAGGUUUUCGUGCUGCCGAAGAAAUUCACUGGUAUGGCUCUGGGGGUCACGAUUGUCAUCAUCACCUCAUUGUCCCUGUCAAGAGCUUCAUCAAACGGAUUGAAGGUCAGAGGGAGCAUGCUGUCUGGGUCGUCAUAAGCCAACCAUGGUCGUUCAUCUCUGGUCAGACCUUCAUACAGCGUCUCGAAGAAUCGGCCGAUCUGAUCCGGAGUGUUCCCUGAACCGGGUAAGACUAUAACAGCUUCGCCAAAGUUCAGGGGGGCACGUGUUGCCGAUUCCUCUUCACCCAACACAUGAUUCUCGGCUAUAUCUCUUGGGAAGUGCUGUGAGAACAAGUUGAGAUCAAGGCGCUUGUGCAGGUGCAGAUUGAGCCACAUAUUAAUAAACCACCAAGGACCUCCCAAGUUGCCGAUAGGUUGGCCAAGCAGGAGUUUCUGGACUACCUGAUGAAGAAGGUGAUAAACGGCACCGAGCAAAUAACGGCCGAGAGGAAAUUGGCCGCCGCUAGCCAGUCUUUCUGCUGCCGAUAGAUAGACAGAAGUCGGUCCUGCCGAUCGACCACAGAAUACAAACUUGUCUAGCCACAUGUUCAGAAAGGUGGUUUGCUCCUUUAUGGUGACAGGCCCUCUCCCGCGGUACUUCUGGAUGUACCCUGACCAACCGCCGAUAGCGCGAGUCUCCACUUUAGCACUGGGGGCGGUAUCAAAAAAAUGGGUGCUAUCGGCAGAAGAUAUAUCUAACCCAGUAAGCAUGGAUACAUCGGCAAGGGUAGGAGAAGCAGGGCCAUGGCCAAAAACAAAAGCGUUGAGAGUGUCUGACCAAAAGUAAGAUGCAGCUAUCAGCAAUGACUCGUUCCUGUGCAUAUCGGCAAUGGACAGCCUAAUGCAUUGAGCUAAUUUCCUCUCACCCCAUUGAACUUCAUAAGAGUUGCUGACCCUCAAGAACCAGUCUUUCCACCCUACGGUAGGGCUGGGCCAAGAGCGAAAGGUGUCUUUCCAUAGAUCUAAAGCAAAGUUUUCAACUCUAAAGGGAAUCCUGUUGGUUUCUGCAUUGAUAAGGUCGGUUGGAUCUGGAUCCCCUAGAGGGCCGAGGCAUUGAAGAUGUGGUUGAUCGGUAGGGAUGACAAUUUUGUUGGAUAACUCCUAGUGUUUUGAGGAAUAAAAAUACAAAGAAAAAGGAAAAGGAAAAUAUUCUGUAAGAAUGAAUCGCAGAUGAACAGGAAUGCAAGGAAAAAGUACAGCAGAUGGGAUGGAAGUUUGACCUCAGGGACGAUGAAGCCAACGGCCAUCUUGUCGUGAAGAGGACGCUGGAGGGCGCCGGAGUUGAUGAAGAAGAAUGCUUGUCGGAGAUCUUGGGGAUUGAGAAUGGCGCCGCCGCUGGAAAAGUGAAGUUGGAUGGCAGAAUGAUGCAAUGGGGGAGGAGUACCCAAGAAGGAACUAUUUAUAGGACAAGAUGGACAAGGGCAAAUCUGACUUAUUUCUUUGCCGCAUCCGAGAAGCCCGAGGGUACUCAAGUGGAUAUGGUAACUGUUCGCACGAUAAUCCAGGGAUUGUGCAGGUGAUUUGACAGGAAGCGGUCAUUAUCUAAAGAUAUUUUGCUGUGCGCGAUCUCCUGCUCGGUCCAUCGGUGAUAUUCUAUAACGGUCAUCCUACCGAUGGGCGGAUAGAGGGGAGGUAACCGUUUUUGCGAAUCUUCUGGGCAGAGCAUCGGCAGAUCUUUGUAACGGUAUUGUUGCCGAUGUACGAUUAAGAGAGAUGCCCGUUUAGGAAGUUGGGGAUUUCGAGGGAUCUGCGGAGGAUUAGGAUCAGAGUUGUCCAGAUUGAGGUUGUUAGUUACCAGAUUAGGAGCAUUAAUUGCGGAGAAGACAUCAUUACUGCAGAGAAUUUCGGAGCAUUAAUAGUUUUAUACUCCGAAACUGGGGGGCAUGUGUUGACACCAUUUUUGGACACGUGUCCAGGAUAGCAGGAUAAGGUGGCAGUACGAUGCGGGUUGCUGAUAAGGAUGGUUGCCGAUGAGGGAAAGGUUGAAUGUGACUAAGUCCUCAAGCAGUAAUACGGUGCCGAUGACCAAGUAGAAAGGUCUGCCGAUGACUAUGGCAAGGGGAUUGCCGAUGACGCGAAGGAGGAGUCCGGAAGCUGCCAGUUGUCAUGUGGAGGAGUUUUGGUUUGUUACGAAGGGUGGUUUUAUUAUUUCCUUAGUUAUUCGCAUCGUUUUGUAUACGGGUUCCGUGUAAAUUGGAAUUCGAAUUCUAAUCGUGUCUGGUCUUAGCUCUUUGAGCAGGGUAUAAAUAUAAGCCCUAGGACCUUGUAAUAAGACAUCAAUCAAUCAAUCAAACACAUGUUUUUACUCAUAUUCCAGCAUUUACUUUUCGACGACUUCGUCAUACGUUUUCUUUUUGUUACGAGUUCUUAGGAAUUCGUCGACUCAAGCUCGGCGUAUCCUCAAGUUCCGCGUGAGUACCUCUUAGCCGUGACAUCCGGGCGCAUCGCUGUUGUCAGGACUAAAGUAUUCGAGUUAUCACCUUUGCCGAUAGUAAGGUCAAAUCGGCUGGCACGCCUUAACGUUUGGAUCGGGUAUUAGCCCUUUGUGUUUGCAGAUUAGUUUUUGCAUCAACAGAUAUGAUGAAUAGUUGCUCUGCCUAAUUUGCACAUUUUAAGUUCUCUCUCAAGUUUAGAUAUAACUGUUAUAAUUUAAAGCUUCUAGACCUAAACUUGUGGGAUAAAAAUUUGAUAUGAAGUCUAAGUUGUUAAAGGAUACGAUAUGGGAAGGUUGAGCUGCUGUUUAUCUGUUCCUAGAUAUGCUAGAAUUCUGGAGAAUUUAUCUUUAAAAAUCUUUAAGCAUGAUGAGUUCCUGUAUGAUGAGAGUUUAAAUUCCUACCACAGCCAUAUAUACAUGCUUGCUAGACUUUGAGCCACAACAUUUACUAUUUACUGCUUAUGAGCAUUGAGUGUGGUCAAGCUGUGUAGACCCUUAGGAGCUUGUCAUGUGGUUAAAUCAAGAUUCACUUGCACGUUCACUCAUACAUGCUACUUCUACUCCGGAAGUACCAUCCACAUAUAUCCACUCAUUUCCAUCUCCAGAAUCACCCAAAAAUAUUCUACUCCUAAUCCAAGAGAGAAUAACCAAAAAUAUUUCUGUUUUUCCCUGUGAAAUAAAUGCUCAAGUUAUCUUGUUACUACCACUUGCUAUAUUAUCUCAAGAGAUGAGUGCUCUAAAAAAAGAGAAAAAAAGAUACGAGGAAAUAAAAAGGGGCAAGUGCCCGGAACCUCGAAAGAAAAGAAAAAAAAUGAGACGAGAGGUAAAAAUGGACAAAUGUCCGACAGUAGAAUUAGGGGUACAAGAUACCCACCUGAUAGGAAAGAAAAAGAAAAGAAAAUAAGAGCAUCUCAUUCUCCUCAUAAAGUUUCAGAAAGCAAGGAAGGUAUGUAUCCCCUCAAAGAGCAAAAGUAGAAUUAGAUUUUCACCAUUGUUACCACCAUCAUCACCAUACAUCAUUCAUUCGCCACACAUGCACAUCUUGAUUUGGCUUAUUGAUUUGUUUCUUUGGAUCCAUGGUUUGACUAUGCAAUAAAUGUCUUGUAAGUAUUUAUACUUUAUCUCCCACCUAUGAGCUCCAGAUAUUAAAGCCUUAUUAGAGUAGGGUGAGAGAUAAGACAAUGUCACUAUGCUUCAUACCACAAAUACCACAUAUUUUGAGAGAAGGCAUAUACCAUCACUGCUUUGGUAAGGAUCCAGAAAUACAACAAAAGACAGAUCUGAGAGAGUCAUACAAGGAAUCUCUGAGUUUUAUUUGAAAAUCUGCAAAAACUCCAGAGCUUGCUGAUCAAGAAUAAGAGACAUGGCACUUGGCUAGACUGUUCUAUCUUUUAACCACUCAAGAUGAAAGUGACGGUUACAAGUCCCAUGGUGAAAGGAAAAGUAAGUAAGUUUUAAGUCUUGACAGUUUACUCUAACUCAGAGAUAAGAUCUUAUUUAAAAGCAUUUGUACCGUCAAUUUUUUAAAGAUAUUGCAACAACUUAUGAUCCAUUGCUGAGUCUAUCCUUGCUCAGGGACGAGCAAGAGGUAAGCUUGGGGGAGUUUGUUGACGGUCCUUAAGUAUCAAAUUUAAUUAUCAAAUAAAUAAAGAAAAGGAUCCAAAUGAAAUCAACAUCUAGACUUAGGGUUUUAUCUGACAGAAUUCCAUGAGUUUUGGUAUUUGUCUAUUUCUACAGGGGGUUAUCAGGAAAUAUGGAAGAUAGGCCCACAUGUCGGGAUUACAUAGAGAUAUUAACGUGCAGCGCAAUUAUCUGACAUCUAGAAGACUCCAGAAGCCACGGGAAGCAAGCGGAGGCCGAACGGGGCCAGAGGCAGGGCGCCCGCCCUGUUUCCCUGGGUGCCCGCCCUCUGUUGGAGUCCAAUCAGGACUCUGUUUCAUGGGAGAUCUCCACCGACCUAAAGGAUCAAGGAUAACCGUUCAAUCUAAGUCGGUUUGAUCCAACGGCCCAUAUUCACUUGAAGGGACUAUAAAACCAGACCCCCUGGCCCCUGGAGGAGAGAGCCUCUCAACCCUAAUUCAUUGUUCUUCAAGGGAGAAGAAGCCUCUGAUCAAGAUUAGAGCCACCACAUCAAUUAAAUAUCUAGAUUAGCAUAGCUACAGAGGAUUAGAACUAGAAGGAGUGAAUCUUCGAUUGGUUUUCGGAUCUGUCAAGAGGAUUCUUGGUAAUUCUCUAAUUGUGCUUCUAAUUGCUUUCUAAUUAUCUUUGUUCUUCAAUAUUAUGAAUAUGACUUUGUUCUACUUCAAUAUAUUGCUUAUGACUUUGCUCUACUUGUUUAUAUUCAAGAUUAUAUUGUUCUUAGUUUAUCAUAGUUACGUACUUGGCUUAGUUAGAUUGGAUCUAUAUACAUGCUUAGGAUCGUAUAGCGUUUAUCCAUCGGAUCCAUGGGUAAAUGAUAGAUAUUGUGUAGGCGUGGUGCUUAUACCGUAUUUAUCUGCGAUUGUACCCAAUAUGCCAGAUUGUGGGGUAGUUCAUGAUAGUGACAGCUUCAUUGAUGCUUAUAUAGUCCCCCUCUCGUUUAUUGGGCUGGCAGAGCAAUAUUAUUACAGGGGAGUGAUUGCUAUGUUUCUCAUUUACCUUGCUAAUAUCACUAUGCAUGGGCGUAGUCUUGUCUCGCAAUGAUUGCUAAGUAUGCUUGCACUAACUAUGAUAAUGCUAGACUAUAUAGUUGAGAAUAACUUAGGAAAUAUUCUUAUAUUUCGUUCUAAUACCAUGCUAAUGACUUUCUAGAGUAUCUAAUUGAGGUGCUUAUCAUAUUUAUUAUGUGGCUAAGUUAUGAUCAGAUUAAUUAUCUUUGUCACUAUUCAUUAUUUCAUAUAUCCUUUAUGUGACACUUACCCCUGUAUGAAAGAGUUAGAUAAAUGUUCUCAAUUAUACAUGCAAUGAUAGAUGCUCAAUCUCAUAUUCUAUUCUGUAAUCAAUAUUGAUGAUUGCUAAUCCCUUCCUAGUGGUAAAAAUAUAAAUAACGAUACCUAGAAUACUUCCCGGUUAAAAUGCUACAUCGGUAUUAAUCUGUGCGCUUGCAGAUCCCAUUCAUUAUUAAUUUAGAAGAGCAAUUGCAUAUUUCAAUACCGCGUCUGUCAUAUCAUGCUGGGGAUGACAACUUGGCUUAAGUGGUAUGAGGGAUAGGUUUGGCAUUUUUGGCACCGUUACUAGAAUUAGAAAAUUAAGUCUACUUUUGGUAGUGAUGUUAAGAAUACCCAACAGUGCUUAUCAUAUUUAUAUGUGGCUGAUUAGAUCAAUUAUCUUUGUCACUCUUCAUUAUUUCAUAUAUCUUUUAUGUGACAUUUAUCCCUAUAUGAAAGAGUUAGAUAAAUGUUCUCAAUUAUACAUGCAAUGAUAGAUACUCAAUCUCAUAUUCUAUUCUGUAAUCAAUAUUGAUGAUUGUUAAUCCCUUCCCAGUGGUAAAAAUAUAAAUAACAAUACCUCGAAUACUUCCCGGUUAAAAUGCUACAUCGGUAUUAAUCUGUGCGCUUGCAGAUCCCAUUCAUUAUUUAUUUAGAAGAGCAAUUGCAUAUUUCAAUACCGCAUCUCUCAUGUCAUGCUGGGGAUGACAACUUGGCUUAAGUGGUAUGAGAGAUAGGUUUGGCAUUUUUGGCACCGUUACUAGGAUUAGAAAACUAAGUAUACUUUUGCUAAUGAUGUUAAGAAUACCCAACAUCUAUCACCACGAAGUCUGCUGGGGCGUACAAGGUACCAACUCGGACGCAGAGGUUCUUUAAUAUUCCCUUUGGGAAACUUAGUGUCUGAUCUGCAGGCAUGCCGAUGGAGAUCGGGAUGACGGUGCGUCCUGGAUUGCCUCUCUUGACUGGCAGAAGGUUAGUAAUUACUUCCACAACGGGGUUACUCCAGUAGUUACGUCCUCAAGCAUCUCAGGGCAGUGAUUGCCUAACCGUCCAGUAUCUCCAGUGUGUUUGUGCUUGUAGAUCUAGGUUCUUCACUUGGUGGAGUCUGGGAGUUGUAAAACUCCUUCAUAUGCUACUCGAAGUGUACCUGCUCAUAGAGACAAGGGCAGAGAUCAAGUGCAUGGGCUCUGUUGGUGGAAAACACCAACAGAACCAAAAGUGUAUUUGUUCUUCUCUAACCUUAAGCAUAGUGAGCAAGACAGAGUUGAUAGAUAAUAAGAUCAUGACUGUAGCAUUUAAAACAUUUGUCAGAUCAGAUCACUCAACCUAAUGGAAAGAUAAUCUAUCUAUACUUAUGUUUUUUUAUAUAUAUCUUCCAAAGAUUGAGUGUGCAACAUUUUAGCUCAUAAGAUUAGGAGUGUGGGAUCACAAAGGUGGAAGGACUAAACAGGUUGAAUCGAUUGGGUUGGUUAAUCUAGAGUUGUAAAUCAUACAUGUUUGUCUCUUUUAUUCAUGUGAACGCCAGAACCAAGGAGAAGCUUAUAGAAGUGAUAGUCAAGUACCUUAAGAUGUUACCUUACAUGAAGAGUGAUGGUACAAUAUCACCUUAUGGAAGCUUUCCUUUCUUAGCAGUUGUGCAUCAUGUUUGUGGCACCCUCCAUGGAUCAUCUCUUGUGAGCUAUGCCUUCCUUGUGUAAGUUGUUAACCUUCAUGUGUCUCUCUUUGUCUCCAAUGUGAGUUUAUCUCAGGACUUCCCAGGUCGAUAUUGAAUAUUUUCCUGCAAGGGUUAGUCCAACAAAAUAUCCAAUAUCUACUAUAGCAUACUAUCGGCUCAAAAAUCAACCUAGACACCAUGUCUAAUUUGAUUUAGGAGGGCAUCUUAACCUAAGCAUCAUGCUUAAAUUAAAAUCCCUUGGAACUAAGAUCAUCAUUCCUAAACUAAGCACCAUGCUUAAUUAAGAGAUAAAUGAAACUACUCCAAACCUAGUCAUAUACUAAAGCAAAUAAAGGUAGCACGGGAGCAUUUAUAGAAGUCUACUCAUGUGGAGAUGAAGUAGUGUGAUUAGUAUUUAACAAAUUGAGCAUGUCUCAAAGGUAGGGACAACCAAUAUAGAAACAUGGCAAAGGAUGAUUUUAUGUAAAGUUCUCCCUUAAGCUUGAAUUUUGCAAAAUUCAAGUUUGGAUGAAUUUAAUUCAAUGUUGUAUGAUGAUUGGUUGGACAUACCUUGUGCUUGUCAUUCAUCCGAUCUUCUUGCUCCAAUCCUGGAAAGGUUAGUGACAAGAAUACCCGAAGGAAUAUUUUCACAAUUAUCCUUAUAUGCUCAAUACACAAGGUAAUGCUGCAAAUAAUUAAAAGCUCAUGUUACGAUCUGAUAAGUGCUUGUUUUAGGACACUAAGCUUGUCCUUGGGAAACCAUCAAUUUAUGUCGGCAAAGUGGUUUCCCCUCCAACGCUGACCUAUAUCAAGAUCAACUCAACAAGAUCUACAAUAUUUAAUAUAGACAUAUGCAAUGACAACCGCCCUUUUAAAGUUUUUAUAAAAAGAAAGGAUGAGGGGGUUGGAGAUCUUGAAUGUGGUGAUGUUGGAAAAACCAAUGGAUUGGGAAGAUGUUGCAUAUGAGUGUGGAGUAAAUGAAGUGGCUAUGAAAUAAAUUCCAUGCUCAUUAAUGCUUAGAGUGAAAUCCAUGAGCAUACUCAAAUGAUAAGGUGAGUGUGGUAAAAAAGGAAAAGAAAAAGGAUACACGGACGACUUAGUUCAAAACUAGCACAGCUACCGUUCCCUGGCAACGGCGCCAGAAAUCUUGUUGGGUAUUUUAAACGCAAACAGAAAAAUCCGCAAGCGCACGGAUACCGAUGUAGCUUUCACCCGGGAGUAUUCCAGAGUAUUGAUUUUCCACAGGGAACGUGAGUGUACUAAUUAAGAUCCAAGAUCGCCCAAGGAUAACUAUAUAAUUAUUUUUGGUGGGAAGAGAGAAAGUUUCCUGAGAGUUCUCUAGUUGAUCUAAGAAUCAAGAAUUACUUCAAGAUUAUCUAUUUCGGGACAUCAGAACACUAACCACAGAAAUAGAUGAGAAGGGGGCUAGGAAGCUCUGACUACGGUCCUACAAACACCGAUCCGAACGAGGUGGAAUACGUCGACAGUUAGGGCUGUCACUACCCUAGGGCUACCACAACAAUCCGCAGGAUUAGGUGCAAUUCCAGGUAAUUGCAAGACUAAACACCACGUCUAAUCUAUUAAUUACUACUCUAGUGUUUCAAAGACUAGAGCACUUGAUGCAAGCGGGAAUCCAAUAAAUAACUUGAAUGUAAAUAAAGUAAUUAAAGAACUCAGGAAUUAUGAAUUGAAGAACCUAGAGAACGACGAAGAACGAACCAGUUGCUGCAAAAGUACAAUGUUGAGGAAGAUCCGACAGAUCCGGCUCGUCCUCCUCCGCUCUCCUCUUCUCUCUCUCUAUUUUCUAGAUUACAACUAGAACUAACUAGAACUAGAACUAGAGGAACUAGAACUAGAACUAGAUGCACUAGAACUAGAACUAGAUGAACUAGAGGUAGAACUAGAUGAACUAGAGGGAUCCUCUCUACUUGGAUGAAGAAUUGAAACCCUAACUUUGAUUCUGUAGAAGAGGUAUGAUCUCCAGGGGCCAGGGGACCUUGCUUAUAUAGUCUUUUCAGAUGAAUCUGGGCCGUCGGAUAAAACCGACAUUGAUUGCACGGUUUUCCUUGACCUUUAGGUCGGUGGAGGAUGAUCCCCGAGUUGUACCCUGAUUGGGCAGAAUAGGAGGGCGGGCGCCCUAAGGACUAGGUAGGGCGCCCUGUCCCUGAGCCCUCUCGGCUUCCACUUUGUUUUCGUGGCUUCUGGAGCCUUCUAGAUGAUAGAAAAUUGCGCAGCACGUUCAUAUCUCUAUGUAAACCCGACGUGUGGGCCUUUCUUCCGUAUUUCCUGAUAACCCCCUGUAGAAAUAGACAAACACCAAAACUCGUGGAAUUCUGUCAGAUAAAACCCUAAGUCUGGGUGUUAGUUGCAUUUGGAUCCUUUUUCAUGAUUAGUUGAUGGUUCAAUGUGAGCAUUAAGGACCGUCAACAAGCUCCCCCAAGCUUAACCUUUGCUCGUCCCUGAGCAAAGAUGGACUCAAGAGUUUCUGCAGUGGUUUCAUGCCUUAAAGAUACACAUGCGUUCAAACAAGAUCUCAUCUCUGGGUUAGGGUAAACUGUUAAGAUUUAAACUUACUCAUUUCACCUUCCACAGUGGGGCUUGCAACCAUCACUUGUGUCUUGAGCAGUUAAAAGAUAGAACGGUCUAGUCACGCGCCAUGUCUCUUGUUCUUUAAUUAACUAUAGCUCUUGAGUUUUUGUAGAUUUUCAAAUAAAACUCAGAGAUUCCUUGUAUGACUCUCUCUAGUCUCUCUUUGUGGUAUUUCUGGAUCCUUACCAAGGCAGUAAUGGUGUAUGCCUUCUCUCAAAGUAUGUGGUAUUUUUGGUAUGAGGCAUAGUGGCAUUGCCUUCUCUCUCACCCUACUCUAAUAAGGUUUUGAUAUCUGGAGCUCAUAGGUGGGAGACAGCUAAUACAUACUUACAAGACAUUUAUUGCAUAGUCAAACCAUGGAUCCAGAAGAACAAGUCAAUAAGUCAAAUCAAGAUGUGCAUGUGUUGCGAAUGAAUGGUGUAUGGUGAUGAUGGUGAUAACAAUGGUGAAAGUCUAAUUCUACUUGUGCUCUUUUGAGGGAAUACAUACCUUUCUUGCUCUUUUGAAACUUUUUUAGGAGAAUGAGAUGCUCUAUAUUUUCUUUUUCUUUUCUCUCAGGUGGGUAUAUUGUACCCCUAAUUCUACUGUCGGACACUUGUCCAUUUUUACCUCCUGUCUCACUUUUUCUUUUCUUUCGAGGUUCCGGGCACUUGCCCCUUUUUAUUUCCUCGUAUCUUCUUUUUUUUAGAGCACUCACCUCUUUAAAUAAUGUAGCAAGUUGUCACACCCGGAUGUAAAAGAGCAUUCGGGUGCCAAAUCACAUGUGCGCCAGGAUCACAAAUUCACACACAUGGACCGACAUCAUC
rnacentral:lncRNA from 1 species